rnacentral:lncRNA from 1 species
CUUGAAAGAAGAGGCCUUUUCUUGUACCAAAUCCGGUCAUUUGAAGUUCAAAACUACUCUAGCACAGCUACUUAUUUGCAUAUUUAUGUGUUCUGUGGGUAUUUUGCUCUGAUAUUUGGUAAUGUUUUUAAUGUUGUCUCUCAGAUAUCAGUAUCUUUGAUCAAGCCUCCAACAACGGAUGAUCAUAGCUAGUGCUUAGUAGUCUGUGUCAACAAUGUCUGAAACACAUCUAAGUGAAAUAAGGAUCGAUCCAUUGAUCAACAAAAAGGAAGGGAUUCGUAACAACCAACCUCAAGAGCUGAAGAUGGAUGGAAGAUUAGGAAAUUACCCACUGAAAAAGGAUGAGCGUUCUUCGUGGUUUAGUUCCAUAAUGGUCAGAGAGGACAAAGACUCUAAGAACAACCAGCCACUCGGGCCAAAGAUUCCGAAAGUUGCAGACAAGCUUAGAAAUGAAAACGAGGAAUGCUACAGUCCCUUGAUGGUCUCAAUUGGGCCUUACCACUCUCCGGGUCAUCAUAACAAUCUCAGAGAAGAGGAGAUUCCAAAGGUUUCGAUGGCUCGCCAAUUCAUCCUAGAUAGUGGAAAAAACAUAGAACUCGUCUACAGAGAAGUAGAAAAGGCUAUCCAAAACGCAAGAGAAUUUUACAACGAGAUCGACAUGAAAGGCUAUGAUGACGAGCAAUUGACCCGGAUGAUGUUUCUUGAUGGAUGCUUUAUUCUCCAAUUCAUCCAUUGUGUGACACAUAAUUAUGAAAAUUUAGAGAUGACUGAUCGGCAAGUUGCUGGUGUGAAGCGGGAUUUGUUAUUACUGGAGAACCAGAUCCCUUUUCCAGUCCUGAAAUCACUGACGAGUCUGAGGUACGAAAAAGAUGGAACUAAUCAUGGAAUGAAACAUGUGAAUGAUUUUCUUUUUUUCAAUAUUCUCAACCCGAAAGAUCAACCAUUGCGGACUCGAAAAUUACUUUGGUCUACCGUUAGUCUCCUGUUAUUGUUUCUUCCAAUUGCUCUUCCAUUUGUUUUAUCACGCACUUCUAUCGGUCAUAAUCAUGGCCUGGUUUUCUUGAGCAUGGUGCCAAUAUUUGCCGUGGUGGAAUUAUGUGUCCUGAUACCACCUUGGCUUUUGUGGUUGCUACUAAGAAAGAGGAGGCGAGCCUCAGGAUAUGAUUCGCAAUGGCAGCCUGAUGAAGAACCUGCCCAUCUUCUUCAACUUCUAUAUUUUCUUUUCAUAGGCAAGUCGUCUUCACGAAGAUGCGGCCAUUGCUUGUCUUAUUUGGCCACUUUUCUUAAGAAAUUCAUUCGUACAAAGUCCAAGCCAGUUGCUCGAGGAAGGCGUGGCCAUUACUUGUAUUAUACUGCCAAGGAACUUAAGAAGGUGGGAAUCCAUUUCAUGUCUAGUCAGACUAGUGCUUUGACGGAUGUCAAGUUCAGGUCAUCAUGUUUCCAUGGAACAUUGAAGCUUCCUUCAAUUACCAUAGAUGAGUCAACAAGGUCCAUGCUCUUGAACUUAGUGGCCUACGAAACAUCUGCUGCACUCAAUCCACUUUGGGUCACUUCUUACAUAUGUUUCAUGGAUUCGCUGAUUGACGAUGCUGAUGACGUGAAAGAGCUGCGAUCAACGGGCAUAAUUAUUAAUUUCCAUGGAGCUGACCAGCAGGUUGCGGAUCUCUUCAACCAUAUGGGCCGUUUUCUUGAACCUGAUACUAGUGUUUAUAAUGAUGUUAAAAGAGAGAUAAAUGAGCAGUGUGAGAGCAUCGUGAAGAAAUGGGUAGCUGAGUGGCGGCAAACUUAUUUUCAGAGUCCCUGGGCCUUCAUUGCAUUUGCUGCCGCCGCUUUGGGUUUGGCUCUUACCGCCACUCAGACGUACUAUACAAUGGACCCACCCAAGAAUAAUUCAACACGCUAAUGCCCAUAUUCUGGUUGUUAGAAUCAGUUAGAAUAAAUAACAGACUACCAAAUUAUCGUUAGCAAUAUCUUUCUGUUAGAGUUUGUUAUUCUAUCUGUUAUUCUGGUAGCAUGUAUUAAAGGUUAUAUAAAGCCAAGAGUUCUUAUUGAAUAAUACAAUUUCCAUUCAUCUCAGUUCACGUAUACUUCUUUAAUCACCCACAGUUCUAACAAAUUGGUAUCAGAACCUCCACUAGGCCUAAAAUUCAAAGCAGCAGACUUUGAAAUCUUUUUGCGGCAGCAUAGCAAGAUGACUACAGAAGGAAGUUUUGUCCAGCCAGCUAUUCCAAGAUUCAAUGGUCAUUAUGACCAUUGGAGUAUGUUAAUGGAAAACUUCCUUCGAUCCAAGGAAAUGUGGGAACUGGUGGAGAUUGUAUAUAUUGAGGCAAAUGGAUCAAUGCAAACUGAUGGACAACAAAAGAAGAACGAUGAGAUGAAGCUGAAAGAUUUGAAAGUAAAAAAUUAUCUCUUUCAGGCAAUUGAUCGAACGGUUCUUGAUACUAAUCUCAAGAAAGACACUGCCAAAAAUAUAUGGGAUGCAAUUCGAAGGAAAUGCAAGGGUUAAGAGAUCUCAUCUUCAAGCUCUCCGUAGAGAGUUUGAAACACUUGAAAUGAGGUCUGGUGAAGGAGUGACAGAGUACUUCUCUAGAGUCAUGACAGUGGCCAAUAAAAUGAGAAUUUAUGGAGAAGACAUGCAGGAUGUCAAAGUAGUGGAGAAGAUUUUACGAUCGUUGACUGAGAAAUUCAACUAUGUUGUAUGUUCUAUUGAAGAGUCAAAGGACAUUGAUGCUCUCACUGUUGAUGAAUUACAGAGUUCAUUAAUCGUCCAUGAGCAGAAAUUUGUGAGACAUAAAAGUGAGGAACAAGCUCUGAAGGUGACAUAUGAAGGAGGCAGAGGUCGUGGCCGAAUUGCCUAUCGAGGAAGAGGAAGAGGCAGAGGACGAACAGACUUCAAUAAAGCAACAAUUCAAUGUUACAGAUGCCAUCGACUUGGACAUUUCCAAUAUGAAUGUCCCACUGUGAACAAAGAAUCACUUUAUGCAGAACUUGAUGAGGAGGAGGAAAUGCUUCUGAUGGCUUAUGUGGAGAAACAUCAAGCCAGAAAAGAAGAUGCAUGGUUUCUUGAUUCAGGAUGUUCUAACCACAUGUGUGGUUAUAAAGCCAUGUUCAGUGAUCUCAACUUAGAAUUUCGACAUUCUAUGAAGUUGGGGAAUAACACAAGGAUGAAUGUAAUGGGUAAAGGAAGUGCGAAGAUACUGCUGACUGGAAUCAAUCAUGUUAUUGCUGAAGUGUAUUAUGUCCCGGAUUUGAGAAAUAACCUCCUGAGCAUAGGCCAGUUGCAAGAAAGAGGGUUAGAUAUCUUAUUCAAAGGUGGAACCUGCAAGAUAUUUCAUCCAAAAAGGGGAUUAAUAAUCCAAACCACCAUGAGCAUAAAUCGAAUGUUCAUCUUAUUGCCUGAUUCCCAAUCUUCUUCUCAAGAACAAGCUGAUCAAUGCUUCCUCACAGGAACACAAAAUUUGUGCCAUCUUUGGCAUCGAAGGUAUGGACACUUGAGCUACAAAGGCCUAAGAACUCUAUCAUCUUUGCCAGCUUUGAUUCGGUUCAAUCUAAUUUCGUGGACAUCACAUGUUAAACAGGAACCUGAAAAUCUUUCGGUCUGUUUAUUCGGAGGGGAAUUAAUGCUCAACUUGUUACGACUUUGACAGAGCAGCUCCUAUUGUGUUUGUUGCCAUUGCAUGUGCAACAAAUGGACGGCACCAACCAUUGUAUCCUUGGCAGCCACCAUUGUCAAAGAAGGAGGCUACAAUGGUGGCUUGUUGGUGGGAGCCACCAACCAUUGACUUUGGCAGCCACCAUUAUUGAAGAAGAGCUGGAGUUUGGCAGCCACCAUUGCUGACAAAGGAGCAAGAAGAGCUGCCAUUGAUGCCUAUAAAAGAGGUAUGAUUUUAGAGAGCAAAAUGAGAGAGAUUGUGAGAAAUGUAGAGAGACCAAGAGAGAAAGUGAAGGGCUGCAAUGGCAGCAGCCUUGCUACCAUUGCAUCAGCUGCAAGGGCAGCAAUGAGAGCUGGGAGUAGAGUAGAGUAAAGUGAUCUUCCUCCUCCAUGUAUUUGUUUUGUAAUCCUUUCUCUAUCUCUAAAUAAAACGAACCUCUCCCGUGGAUGUAGACAAUUUGCCGAACCACGUUAAAUAUUAUGUCAGUAUGCUUCCCCUCCUAUGAGUAAUUAUCAGUACAUCACCGGUCGAAAUCCCUAACAAUUGAUAUUAGAGCAUAUGGUUUAAGUGGUGUUUGAUUUUUUUUUUCUCAAAAAUGAAAGUUGUCAUUGGUGAAAACAACGUCAAAAUCGGACGUCGGACAUGGCCGCACUCUCCAUCACUCUCCGGCAAGGUGUCUGCCCAUGCGCGCGUGCCACGCGUCUUCUUCAAUCGGAUGGGUUGACUUGGCCCGAAUAACAGUUGACCCGACCCAUGUGACUGACUUGGAUAAGGAUGACAUCAGCAUGACGUAAAAGUGACGUCAUCAUGAACAGUACACAUACCAGGGAUGACAUCAGCAUGAUGUGAUUGUGACAUCAUCAUGUACAGUACAUGCAGAGGAUGAUGUUAGCCUGAUGUAACGAUGACGUCAGCAUGCAAUUGCCCAGCAUAGUGAGACCCACUUGCCACGUCAUCAGCUGUGAGCCGAGGGAUUGGAUCCAGUGUAGCUGAUCCUACGUCCAACCGGAUCUGAGAUUGAAUAUGAGCCGUUGAUAAGGCCAGAAUUUUUUAAUCAAUUCUUAGUCGUCUGAAAUGCGAUUUGGACGAUUUCAGACUUGUUUUCAGCUAAUUUGAUCAUUCCGGAUGCAAUGGUACGGUCCGAUUAUUGAUAUUUGAGACCAAAAAGUGGCGGUGGUGAAUUAUUAAAGAGAGAUUGCCCGAUCAGGAGGCAUCUGAAUAUAUUGAUGGAGGUCGAUGGAGAUGAAGAAGAAGAAGAAGGUGCACAUGUUUACCCAAUUAUAUGUGCUGAACUAUUAAAUGGGGAAAUCUAAUGCCUUAAUAGAAGGCAAAAUUAUGACACUCUGGACACCCGGUUAUGUGGACAAUUAGAGGUGUAGAGUGAAAACUGAUGAAGACCAAUCUUGACGAAUCGAAGCACUAGUAGUCUCGUUAAAUGUUGAGAAAUCAUGUAUUAAACCUGUAUAUUCCAGAUCACUUGUAAAGGAAAGCCGCAACAAAGCUAGCAAAUGGUUGUAUAUACGGAAAGACAGUACGAUGGAUAAAUAUGGCCUAAGAAGUUAUGUCUAGGAGAUUGAGUUUUAAGCGGGAACAGUGUGACCCUUCCAAUCUUUCCUGGGAACUUGCUUAGUGGAAGGAUUAUCCAUACAGUACUAUUUUCGUAUAUGUAACAGUUUGUAAUGAAACUGGUGAAGACUAGCAGGAAGACGACACAAGGGGAACAGUUGGGUUCCGUAUGAUCAAGGAUCUGAUGGAGUGGUGAUUUCUCCAAAGAAGGUAGAUUCGGUAACUGUGAUUUCUCGAGGGGAGAAUUGAUGAAGACCCUGAUAAUGGAAGAGAAAUACAUCAAGAGAAUAAAGAUUGACACCCUAUUUUUGACUUGGACAGAUGUUGUGACAGGAUGAGUUGCUGUCAAACAUAAGCAAGGAAUGGAGAAAAUCUGGAGAACAGAAAUUGCACAAAGGCACACAGAGAUUGUGUAGGAGUACCCAUAGGAUCCUAACGAGGUACUAUAUUGAGACAACAUGUGCAAGAAGAAGAAAAGUUCCCAGAUGAAGCUUAGAGCAGAGACUGAGUGAAAAAGUUGUACAACAAGAAGUCUCUUAUGCUCUUGAUAAAGGCAACAAAUGAGGACCUUUCCAAUACAUGCAAGGAUGAAAAGAUGAGUUGUUGCAGAGGCACCUAAUUGGGGGUGCGAACGCCUGUGAUAAAAGGCGAAGACACCAUAGAGGUGGUGUAGGUGGAGUUGUCAAGCAAAAAGGUGUAAAAGCUCCAAACAUAGAAAUCGAGGUGGAGGAUUGCGAGGAGUAUACCGCAACUUUCUCUUUCUAUGUAGUUAGUGGCAGUAAUCUCUCUCAAGUCCACAUGGUGGUAGAGAAUCUUGGAGCCACUAGAGUCAUCCUGAUGAAGGAGGAUGAGACCGCUCCACGACGAGCGAAGACACCUUAGAGGAAGGUGUGAGGGUCGUGAUAGGAGCCCCAUUUCAGACCGCCGCAUGACAACGAGCGGAGACACCUUAGAGAAGGUGUGAGGGCUAGGAUAGGAGCCCCAAUUCAGAACGCCCUAGAGCCGAUAUGAUGGCUAGAUAUAAGUGGACAGGUGGAUAGCCAAUGAAGUGGCUAUGAUGAGUAUGAAGACAAAUACAGGAUUGACUUUCAUGGAUAUUGCCCCCAUGCUAAAGAUCAAUGAGCUAGAAGACAUUUGCCUUGGACAAUAAGUGUGUGACUUGUGGAGCAUUAAGACGUGACUGUUAUGAAUGAGCAGAGGGCAUGUGCAGGUUCUGGGAACAAGUUGACUCUUGUCAAGGUGGUGAGCUCGGUGAUGGCAUUGUAAUACUUAGAGUAUGAAGAUAGAUAUGGAUCAACCUUUAAUGGGUUGCCCCCAUGGUUAAAGGUGGAGAGCUACCUGGACUCUUGAGACUAAGAGCGAGAGACUCACGGAGAAGUAAGGCGUGGUUCCUAGGGUGGAACAGAGGGCAGACACAACUCCUGGAUAACUAGACUCUUGGAAGAGUGGUGAACUUGUGAUCAUAUUGAGAUACUCAGUUAAUGACUGUCGCACUUGGAAUAUCCGUUUGGGGGUGUUGUAAGCCUUGGUGUGAGGCUUGAUGAAACAUUCCGGACCGAGCAUCGUUGAUACGCUCGAAGGGGAAUGUUGUGUCCCAGAGACAAGCGUUAACACUCUUCAGAUGUGAAGUGGCAGACCAUCUGGUUGUAGUGAUCCUUUUGUGUGAGAAAAGGUGUGCUUUUGUGACUCUGGUGAUUGAAAGGUUUGGCGAGUACCUGUAAACUUGGCCACAGACGCUCUCAGAGUGGUAAGCUUAGAAGAGCUGCAAAAUGCAAGUUUGUGCUGAAGAAGUAAGAGGACAGUUGCCCCAUACGAAUGGCAAAUGGGGUGAUUGUUGGAUUGGUUGUCAUUGCAUGUGCAGUAAAUGGACGGCACCAACCAUUGCAUCCUUGGCAGCCACCAUUGUCAAAGAAGGAGGCUACAAUUGUUGGUGGCAGCCACCAACCAUUAACUUUGGCAGCCACUAUUAUUGAAGAAGAGUUGGAGUUUGGCAGCCACCAUUGCUGACAAAGGAGCAAGAGGAGCUGCCAUUGAUGCCUAUAAAAGAGGCAUGAUUUUAGAGAGCAAAAUGAGAGAGAUUGUGAGAAAUGUAGAGAGACCAAGAGAAAAUGAAGGGCUGCAAUGGCAGCAGCUGCAAGGGCAGCAAUGAGAGCUGGGAGUAGAGUAGAGUGAAGUGAUCCUCCUCCUCCAUGUAUUUGUUUUGUAAUCCUUUCUUUAUCUCUAAAUAAAAUGAACCUCUUCUGUAAAAUGAAUUGAGGACAGAGUCUACAAAGUCAUUGACUUCAGGAAUUGUGUUGCACCAAGCAGCGAUGACUCCAUCAGGUUUUUUGAGUAUUCAAAUAUUUUUUUUUAGUAAAUUUAUUAUUGGUUUGAUGUGUUAAUGUUAAAAAUAAAAAAUAUUAUUUUAAUAUAUUUAGAAUAAAAAUAUUUAAAAAUACAACCACUACAAUACUUUUAUUUUGUUUAAGUUGUUAUAAAGAAAACAAAAAUACAGGGUAUCAUAAAUUACCGAGAAAAAAACUUUACAUGGAGAAUGAAAAAUGAUUCGAAAAUAUACUGAAUGCUAAGAAACUAAUGUGGGUGACAUGUAUAUUUUGAUAGAAGAGCUUGGUCCAGUUUCGCUGGUGUGGUCGAUAAUUGAAGCAGGCUAGGAUGAUAGGAUUAACGUCGUGGAUGAUGAGCAAUUUCUUGGAAAGAAGUGACUCUUACCUGUUAGAAUAUGGUCUCGUCUUUUGCCUACUCGGGCAAUUUUCUUGGAAGAAGCCGUAGCAGCAGCAUGGUUCCAAAACAAAAGUCUACAUAUGAGCUACAUAAUUAGACCCAGUAUAGAGGGUUUGUUAAUAUAAUAUUUGUUGUAUUAAAUUUUAUUUUACUAAACUGAGGAUCAACUAAGCAACUAUAUUUCUUUGACCCGUCAACAUCCCUGGGCAUUGAGGGUUUUGUUAAUAUAAUAUUUGUUGUAAUGUUCGUAUGAAUACAACUUCGUUUCCUGUAUUGACACAUGUUAGCAUACUUGUCAAUUAUCUGGAACACAACAACUAGGUAUCAACAUCAUUACGUAAUUACUUGAUUAAUUAUAUCUUAAACUCAAGAAGUAGUGAAUCAAAUAAUCACCCACGUAAUUAAUUAUCUAAUGGUUUAUAUAAUUAGUUGAUUUAUCUUAUUAAUCCGUCUCUCAUGGCAAUCGAAGAGAGUAAUGUAUUUUUUCUAUGAUGCCACAUGUUGGUAUAUGAUAUUCUCUGUGAUGGCACAUGUUCCUAUGUGAUUUUGAUAUUUUCUUUGUUGUUUUUCAAAUUAGUCUUUGCAAUCUCCAUGCAUAUUUUCCACAAAAUCUAAGUUGAUAUUUUCUAUGAUUUCACAUGCUGGUAUAUGAUUUUCUGUUGUAAUAUUGUUCUAGUUGUGUUGAUGCGUUAGUAUCCUAUGUAUAUAUCUAUACAUAUAUAUGUAUGUAUAUAUAUAUAGUAUAUGUAUGUAUGUAUGAGUGGAUGAUGAAUGUAAGUAUAGGAAUUGUUGAAUGCAAUAUAUAGAAACAACUGAGAUUUUUUUUUUUAAGAUACAAGAAGUAAAAGGUGCUGAUUUUGCAAGACAACGGAGGAGAAUAACUCCGCCUUGAAAGAAGAGGCCUUUUCUUGUACUAAAUCCGGUCAUUUGGAAGUUCAAAACUACUCUAGCACAGCUACUUAUUUGCAUAUUUAUGUGUUCUGUGGGUAUUUUGCUCUGAUAUUUGGUAAUGUUUUUAAUGUUGUCUCUCUGAUAUCAGUAUCUUUGAUCAAGCCUCCAACAACGGAUGAUCAUAGCUAGUGCUUAGUAGUCUGUGUCAACAAUGUCUGAAACACAUCUAAGUGAAAUAAGGAUUGAUCCAUUGAUCAACAAAGAGGAAGGGAUUCAUAACAACCAACCUCAAGAGCUGAAGAUGGAUGGAAAUUAGGAAAUUACCCACUGAAAAAGGAUGAGCGUUCUUCGUGGUUUAGUUCCAUAAUGAUCAGAGAGGACAAAGACACUAAGAACAACCAGCCACUCGGGCCAAAGAUUCCGAAAGUUGCAGACAAGCUUAGAAAUGAAAACGAGGAAUGCUACAGUCCCUUGAUGGUCUCAAUUGGGCCUUACCACUCUCCGGGUCAUCAUAACAAUCUCAGAGAAGAGGAGAUUCCAAAGGUUUCGAUGGCUCGCCAAUUCAUCCUAGAUAGUGGAAAAAACAUAGAACUCGUCUACAGAGAAGUAGAAAAGGGUAUCCAAAACGCAAGAGAAUUUUACAACGAGAUCGACAUGAAAGGCUAUGAUGACGAGCAAUUGACCCGGAUGAUGUUUUUGAUGGAUGCUUUAUUCUCCAAUUCAUCCAUUGUGUGACACAUAAUUAUGAAAAUUUAGAGAUGACUGAUCGGCAAGUUGCUGGUGUGAAGCGGGAUUUGUUAUUACUGGAGAACCAGAUCCCUUUUCCAGUCCUGAAAUCACUGACGAGUCUGAGGUACGAAAAAGAUGGAACUAAUCAUGGAAUGAAACAUGUGAAUGAUUUUCUUUUUUUCCAUAUUCUCAACCCGAAAGAUCAACCAUUGCGGACUCGAAAAUUACUUUGGUCUACCGUUAGUCUCCUGUUAUUGUUUCUUCCAAUUGCUCUUCCAUUUGUUUUAUCACGCACUUCUAUCGGUCAUAAUCAUGGCCUGGUUUUGUUGAGCAUGGUGCCAAUAUUUGCCGUGUUGGAAUUAUGUGUCGUGAUAACACCUUGGCUUUUGUGGUUGCUACUAAGAAAGAGGAGGCGAGCCUCAGGAUAUGAUUCGCAAUGGCAGCCUGAUGAAGAACCUGCCCAUCUUCUUCAACUUCUAUAUUUUCUUUUCAUAGGCAAGUCGUCUUCACGAAGAUGCGGCCAUUGCUUGUCUUAUUUGGCCACUUUUCUUAAGAAAUUCAUUCGUACAAAGUCCAAGCCAGUUGCUCGAGGAAGGCGUGGCCAUUACUUGUAUUAUACUGCCAAGGAACUUAAGAAGGUGGGAAUCCAUUUCAUGUCUAGUCAGACUAGUGCUUUGACGGAUGUCAAGUUCAGGUCAUCAUGUUUCCAUGGAACAUUGAAGCUUCCUUCAAUUACCAUAGAUGAGUCAACAAGGUCCAUGCUCUUGAACUUAGUGGCCUACGAAACAUAUGCUGCACUCAAUCCACUUUGGGUCACUUCUUACAUAUGUUUCAUGGAUUCGCUGAUUGACGAUGCUGAUGACGUGAAAGAGCUGCGAUCAACGGGCAUAAUUAUUAAUUUCCAUGGAUCUGACCAGCAGGUUGCGGAUCUCUUCAACCAUAUGGGCCGUUUUCUUGAACCUGAUACUAGUGUUUAUAAUGAUGUUAAAAGAGAGAUAAAUGAGCAGUGUGAGAGCAUCGUGAAGAAAUGGGUAGCUGAGUGGCGGCAAACUUAUUUUCAGAGUCCCUGGGCCUUCAUUGCAUUUGCUGCCGCCGCUUUGGGUUUGGCUCUUACCGCCACUCAGACGUACUAUACAAUGGACCCACCCAAGAAUAAUUCAACACGCUAAUGCCCAUAUUCUGGUUGUUAGAAUCAGUUAGAAUAAAUAACAGACUACCAAAUUAUCGUUAGCAAUAUCUUUCUGUUAGAGUUUGUUAUUCUAUCUGUUAUUCUGGUAGCAUGUAUUAAAGGUUAUAUAAAGCCAAGAGUUCUUAUUGAAUAAUACAAUUUCCAUUCAUCUCAGUUCACGUAUACUUCUUUAAUCACCCACAGUUCUAACAAAUUGGUAUCAGAACCUCCACUAGGCCUAAAAUUCAAAGCAGCAGACUUUGAAAUCUUUUUGCGGCAGCAUAGCAAGAUGACUACAGAAGGAAGUUUUGUCCAGCCAGCUAUUCCAAGAUUCAAUGGUCAUUAUGACCAUUGGAGUAUGUUAAUGGAAAACUUCCUUCGAUCCAAGGAAAUGUGGGAACUGGUGGAGAUUGUAUAUAUUGAGGCAAAUGGAUCAAUGCAAACUGAUGGACAACAAAAGAAGAACGAUGAGAUGAAGCUGAAAGAUUUGAAAGUAAAAAAUUAUCUCUUUCAGGCAAUUGAUCGAACGGUUCUUGAUACUAAUCUCAAGAAAGACACUGCCAAAAAUAUAUGGGAUGCAAUUCGAAGGAAAUGCAAGGGUUAAGAGAUCUCAUCUUCAAGCUCUCCGUAGAGAGUUUGAAACACUUGAAAUGAGGUCUGGUGAAGGAGUGACAGAGUACUUCUCUAGAGUCAUGACAGUGGCCAAUAAAAUGAGAAUUUAUGGAGAAGACAUGCAGGAUGUCAAAGUAGUGGAGAAGAUUUUACGAUCGUUGACUGAGAAAUUCAACUAUGUUGUAUGUUCUAUUGAAGAGUCAAAGGACAUUGAUGCUCUCACUGUUGAUGAAUUACAGAGUUCAUUAAUCGUCCAUGAGCAGAAAUUUGUGAGACAUAAAAGUGAGGAACAAGCUCUGAAGGUGACAUAUGAAGGAGGCAGAGGUCGUGGCCGAAUUGCCUAUCGAGGAAGAGGAAGAGGCAGAGGACGAACAGACUUCAAUAAAGCAACAAUUCAAUGUUACAGAUGCCAUCGACUUGGACAUUUCCAAUAUGAAUGUCCCACUGUGAACAAAGAAUCACUUUAUGCAGAACUUGAUGAGGAGGAGGAAAUGCUUCUGAUGGCUUAUGUGGAGAAACAUCAAGCCAGAAAAGAAGAUGCAUGGUUUCUUGAUUCAGGAUGUUCUAACCACAUGUGUGGUUAUAAAGCCAUGUUCAGUGAUCUCAACUUAGAAUUUCGACAUUCUAUGAAGUUGGGGAAUAACACAAGGAUGAAUGUAAUGGGUAAAGGAAGUGCGAAGAUACUGCUGACUGGAAUCAAUCAUGUUAUUGCUGAAGUGUAUUAUGUCCCGGAUUUGAGAAAUAACCUCCUGAGCAUAGGCCAGUUGCAAAAGAGGGUUAGAUAUCUUAUUCAAAGGUGGAACCUGCAAGAUAUUUCAUCCAAAAAGGGGAUUAAUAAUCCAAACCACCAUGAGCAUAAAUCGAAUGUUCAUCUUAUUGCCUGAUUCCCAAUCUUCUUCUCAAGAACAAGCUGAUCAAUGCUUCCUCACAGGAACACAAAAUUUGUGCCAUCUUUGGCAUCGAAGGUAUGGACACUUGAGCUACAAAGGCCUAAGAACUCUAUCAUCUUUGCCAGCUUUGAUUCGGUUCAAUCUAAUUUCGUGGACAUCACAUGUUAAACAGGAACCUGAAAAUCUUUCGGUCUGUUUAUUCGGAGGGGAAUUAAUGCUCAACUUGUUACGACUUUGACAGAGCAGCUCCUAUUGUGUUUGUUGCCAUUGCAUGUGCAACAAAUGGACGGCACCAACCAUUGUAUCCUUGGCAGCCACCAUUGUCAAAGAAGGAGGCUACAAUGGUGGCUUGUUGGUGGGAGCCACCAACCAUUGACUUUGGCAGCCACCAUUAUUGAAGAAGAGCUGGAGUUUGGCAGCCACCAUUGCUGACAAAGGAGCAAGAAGAGCUGCCAUUGAUGCCUAUAAAAGAGGUAUGAUUUUAGAGAGCAAAAUGAGAGAGAUUGUGAGAAAUGUAGAGAGACCAAGAGAGAAAGUGAAGGGCUGCAAUGGCAGCAGCCUUGCUACCAUUGCAUCAGCUGCAAGGGCAGCAAUGAGAGCUGGGAGUAGAGUAGAGUAAAGUGAUCUUCCUCCUCCAUGUAUUUGUUUUGUAAUCCUUUCUCUAUCUCUAAAUAAAACGAACCUCUCCCGUGGAUGUAGACAAUUUGCCGAACCACGUUAAAUAUUAUGUCAGUAUGCUUCCCCUCCUAUGAGUAAUUAUCAGUACAUCACCGGUCGAAAUCCCUAACAAUUGAUAUUAGAGCAUAUGGUUUAAGUGGUGUUUGAUUUUUUUUUUCUCAAAAAUGAAAGUUGUCAUUGGUGAAAACAACGUCAAAAUCGGACGUCGGACAUGGCCGCACUCUCCAUCACUCUCCGGCAAGGUGUCUGCCCAUGCGCGCGUGCCACGCGUCUUCUUCAAUCGGAUGGGUUGACUUGGCCCGAAUAACAGUUGACCCGACCCAUGUGACUGACUUGGAUAAGGAUGACAUCAGCAUGACGUAAAAGUGACGUCAUCAUGAACAGUACACAUACCAGGGAUGACAUCAGCAUGAUGUGAUUGUGACAUCAUCAUGUACAGUACAUGCAGAGGAUGAUGUUAGCCUGAUGUAACGAUGACGUCAGCAUGCAAUUGCCCAGCAUAGUGAGACCCACUUGCCACGUCAUCAGCUGUGAGCCGAGGGAUUGGAUCCAGUGUAGCUGAUCCUACGUCCAACCGGAUCUGAGAUUGAAUAUGAGCCGUUGAUAAGGCCAGAAUUGUUUUAAUCAAUUCUUAGUCGUCUGAAAUGCGAUUUGGACGAUUUCAGACUUGUUUUCAGCUAAUUUGAUCAUUCCGGAUGCAAUGGUACGGUCCGAUUAUUGAUAUUUGAGACCAAAAAGUGGCGGUGGUGAAUUAUUAAAGAGAGAUUGCCCGAUCAGGAGGCAUCUGAAUAUAUUGAUGGAGGUCGAUGGAGAUGAAGAAGAAGAAGAAGGUGCACAUGUUUACCCAAUUAUAUGUGCUGAACUAUUAAAUGGGGAAAUCUAAUGCCUUAAUAGAAGGCAAAAUUGGGACACUCUGGACACCCGGUUAUGUGGACAAUUAGAGGUGUAGAGUGAAAACUGAUGAAGACCAAUCUUGACGAAUCUAAGCACUAGUAGUCUCGUUAAUGUUGAGAAAUCAUGUAUUAAACCUGUAUAUUCCAGAUCACUUGUAAAGGAAAGCCGCAACAAAGCUAGCAAAUGGUUGUAUAUACGGAAAGACAGUACGAUGGAUAAUAUGGCCUAAGAAGUUCUGUCUAGGAGAUUGGUUUUAAGCGGGACCAGUGUGACCCUCCAAUCUUUCCUGGGAACUUGCUUAGUGGAAGGAUUAUCCAUACAGUACUAUUUUCGUAUAUGUAACAGUUUGUAAUGAAACUGGUGAAGACUAGCAGGAAGAUGACACAAGGGGAACAGUUGGGUUCCGUAUGAUCAAGGAUCUGAUGGAGUGGUGAUUUCUCCAAAGAAGGUAGAUUCGGUAACUGUGAUUUCUCGAGGGGAGAAUUGAUGAAGACCCUGAUAAUGGAAGAGAAAUACAGCAAGAGAAUAAAGAUUGACACCCUAUUUUUGACUUGGACAGAUGUUGUGACAGGAUGAGUUGCUGUCAAACAUAAGCAAGGAAUAUGGAGAAAUCUGGAGAACAGAAAUUGCACAAAGGCACACAGAGAUUGUGUAGGAGUACCCAUAGGAUCCUAACGAGGUACUAUAUUGAGACAACAUGUGCAAGAAGAAGAAAAGUUCCCAGAUGAAGCUUAGAGCAGAGACUGAGUGAAAAAGUUGUACAACAAGAAGUCUCUUAUGCUCUUGAUAAAGGCAACAAAUGAGGACCUUUCCAAUACAUGCAAGGAUGAAAGAUGAGUUGUUGCAGAGGCACCUAAUUGAGGGGGUGCGAACGCCUGUGAUAAAAGGCGAAGACACCAUAGAGAGGUGGUGUAGGUGGAGUUGUCAAGCAAAAAGGUGUAAAGCUCCAAACAUAGAAAUCGAGGUGGAGGAUUGCGAGGAGUAUACCGCAACUUUCUCUUUCUAUGUAGUUAGUGGCAGUAAUCUCUCUCAAGUCCACAUGGUGGUAGAGAAUCUUGGAGCCACUAGAGUCAUCCUGAUGAAGGAGGAUGAGACCGCUCCACGACGAGCGAAGACACCUUAGAGGAAGGUGUGAGGGUCGUGAUAGGAGCCCCAUUUCAGACCGCCGCAUGACAACGAGCGGAGACACCUUAGAGAAGGUGUGAGGGCUAGGAUAGGAGCCCCAAUUCAGAACGCCCUAGAGCCGAUAUGAUGGCUAGAUAUAAGUGGACAGGUGGAUAGCCAAUGAAGUGGCUAUGAUGAGUAUGAAGACAAAUACAGGAUUGACUUUCAUGGAUAUUGCCCCCAUGCUAAAGAUCAAUGAGCUAGAAGACAUUUGCCUUGGACAAUAAGUGUGUGACUUGUGGAGCAUUAAGACGUGACUGUUAUGAAUGAGCAGAGGGCAUGUGCAGGUUCUGGGAACAAGUUGACUCUUGUCAAGGUGGUGAGCUCGGUGAUGGCAUUGUAAUACUAGAGUAUGAAGAUAGAUAUGGAUCAACCUUUAAUGGGUUGCCCCCAUGGUUAAAGGUGGAGAGCUACCUGGACUCUUGAGACUAAGAGCGAGAGACUCACGGAGAAGUAAGGCGUGGUUCCUAGGGUGGAACAGAGGGCAGACACAACUCCUGGAUAACUAGACUCUUGGAAGAGUGGUGAACUUGUGAUCAUAUUGAGAUACUCAGUUAAUGACUGUCGCACUUGGAAUAUCCGUUUGAGGGGGUGUUGUAAGCCUUGGUGUGAGGCUUGAUGAAACAUUCCGGACCGAGCAUCGUUGAUACGCUCGAAGGGGAAUGUUGUGUCCCAGAGACAAGCGUUAACACUCUUCAGAUGUGAAGUGGCAGACCAUCUGGUUGUAGUGAUCCUUUUGUGUGAGAAAAGGUGUGCUUUUGUGACUCUGGUGAUUGAAAGGUUUGGCGAGUACCUGUAAACUUGGCCACAGACGCUCUCAGAGUGGUAAGCUUAGAAGAGCUGCAAAAUGCAAGUUUGUGCUGAAGAAGUAAGAGGACAGUUGCCCCAUACGAAUGGCAAAUGGGGUGAUUGUUGGAUUGGUUGUCAUUGCAUGUGCAGUAAAUGGACGGCACCAACCAUUGCAUCCUUGGCAGCCACCAUUGUCAAAGAAGGAGGCUACAAUUGUUGGUGGCAGCCACCAACCAUUAACUUUGGCAGCCACUAUUAUUGAAGAAGAGUUGGAGUUUGGCAGCCACCAUUGCUGACAAAGGAGCAAGAGGAGCUGCCAUUGAUGCCUAUAAAAGAGGCAUGAUUUUAGAGAGCAAAAUGAGAGAGAUUGUGAGAAAUGUAGAGAGACCAAGAGAGAAAAUGAAGGGCUGCAAUGGCAGCAGCUGCAAGGGCAGCAAUGAGAGCUGGGAGUAGAGUAGAGUGAAGUGAUCCUCCUCCUCCAUGUAUUUGUUUUGUAAUCCUUUCUUUAUCUCUAAAUAAAAUGAACCUCUUCUGUAAAAUGAAUUGAGGACAGAGUCUACAAAGUCAUUGACUUCAGGAAUUGUGUUGCACCAAGCAGCGAUGACUCCAUCAGGUUUUUUGAGUAUUCAAAUAUUUUUUUUUAGUAAAUUUAUUAUUGGUUUGAUGUGUUAAUGUUAAAAAUAAAAAAUAUUAUUUUAAUAUAUUUUAGAAUAAAAAAUAUUUAAAAAUACAACCACUACAAUACUUUUAUUUUGUUUAAGUUGUUAUAAAGAAAACAAAAAUACAGGGUAUCAUAAAUUUACCGAGAAAAAAACUUUACAUGGAGAAUGAAAAAUGAUUCGAAAAUAUACUGAAUGCUAAGAAACUAAUGUGGGUGACAUGUAUUUUUGAUAGAAGAGCUUGGUCCAGUUUCGCUGGUGUGGUCGAUAAUUGAAGCAGGCUAGGAUGAUAGGAUUAACGUCGUGGAUGAUGAGCAAUUUCUUGGAAGAAGUGACUCUUACCUGUUAGAAUAUGGUCUCGUCUUUUGCCUACUCGGGCAAUUUCUUGGAAGAAGCCGUAGCAGCAGCAUGGUUCCAAACAAAAGUCUACAUAUGAGCUACAUAAUUAGACCCAGUAUAGAGGGUUUUGUUAAUAUAAUAUUUGUUGUAUUAAAUUUUAUUUUACUAAACUGAGGAUCAACUAAGCAACUAUAUUUCUUUGACCCGUCAACAUCCCUGGGCAUUGAGGGUUUUGUUAAUAUAAUAUUUGUUGUAAUGUUCGUAUGAAUACAACUUCGUUUCCUGUAUUGACACAUGUUAGCAUACUUGUCAAUUAUCUGGAACACAACAACUAGGUAUCAACAUCAUUACGUAAUUACUUGAUUAAUUAUAUCUUAAACUCAAGAAGUAGUGAAUCAAAUAAUCACCCACGUAAUUAAUUAUCUAAUGGUUUAUAUAAUUAGUUGAUUUAUCUUAUUAAUCCGUCUCUCAUGGCAAUCGAAGAGAGUAAUGUAUUUUUUCUAUGAUGCCACAUGUUGGUAUAUGAUAUUCUCUGUGAUGGCACAUGUUCCUAUGUGAUUUUGAUAUUUUCUUUGUUGUUUUUCAAAUUAGUCUUUGCAAUCUCCAUGCAUAUUUUCCACAAAAUCUAAGUUGAUAUUUUCUAUGAUUUCACAUGCUGGUAUAUGAUUUUCUGUUGUAAUAUUGUUCUAGUUGUGUUGAUGCGUUAGUAUCCUAUGUAUAUAUCUAUACAUAUAUAUGUAUGUAUAUAUAUAUAUAUGUAUGUAUGUAUGAGUGGAUGAUGAAUGUAAGUAUAGGAAUUGUUGAAUGCAAUAUAUAGAAACAACUGAGAUUUUUUUUUUUUAAGAUACAAGAAGUAAAAGGUGCUGAUUUUGCAAGACAACGGAGGAGAAUAACUCCGCCUUGAAAGAAGAGGCCUUUUCUUGUACUAAAUCCGGUCAUUUGGAAGUUCAAAACUACUCUAGCACAGCUACUUAUUUGCAUAUUUAUGUGUUCUGUGGGUAUUUUGCUCUGAUAUUUGGUAAUGUUUUUAAUGUUGUCUCUCUGAUAUCAGUAUCUUUGAUCAAGCCUCCAACAACGGAUGAUCAUAGCUAGUGCUUAGUAGUCUGUGUCAACAAUGUCUGAAACACAUCUAAGUGAAAUAAGGAUUGAUCCAUUGAUCAACAAAGAGGAAGGGAUUCAUAACAACCAACCUCAAGAGCUGAAGAUGGAUGGAACAUUAGGAAAUUACCCACUGAAAAAGGAUGAGCGUUCUUCGUGGUUUAGUUCCAUAAUGAUCAGAGAGGACAAAGACACUAAGAACAACCAGCCACUCGGGCCAAAGAUUCCGAAAGUUGCAGACAAGCUUAGAAAUGAAAACGAGGAAUGCUACAGUCCCUUGAUGGUCUCAAUUGGGCCUUACCACUCUCCGGGUCAUCAUAACAAUCUCAGAGAAGAGGAGAUUCCAAAGGUUUCGAUGGCUCGCCAAUUCAUCCUAGAUAGUGGAAAAAACAUAGAACUCGUCUACAGAGAAGUAGAAAAGGGUAUCCAAAACGCAAGAGAAUUUUACAACGAGAUCGACAUGAAAGGCUAUGAUGACGAGCAAUUGACCCGGAUGAUGUUUAUUGAUGGAUGCUUUAUUCUCCAAUUCAUCCAUUGUGUGACACAUAAUUAUGAAAAUUUAGAGAUGACUGAUCGGCAAGUUGCUGGUGUGAAGCGGGAUUUGUUAUUACUGGAGAACCAGAUCCCUUUUCCAGUCCUGAAAUCACUGACGAGUCUGAGGUACGAAAAAGAUGGAACUAAUCAUGGAAUGAAACAUGUGAAUGAUUUUCUUUUUUUCCAUAUUCUCAACCCGAAAGAUCAACCAUUGCGGACUCGAAAAUUACUUUGGUCUACCGUUAGUCUCCUGUUAUUGUUUCUUCCAAUUGCUCUUCCAUUUGUUUUAUCACGCACUUCUAUCGGUCAUAAUCAUGGCCUGGUUUUGUUGAGCAUGGUGCCAAUAUUUGCCGUGUUGGAAUUAUGUGUCGUGAUAACACCUUGGCUUUUGUGGUUGCUACUAAGAAAGAGGAGGCGAGCCUCAGGAUAUGAUUCGCAAUGGCAGCCUGAUGAAGAACCUGCCCAUCUUCUUCAACUUCUAUAUUUUCUUUUCAUAGGCAAGUCGUCUUCACGAAGAUGCGGCCAUUGCUUGUCUUAUUUGGCCACUUUUCUUAAGAAAUUCAUUCGUACAAAGUCCAAGCCAGUUGCUCGAGGAAGGCGUGGCCAUUACUUGUAUUAUACUGCCAAGGAACUUAAGAAGGUGGGAAUCCAUUUCAUGUCUAGUCAGACUAGUGCUUUGACGGAUGUCAAGUUCAGGUCAUCAUGUUUCCAUGGAACAUUGAAGCUUCCUUCAAUUACCAUAGAUGAGUCAACAAGGUCCAUGCUCUUGAACUUAGUGGCCUACGAAACAUAUGCUGCACUCAAUCCACUUUGGGUCACUUCUUACAUAUGUUUCAUGGAUUCGCUGAUUGACGAUGCUGAUGACGUGAAAGAGCUGCGAUCAACGGGCAUAAUUAUUAAUUUCCAUGGAUCUGACCAGCAGGUUGCGGAUCUCUUCAACCAUAUGGGCCGUUUUCUUGAACCUGAUACUAUGUUUAUAAUGAUGUUAAAAGAGAGAUAAAUGAGCAGUGUGAGAGCAUCGUGAAGAAAUGGGUAGCUGAGUGGCGGCAAACUUAUUUUCAGAGUCCCUGGGCCUUCAUUGCAUUUGCUGCCGCCGCUUUGGGUUUGGCUCUUACCGCCACUCAGACGUACUAUACAAUGGACCCACCCAAGAAUAAUUCAACACGCUAAUGCCAUAUUCUGGUUGUUAGAAUCAGUUAGAAUAAAUAACAGACUACCAAAUUAUCGUUAGCAAUAUCUUUCUGUUAGAUUUGUUAUUCUAUCUGUUAUUCUGGUAGCAUGUAUUAAAGGUUAUAUAAAGCCAAGAGUUCUUAUUGAAUAAUACAAUUUCCAUUCAUCUCAGUUCACGUAUACUUCUUUAAUCACCCACAGUUCUAACAAAUUGGUAUCAGAACCUCCACUAGGCCUAAAAUUCAAAGCAGCAGACUUUGAAAUCUUUUUGCGGCAGCAUAGCAAGAUGACUACAGAAGGAAGUUUUGUCCAGCCAGCUAUUCCAAGAUUCAAUGGUCAUUAUGACCAUUGGAGUAUGUUAAUGGAAAACUUCCUUCGAUCCAAGGAAAUGUGGGAACUGGUGGAGAUUGUAUAUAUUGAGGCAAAUGGAUCAAUGCAAACUGAUGGACAACAAAAGAAGAACGAUGAGAUGAAGCUGAAAGAUUUGAAAGUAAAAAAUUAUCUCUUUCAGGCAAUUGAUCGAACGGUUCUUGAUACUAAUCUCAAGAAAGACACUGCCAAAAUAUAUGGGAUGCAAUUCGAAGGAAAUGCAAGGGUUAAGAGAUCUCAUCUUCAAGCUCUCCGUAGAGAGUUUGAAACACUUGAAAUGAGGUCUGGUGAAGGAGUGACAGAGUACUUCUCUAGAGUCAUGACAGUGGCCAAUAAAAUGAGAAUUUAUGGAGAAGACAUGCAGGAUGUCAAAGUAGUGGAGAAGUUUUACGAUCGUUGACUGAGAAAUUCAACUAUGUUGUAUGUUCUAUUGAAGAGUCAAAGGACAUUGAUGCUCUCACUGUUGAUGAAUUACAGAGUUCAUUAAUCGUCCAUGAGCAGAAAUUUGUGAGACAUAAAAGUGAGGAACAAGCUCUGAAGGUGACAUAUGAAGGAGGCAGAGGUCGUGGCCGAAUUGCCUAUCGAGGAAGAGGAAGAGGCAGAGGACGAACAGACUUCAAUAAAGCAACAAUUCAAUGUUACAGAUGCCAUCGACUUGGACAUUUCCAAUAUGAAUGUCCCACUGUGAACAAAGAAUCACUUUAUGCAGAACUUGAUGAGGAGGAGGAAAUGCUUCUGAUGGCUUAUGUGGAGAAACAUCAAGCCAGAAAAGAAGAUGCAUGGUUUCUUGAUUCAGGAUGUUCUAACCACAUGUGUGGUUAUAAAGCCAUGUUCAGUGAUCUCAACUUAGAAUUUCGACAUUCUAUGAAGUUGGGGAAUAACACAAGGAUGAAUGUAAUGGGUAAAGGAAGUGCGAAGAUACUGCUGACUGGAAUCAAUCAUGUUAUUGCUGAAGUGUAUUAUGUCCCGGAUUUGAGAAAUAACCUCCUGAGCAUAGGCCAGUUGCAAGAAAGAGGGUUAGAUAUCUUAUUCAAAGGUGGAACCUGCAAGAUAUUUCAUCCAAAAAGGGGAUUAAUAAUCCAAACCACCAUGAGCAUAAAUCGAAUGUUCAUCUUAUUGCCUGAUUCCCAAUCUUCUUCUCAAGAACAAGCUGAUCAAUGCUUCCUCACAGGAACACAAAAUUUGUGCCAUCUUUGGCAUCGAAGGUAUGGACACUUGAGCUACAAAGGCCUAAGAACUCUAUCAUACAGGAACAUGGUGCGUGGUCUUCCUCCACUCUCAACCUCAAAUGCCACCUGCACUGAUUGCUUAAAAGGAAAGCAACAUCAUGAUCCCAUUCCAAAAAAAAGCACCUGGAGAGCAUCUCAGAAACUGGAACUCAUUCAUGCUGACAUUUGUGGGCCGAUCACCCCUACAUCCAACAACAACAAGAGGUAUAUUCUGCUAUUUAUAGAUGACUAUAGUAGGAAAACCUGGGUAUAUUUUCUGGUAGAGAAGUCAAAGGCCUUCAGUUCAUUUAAAAGUUUUAAGUCCAUGGCUGAGAAACAAACAGGUUUGUUUGUUAAAUGUCUUCGCACUGACAGAGGAGGAGAAUUCAUUUCAAAGGAAUUCAACGAAUUUUGCAAACACAAUGGAAUUAAGAGGAAGAUGACAACUGCCUAUACCCCGCAACAGAACGACAUAGCGGAGAGGAAGAACAUAACCGUAAUGAACAUGGUUCGAUCCAUGUUAUCUGACAAAAACAUUCCCAAAACCUUCUAGGCAGAGGCUGUAAACUGGGCAGUUUAUGUUCUUAAUAGGUGCCCCACGUUGGCAGUAAGGGAUGUUACACCAGAGGAAGCCUGGAGUGAGAUGAAACCCUCGGUGGAUCAUUUUAAGGUUUUUGGUUGCAUAGCACACGUUCAUGUUCCAGAAGAGAGAAGAACAAAGCUUGACAACAGAAGCAUUACUUGCGUAUUAUUGGGGGUUAGUGAGGAGUCAAAAGGUUACAGACUUUUUGAUCCUGUGGCAAAGAAAAUUAUCGUGGGCAGGGACGUAAUCUUUGAAGAAGAAAAGUUGUGGAAUUGGGGUGAGAACUGUGACCAGCAAUUAGUGGAAAAUUUAAACUGGGGUGAUGAAGAUGAAGUCUUGGCAAGGGAAAAUAGUGACAGAGGAGAUGGUAUUGAUGAUGCAGAACAACCUGGUGGAAACAAUCACAGAGAGGGUGAUGAAGAAGAAGAAUCUUGUGAUACGGGAGCUGGUGAUACAGGAGCUGAAACAAUAAAUUCCAGAGAAAGUGACGAAAGAGUGCGGGAGAGUGAAAUCAUGCAGCAUGGAGAAAAAAGUUCAAGACAAUUACGUGAUAGGCAGCCUCCCACGUGGAUGGAAGAUUAUGUCAGUGGUGAAGGGUUGUAUGAGGAUGAAACAAAUAUGGCACUUGAGGUGUCAACAGAUCCCUCGGUUUAUGAAGAAGCUGUGAAGAAAAUAGAUUGAAGGAUGGCCAUGAACAGUGAAAUUGAAUCUAUUGAGAAGAAUAAAACGUGGACACUACUGAAUUACUAGCGGGAACAAAAAAAAAUAGGGGUGAAAUGGGUGUAUAAAACCAAAUAUGAUGAGAAUGGGAAAAUCGAGAAAUACAAGGCUUGGUUGGUGGCAAAAGGGUAUUCUAAAAAAUAUGAUGUAGAUUAUACAGAAGUGUUUGCUCCGGUAGCAAGAAUGGAUACAGUGCGAAUGAUUAUCGCUUUGGUUGCGCAUAGAAAUUGGAUAAUUUCUCAGCUGGAUGUCAAAUUGGCUUUUCUUCAUGGCGAGUUAAGUGAAGAGGUUUAUGUAGAGCAACCAAGAGGAUAUGAAAAGAAAGGGAGCGAGCAUCUGGUUUACAAACUGCACAAAACACUGUAUGGUUUGAAACAAGCUCCACGAGCUUGGUUCAGUUGAAUUGAAGCACAUUUCAUUGGCGAAGGAUUUCAGAGAUGCGAAAGUGAGCAGACCUUAUUUACAAGAAGAACCCAAGAAGGAAGAAUCAUCAUUGUGAGUAUCUAUGUCGAUGACUUAAUCUUUACUGGAAAUGAUGAGGUAAUGCUAUCUAAUUUUAAAAACUCUAUGUUAAGGGAGUUUGAUAUGACUGACUUGGGAAAAAUGAGGUUUUUCCUUGGAAUUGAGGUGUUACAAAAAUCUGAUGGCAUUUAUAUAUGUCAAAGGAAGUAUGCUUUAGAGAUUUUAAGAAGAUUUGGUAUGAUGGAGAGUAAUUCGGUAGAAAGUCCAAUAGUUCCAGGAUUUAAGAUAAGUAGAAAUGAAGAUGGAAAUACUGUUGAUGAAACCCACUACAAACAGUUAGUGGGUAGCUUAAUGUAUCUUACUGCUACAAGACCCGACAUGAUGUUCGUUAUUUGCCUCAUAAGUAGAUACAUGACAAGACCUAUGGAGAUUCAUCUACAAGCAGUUAAGAGAGCUCUUCGAUAUCUAAAAGGAACUGUGAACUAUGGCAUUCAUUAUAAAAGGGGGGGAGAAGGAGAGUUGUUAGCAUUCACGGAUAGUGAUUAUGCUGGCGAUAUGGAAGACAGGAAAAGCACAUCUGGUUAUGUUUUUCUAAUAGGUUCAAGUGAUGUCUCAUGGUGUUUGAAGAAACAACCUAUUGUGAAUUUAUCAACAACGGAAGUUGAAUUCGUGGCAGCAGCAGUAUGUGCCUGCCAAGGAGUAUGGAUGAAGAGAAUUUUACAGGAACUGAGACACUUAGAUGAAGGUUGUACAAUCAUAAUGUGUGACAAUAGUUCAACUAUUAAGUUGUCUAAAAAUCCCGUAAUGCAUGGUCGCAGUAAGCAUAUUGAUGUGAGGUUUCAUUUCUUAAAAAACCUUACUAAGGAGGGUACAGUUGAGUUAAUUCAUUGUGGGAGUCGGGAUCAAAUCGCAGAUAUAAUGACCAAGCCAUUAAAGCUCGAAGUGUUUCAAAAGCUUCGGAAGUUACUGGGAGUAUGUGAAAUACUACCAUAAUAUAAACUAAUUGCUUCAUAAGCAUUUAGUUUAAGGGAUGGAAUGAAGGGGUCUUCUCGUAAACCACAUUCUGGUUGUUAGAAUCAGUUAGAAUAAAUAACAGACUGGCAAAUUACAGUUAGCAAUAUCUUUCUGUUAGAGUUCGUUAUUCUUUCUGUUAUUCUGGUAGCAUGUAUUAGAGGCUAUAUAAAGCCAAGAGUUCUUAUUGAAUAAUACAAUUUCCAUUCAUCUCAGUUCACGUAUACUUCUUUAAUCAUCCACAGUUAUAACAUUGCGAUGAUGUAGAAACUAUAUAUGGUUCUUAUUCAACAGAAUGUGUAAUGUUUCAGGAAGGGAAUUAAAUUGUAAUGAAUUCUGUCAGCUUGUAAGACAUAAGAUGAUUUCAUUUAGGCUAAUGCUAUGAGAGCAAAUUAAGGGCAUUGUGUGCUAAAUCAAUCUGUUCAGGUUCGCUUUUUACUGAUGUUUUCCUCUUGAGUGUAAUUUUUAGUUAGGGGGCUUUGAAAUGAACUUUCAACACACAUUUAGACAAAAUAAAACUUUAACAUACUACGCAAAAAGUAUAAAAUUUUCAACAUGUAAAUUUCAAUACAAUGGCGAAGAGAAAUUUAAUCUUGAAGCUUGAUUGUUUUUUUUUCUAGAGGGAGCACAUGAUCAUUUAAGGCUCAUAUUUCAAAGAACUUUUAUUAAAGAUCAAUAUUAUAAUAUUAUGAAAUAAAAAUUUAGAUUAUAAUAAAAAAUUAACAAAAAAGAAUCAAAAAUAAUUUUUUUUAAAAUUUUCACGGUUCAAAAACCAUGUUUAAAAAGAAAAAUCACAUUUAUUGAAUUUACUUUUUUUAAAACGAACCAAUUGAGAUCAAUAUUGAUUUUUUUUUUUAAUGAUGACAAUCAAAACUUUUCUUUCUUCUUCUCUUUUUCAAUGAUUUUCUCUAUGCUCUCUCAAUUUUUCAGGCUUAAAAUAUUCUAAAAAUAAAGUAUAAUAUUGUAAUGUAAAAUUCUAGAACAAUAGGGAAACUUCAGUAACUAAAGUUGAAGUUUUUCAUGCCUUCAACAUCGAAAAUGGAAAAGAAUCUACUCUUUUGUGUUGAUUUUAUAAAAUAAUAUUGUUGUGAAGAAGGAUGCAAUGCAAGAAUGCGAUAUCUUAAACAAAUGAUAGCAGGUGUGUUCAUGGCAAGAGUUGGUUAAUUGUGAGCAAACGAUGAACAACCAACUUAUUUAGUAUUGUGAUCCAAUCAUAUUUUUUUAAAAUUUUAAAAUUUGUUUUUUUAAUUUUAAAUUAAUACUUUUUUUAGUAUUUUUAAAUGGUUUUUAAAUAUUUAUGUCAAAAAUAUAAUUGUUGUACUAAUAAUUUUUCUCACGUAUUUUGAAGAAUAGAUUGCCAGAGAAACUUCAUAUCCAGCGUCAGUUUUAAACCCUUUUGUUCAGUAACUUCCCUGCUAAUUUUUCAGCUGUUUGGUUGAACAUCAACUUAUUGAUGGUGGAAGAUUGGACAUUUUGACUAACACAAAGUAAUUAAGCAGCAGCCUUCAAGGGGUAGAGACGAGACAAACCACCAUUCUAAUUCCAUGAGCAUUACAGUGAUCAACAGAGAACUUUUCAUUGAGGAACAUCUUAACUUUUCCAUUUAUCUAGUUAGUGAACCAUUUGAUUUACAGUCUCAUGCAUUUCCCACCUUGCCAAUCCUCAGGUAGACAGGAAACUUGACAACUUUUUGGUCGGGCCCAUCUUCAUUCCAAGCACGCUUGAAACUCUCAAUCAUAUCAUCCCUCAGUAGCUCCACACCUUUGUCUUGGCCGUUUGAUACGCAGACCAUGACCUUAGGUACGUAAAAUACUCAUCUAAAUCCAUCAGUUUCUCUGCUACAAACUUGAAUGGUCCUGUAUGAUCAGCUCCUUCAACUGGCUCAAAGGGAAAAUCAAUGCUCAUAUACUUGUCGUCGAUCAAUUUAAGCUGCGGUUCCCAGUAGGGAUGAGAAUCAAUGGAGUAAAAUGGAUUGAGGACAGAGUCUACAGAGUCACUGACUUCAGGAACUGUGUAGCACCAAGCAGCGAUGACUCCAUCAGAUUUUUUGAGUAUCCAUUUUACUUGUUGGUAAAAUGCAUGGAGAUCAAACCAAUGCAUGGCUUGAGCAAUAGUCACUAGAUCAACACUAGAUUGUGUUGACACAGUCUGUUCAAGUCCACUCUUUGACAUUACUGAAGGCGUAUGGUGGUAGCUCACAUUGGGAAGUUUUGGUGCAAAUUCCAGUUGUUUCAGGCUUGUGUCUGUUCCUGUUACAUGCUAGUAUAUCCCAGCUAGCUGAAAUUAAGAAACUUGGAUUGGUUAGAAUACUAGUCUUAUCAAGAAUUGCAAUCAACACAGAUGUCAGGUAGAAGAACUGGAUAAGAGACAGAGGAGGCAAGAGAACUCACCGAUCGAGCAGCCUGCCCACUUCCUGUGCCAACAUCCCAUACAAGGUCAUGAGCGGGAGUUUUUGAGGCAAUGAAUUGGAACAGUUCUUGAGGAUAACUUGGCCUUGUCUCUGCAUAUUGUUUUGCCUGAUUAACGAACAACUCCGCCAUUUCUUCCUCUUUGUGAGCUUGUUUUGCUAUUUAAAAAUGGAUGUGAUUGUCUUAUCUUGCUCCUCUACCAUUUAUAUGGCUUUCAUAUUUCAAGAUAUUGUCACAAGGGCAACGAAAAACAUAUUGGCAGGCUGGAGGGGAUGAAUAACAGGGGAUGCAUUAUCUAUUUUGCAUGGGUAGCCAAUUUUGAUGCUUCCAUUUGGUUUGACUAAUUAUUCUUUCUUAAUAAUUAUGAAAGACUUUUGACUUAAUUCAAUGUAUCUCAUGUGAUUUCUUCUUCUUCUAAUGGUACCUCUUGUUAUUGGAUUUGAUAUUUGGUUUGAUUUAUCUGCCCAAUACUAAAUGGGUAUGUUUUUAGAGCAUAUGAAAAGGUUGAUAGAAGAUAAUGCAUUAGAUUCUAUUGUUUUUUAUAUUUUAAAAUUGCUUUUAAAACAAUAAAUUUAUGUUUAUUUUUUUGUUGUUUUGAAUAAUUUUUUUAUUGGUGUUUUCAAAUUAUUUUGAUGUAGUGAUAUUAAAAAUAUUUUUUUAAAAAUAAAAAAUUAUUAUUUUAAUAUAUUUUGGAAUAAAAAUAUUUUAAAAAAUAACUAUAAAAAUUCUUUUAUUUCCUUCAAGUUGUUAUAAAGAAAACAAAUAUAGGGUAUCAGAAAAUUACCGAGAAGAAACUUUACAUGGAAGAAUGAAAAAUGAUUCGAAAAUAUACUGAGUGCUAAGAAACUAAUGUGGCUGGCAUGUAUAUUUUGAGAGGAGAGGUUGGUCCCACUUUGCUGGUGUGGUCGAUAAUUGAGGUAAGACCAAGAUUUAACGUCAUGGAUGAUGAGGGCAAUAGAUCUUCAAUUUUCAGUGCGUAGGCGCCAAGUUUGGAAAGGGAGUGAUGGCCAAGUUUUGAAUAAAGUAUUUUUUGUGUUGAAAUUUAUUAAUUUUUUUAUUUUUUUAAAAUUAUUUUUGAGAUUAAUACAUUAAAAUAAUUUAAAACAUAUAAAAAAAAUUUAAUUUUUAAUAAAAUUAAUUUUUAAUUUUUUAAAAUAUAAAUUUAACCCCAUUCUCAAAUAGUCAAUUCAAGAAGCGGCUCUUACCUGUUACAAUAUGGUCUCGUCUUAAUAUCUUAAUUUAAUAAUUUUUUAUGAUACUGUUUAACUCUAUUUUAAUAUCUAAAUAUUAAUUUUUGUACAAAAAAAUAGUUUCACCCAUAGUUAUCAAACUCAAUCCGAGAGUUGAUCGGACCAAAAAGUCGGGUCCCGGGUUUCAUGAGUGAACCCAUAAGAAUUAAAAAAUAUAUAUUAAAAGUUUUAAUAUUUCAUAUAAAAAAAUUAAGAAACAAUUCAUGUGAAUAUAAACUAUACAUGUUGUAAAUAAUGAAGUUUAAAAGAAUACUUCUAAAAUUUUUUUAUCCCACAUUGAAAAAAUACUAUGUCAUCCUUUUAAGUUGAAGUAUUUAAACUAAAAAGUAUUUUAUCCCACAUUGAAAAAAAUAUAACUUUUGUCCUGUGAAUAUAGAGUAUAUAUAUGAAAGGAUUUCAAAUUCCACAUUGAAAAAAUAAUUUUUUUUUCUUGGAAACAUGGAGUUUAUAUACUAAAGGGUUUCAAAUCUUACAUUGAAAAAACGUAAUUUUUUUUUUUGUUAACAUAGAAUAUAUAUACGAAACGACUUCAAAUUCCACAUUGAAAAAAUAAUUUUUUUUCUUGGGAACAUAGAAUAUAUUUAUUAAAGGGUUUUAAAUCUCACAUUGAAAAAACAACAUAUUUUUCUAAUAUUUAUAUAAUGAACUUUAAAAAGUGUUAAUAACCAACUAAAAAAAAAAAAAAAAUAAAGGGGUAUAAGAGAAAAACAAAAAAAAAAAAUCAGGUGUUGUCCGGGUUCGCCCGGGUCAUGGGUCGACUCGCCAGGCCAGGCUGAGUUUAAUAACAAUGGUCUUAAUUGCUCCAAACCAACAAAAAUUAGUUUUAUUUUAACAAAUUGAGCAUCAACCAAGUGCUUUGGAACUUUUCUUUAAUAUUGUGAGAUUCUUAUAUUUAAGCAACAAAAAUAAAUCAUUAGGUAAAUUAAAAAAAGUAUCAAAUUAAAAAAAAAACUUAAGUAAUAAAAAAAAUCAGCCUAAAUUUUUUUCUGGCACAUGCAACCCAGUUUCUAAUAGGAGAAAAUUAAAGGGGUUUAAUAGUUGUCAAAUCUUAAAAUUUAUCAAUAAAUUUUUUUUUAUGCCAAACUAUUCAUCAACUAAGCAAUUAAAUAUUUCUUUAACAACUCAACAUCUUCAUUAAUAGGAAGACGAAGAAAGCUGGCAAGCCCAAAUCUAUAUUAUUGCAAUGUCACAUAUACUAAAAAAAAAAAAAAAAGAUGAAGAAGUUAAAAAAAACUCAAGAAAAAAGAAAUUAAAAUAUUAAAAUAUUAAACGUGGUAUGUUUUGCUAUGAUGCAACAUUUUGGUGUAUGAUAGUGACAUUUUCUUUGAUGCUUUUCAAAGCAGUCUUUGCAGAUUGUAUACAUAUUUCCCUUUCUUUUGUCAUUGUCCAUAAAAAUUAAGUUGAUAAAUUCUAUGAUGACACAUGUCGUAUGUGAUUUUGAUGUUUUCUUUGUUGUUUUUCAAAUUAGUCUUUGCUAGCUGUCUCUCGCAUAUUUCCCUUUCUCUUUGUUAUUGUCCACAAAAUCUAAGUUGAGAUUUUCUCAAAGAUUUCACAUGCUGGUAUAUGAUUUUUUGUUGUCAUGUUCUAAUAGAGUGUUGAUGCGUUACUAUCCUAUAAUACUUUUUUCUUGUUGAUGAUUGUUAUAUUUUUUUCUUAUAUAUGUAUGUAUGGAUGGAUGUGCAUGUAUGUAUGAGUGGAUGAUGAAUGUAAGAAUAGGAAUUGCUGAAUGCAAUAUAUAGAAACAACUAAGAUACAAUCUUUUUAGAUACAAGAAGCAAAAGGUGCUGAUUUUGAAAGACAACGGAGGAGAAUAAGGAGCCACCUUGAAAGAAGAGGCCUUUUCUUGUACCAAAUCCGGUCAUUUGUAAGUUCAAAACAACUCUAGCACAGCUACUUAAUUGCAUAUUUAUGUGUUUUGUGGAUAUUUUGUUCUGAUAUUUGGUACCGUUUUUAAUGUUGUCUCUCAGCUACCAGUAUCUUUGAUCAAGCCCCCAACAACAGAUGAUCAUAGCUGGUGCUUAGUAGUCUGUGUCAACAAUGCCUGAAACAGAUCUAAGUGAAAUAAGGGUUGAUCCAUUGAUCAACAAAGAGGAAGGGAUUCAUAACAACCAACCUCAAGAGCUGAAGAUGGAUGAGAAUUGGGUUCGUUCCAUAAUGCAAAGAGAGGACAAAGACACUACGAAGCCACUCGGGCCAAAGAUUCCGAAAGUUGCAGACAAGCUUAGAAAUGAUCAAAACGAGAAAUGCUACAGUCCCUUGAUGGUCUCAAUUGGGCCUUACCACUCUCUGGGUCCUCAUGACAAUGUCAGAGAAGAGGAGAUUCCAAAGUUUUCGAUGGCUCGCCAAUUCAUCCGAGAUAGUAAAAAAGAAAUAGAACUCGUCUGCAGAGAAGCAGAAAAGGGUAUCCAAAAAGCAAGAGGAUUUUACAACGAGGACGUCGUGAAACGCUAUGAUGACAAGGAAUUCACCCAGAUGAUGUUUCUUGAUGGAUGCUUUAUUCUCCAAUUCAUCCAUUGUGUGACAAAUAAUUAUGAAAAUUUAAAGAUGACUGAUCGGCAAGUUGCUGGUGUGAAGCGGGAUUUGUUAUUACUGGAGAACCAGAUUCCUUUUCCAGUCCUGAAAUCACUGACGAGUCUGAGGUACGAAGAAGAUGGAAUGAAACAUGUGAAUGCUUUCCUUUCUUCCCAUAUUCUCAACCCGAAAGAUCAACCAUUGCGGACUCGAAAAUUACUUUGGUCUACCGUUAGUCUCCUGUUAAUGUUUCUUCCAAUUGCUCUUCCAUUUGUUUUAUCAUACUAUAUUCCUGACCUGGUUUUCUUGAGCAUGGUGCUAGCGUUUGCCGUGAUGGAAUUAUGUGUCCUGAUACCAGCUUGGCUUUUGUGGUUACUACUAAGAAAGGGGAGGCGAGCCUCAGGAUAUGAUUCGCAAUGGCAGCCUGAUGAAGAACCUGCCCAUCUUCUUCAACUUCUACAUUUUCUUUUCAUAGGUUCUCACUACAUAAAAGGGAAGUCGUCUUAUUUGGCCACUUGUCUUGAGAAAUUCAUUCCUCCAAAGUGCAAGCCAGAUGAUGCUCCAGAAAGGCGUGGCCAUUACCUGUAUUAUUCUGCCAAGGAACUUAAGAAGGUGGGAAUCCAUUUCAUGUCUAGUAAGACUAGUGCCUCGACGGAUGUCAAGUUCAAGUCAUCAUCUCUCCAUGGAACAUUGAAGCUUCCUUCAAUUACCAUAGAUGAGUCAACAGAGUCCAUGCUCUUGAACUUAGUGGCCUACGAAACAUCUGCUGCACUCAAUCCACUUCAGGUCACUUCUUACAUAUGUUUCAUGGAUUCGCUGAUUGACGAUGCUGAUGACGUGAAAGAGCUGCGAUCAAAGGGCAUAAUUAUUAAUUUCCAUGGAGCUGACCAGCAGGUUGCGAAAAUCUUCAACGAGAUGGGCAAAAUUCUUGUACCUGAUACUAGUGUUUAUAAUGAUGUUAAAAGAGAGAUAAAUAAGCAGUGUGAGAGCAUCGUGAAGAAAUGGGUAGCUGAGUGGCAGCAAACUUAUUUUCAGAGUCCCUGGGCCUUCAUUGCAUAUGCUGCCGCCGCUGUUGGUUUGGCUCUUACCGCCACUCAGACGUACUAUACAAUGGACGCACACAAGAAUAAUUCAACAGGCUAAUGCUGUUGCGAUGAUGUAGAAACUAUAUAUGGUUCUUAUUCAACAGAAUGUGUAAUGUUUCAGGAAGGGAAUUAAAUUGUAAUGAAUUCUGUCAGCUUUUAAGACAUAAGAUGAUUUUAUUUAGGCUAAUGCUAUGAGAGCAAAUUAAGGGCAUUGUGUGCUAAAUCAAUCUGUUCAGGGUCGCUUCUUACUGAUGUUUUCAUCUUGAGUACUGUAAUUUUUAGUUAGGGGGCUUUGAAAUGAACUUUCAACACAAAUUUAGACUAAAUAAAACCUUAACAUACUACGCAAUGGGAUAAAAAAAAAGUAUAUAAUUUUCAACAUGUAAAUUUCAAUACAAUGGACAAGAGAAAUUAAUUUAAUCCUGAAGCUUGAUUGUUUUUUCUUCUAGAGUGAGCACAUGAUCAUUUAAGGCUCAUAUUUCAAAGAACUUAUGUUAAAGAUCAAUAUUAUAAUAUUAUGAAAUAAAAAAUUAUAUUAUAAUAAAAAAUUAAUAAAAAAGGAUCAAAAUUAAUUUUUUUUUAAUUUUCACGGUUCAAAAGAUAUGUUUAAAAAGAAAAAUCACAUUUAUUGAUUUUUUUUUAAACGAACCAAUUGAGAUCGAUAUUGAUUUUUUUUUUUAAUGAUGACAAUCAAAACUUUUCUUUCUUCUUCUCUUUUUCAAUGAUUUCCUCUGUGCUUACUCAAUUUUUCAGGCUUAAAAUAUUCUAAAAAUAAAGUAUAAUAUUGUAAUGUUAAAUUCUAGAACAAUAGGGAAACUUCAAUAACUAAGUUGAAGUUUUUCAUGCCUUCAACAUCGAAAAUGGAAAAGAAUCUACUUUUUGGUGUUGAUUUUAAUCUUUUUUUAAAAAAAAAAAAAUUCUCAACAACAACGUGAAAUUUAAUAAUUUUAUAAUAAUGAUCUUUUAAGUUCAAUGGUUGAAAUGAGAAAACAACUUAACAUCGUUAUUUGAAUAGUGACAUCCAUAAUAGUUUCUUGUCUUACAACAAUAUAACAACAUAUUAUUUUAGUAGAUACAGAAUGGAUGUAAUGUGUGAGGCAGCAACAAGUAAUUUUUUUUCUUCAUAUCCUAGCCAUUGGUUUUGCGUCAGUAAUCAAUAUUAAUCGAGAAACAUUACACAUGCUCUUGCAUUAAAGAAUAUUGUCUUCAAUGUUAUAUGUUAACAGAUCAUGAUGGUGAUCUAAUUUUUGUCUUCAUGAACAACUUAGAAGCUGAAAGAUUUGGCCUUGUCUUGUUUCUCUAUGUGCUUUCAUUCAUCUUCUUUGUAUGCACCUCUGAACUUACAAUUUUGUAUGAAUUUGGGAAAAGGUGAUUUUUAACUUGUUUUAUGAACAGUUGUGUAGUCUCUUUGUUGUUUGCUGUAGUAGAUCAAAUUUUUUCUUUUUCUUUUUGUAAGUUUGUUUUUUUUUUCUUUCCUUUUUUCUUUUUUCUUUUUUUCACAUCCUUAUAUUUCACUUUGGCUAUUGCCUUUAUGGCCUUUUCAAUAAACUCUCAAUGAUUAUUCAAAAUAAAAAUAAAAAUAUGCACCUCUGAACUUACAAUUUUAUAAGAAUUUGGGAAAAGAUGAUUUCUAACUUGUUUUAUGAACAGUUGUGAGCUUGGGUGCAUCGGCGACUGAAGAAAAUGGAGAGCUAAUAGCUAAAUUGUUUGGAUCAGUUGGAAAGAUAUGGAGAGCUGAUGAAAAAUUUAUUUGAUGCAAUUACUGGUCUAAGGUAUGAUGUUUCUGCAAAGGGGGAUAUUUAUAUUGCUAGUUUCGUCUAUAUUUUGAGUAAGGCUCUUAAAUCUGCCAAGCUAAAUGCACUACCGUCAGUUGUUUUACACAUGCUUUUCUGCUUAAAUAAAUAGAGAUUGCAUAAUUGCGUUUUGCUAUAGCGUAAUUCUCUUUUUGUAUAAAUGAUUAGUGGAAAAAGGGCUUCCAUAUACCUAUAGAAACUUUGGCUGAUGGAGUGACAGCAGGUCUGCUGAGAGAACUUGCAGCGGGCCUUGCUUCUAAACUUGCAUGUCAUUUAUUUUCAAUGGCAAUGAUUGUUCUUGGUAUAACCCCCUUGAAUAGGAAAGAAAAGAAGGGAAAAAAAAUGAGAGAGCCUUUGAUGGUGUUUUAUAUCACUGCUGCCACUGUUCACCAGAUUAGCAUGCUUGCAUUUUUAAUGUUUCAAAGCUCUGCUUUUGACAAGGGAAUAUAUUGUACAUAUAUUCUUAGUCAUUCCUACUUUAUUUUAGAGUAUUUUGUAUGAUUUUUAGCAAGUUAUCUAGAGUUUUAGGUAUCUCUGAAAAUAAUUUACUUUUUGAUGAUUCAAUAUAUUUUUUAGAUAUUUAACUACUAAAGCAUGCUGAAUUUGAAAUGAUAUGAGGAGGCAGAUAAUGGGUUAAGCUUAGAGUUCAAACAUUGAUUAGUUUGUCAUAACAAAAGUUAUACAACUCCAUUUCAUGUGUUAUAUACCAUUCUGAAAAGCUAAGACAAAAGCUUAUAAUUCUUAUAAAGAAAAAGAUCCUACUUUUUGUGUUUGAAAGCCCAAAUAUCAAGUCAAAAUAAAGAGUUUGAAUCAGACUAAAAAUCCCUAUGACUCAUGUCAUAACCUAAUUUUUGAACAAAUAAUAAAAAUUAAAUAUAGUUGACAAUGGGGUUAAGACAACACAAAAUGUGAAGUUUGGGGAUGUAAUUAUAAAAUUUGAGAGUUAAUUGAUCAAUUUUGAAAGAUUUAAAAGUUAAAGAUUUAAUUAAAGGCUAAAUUGAACAAUCUAGAAAUUAAGGACUGUUUUGUAAACAAUGUUAUAAUUUAGGGAUUUAAUUGAAAUUAAUCCAAAAGGGCAAAAUUAAAAGAAUUAAUUAAGGACCAAAUUGAACAAUCCAGGAAUUAAGGACUGCUUUGUAAACAAUGUUAUAAUUUAGGAAUUUAAUUGAAAUUAAUCCAAAAUGACAAAAUUAAAAGAAUUUUUUAAUUGCUUAGAGGUCCAAUUGCCGAAUUUCCAAAGAAGCAGAGGUCAAAAUGAAAAUGUGUCUUUUGGUCGAAAUGUCGCCGUUGCUGGGAACAGUCGUGUUCGUCUUCUCCAUCCCGAUUCAACAGGCUGAACAUCUGCAACGGAGUCGAUCCAGUCGUGGACCACGUGUCUCUCCCAUGAUCUCGUCGGGGAAGAUAACAGUCCUGCAAAGGCAGGACUGGUUAGAGGCAAGCAGCUAGGUCUUUAUAAAAGGGGAAGAAAAACCCAGAACAAGGACGAAGAAAUCAACCCAAAAAUACAGAGUCAAGAACAAUAAUAAUAAAAAAAAAAGCAGAGAAAACAGAGCAUAAAUUCAAAUACAGAGAGAAAGAGAGAACAAGAGGGGCAACACAUAGUGACGAGAAUUAUCCUUGAAAUUGUCCUCGUACCUGCAAACAAAGAAAAAACCCGGAUUUAGUCAAAGAACACUCACAGCAAACCGGCAUCUUCUUUGUAGUUUUAAAAGCUAUGGAGAAAUCAAGAAGGAAAGCACAUACAAGUGAUCACAGAAGGAAGACCAGGGGAAGCAGUAGGCGAGAAUCAUCAUCAACGCUGCAAGCAUCUUCGGUCUCCAGAAGCAGGUAUGACUUCAUCCCCUUUGAAUCUUCAUUUCAAAAAGUAAUUGUCAGUGUUACAAGAACACUGUGUGAAGGUAAUUUAAUUAGGUAAUUUAAUUACCUUCACUAGUGUUCGUGCACACGUGAACAAUUCACGCGUGCCUUUAAUUUUGGCCUAGCUCAAAUGUAAAUAAAAAAUAUUAAAAAAAAUUAUAAAUUUUUUUAUGUACGUAAAAAAAUAAAUAUUAAUUUAUUGUUGUUUUUAUUUUUUCGUUGAUGCUAGAGUUAGAAUAAAAAUACCAAUUCAAAUUUAUUUUAUUGUCUUUUAUUUAGUUAUAUAAAAUGUGCAUGCCAAAAAAUAAAUAACAUAAGAUAAAAUAAAAUAAAUUUAUUGGUUUAUUCACUGACGCCAGAGUCGGGAAUAAAAAUACUAAAGUAAAUUUAUUUUAUUGUAUUUUGCUUUUAUUUAGCUACAUAAAAAUAAAAAUAAUGUGUAUGCAUAAAAAUAAAUUGAUUUUUAUUUGUUUAUUCACUGACAUCAGAGUCAGAAAUAAAAAAGAAAUAAUGAUUUAAAUUUAUUCAUUUUUGAUACCUACGUAAUAUUUACCAACGCCAGAGUUGGAAAUAUUCAUAGUUGAAUAUUCACUGACGCCAGAGUCAGGAAUAUUGCGAGUAAACCAUCAAAGCAUAAACCAAUAAAAAUUUAGCAAUUUAAGACAAAACCAACAAUGCAGUCUGUCUCCGGCAGAACGUUUAAGGAGUGAUAAUAUCUUCCAUUUUACGUAACCAGUCCCGUACCAUAGAAUCUCUGUUGACCAGUUAGGGUUUCUAAUGACCAUAAUACUAGGUAGCGACUUCUUAAACAAGACUUUUUUCCUAAAAGAACAAGAUGACAGAAAUCUGUUCUUUUUCCAUAAUCGAUUGAUUUUUUUAAUUGGUCGCCGUGAUGUCCAGGUGUGACAACCUAGAUACUGUCUCUGUUUUUGGCCCACAUAUCGAGUUCUAGAUGUUUAAAAAUUGCAAGACCAAUCUUGUUGGAAAGAAACCUUGAUUCUUUACAAUUGUUCUAGAAAUGAUAAAAAAAAAAAAAAGAAGAAGAAGAAGAAGAAGAAGAAGAAGGCAAAUAAUACACAUAUGUAUUAUGCAAAUGCCACUUAAAAAUAAGAUAAGGAUGAACAUCUAGCUAUUUGUCUAGGAUUCGAGAAAGCAGUUAUUUAGAGUAACUUAAAAGGUUGUGUUUGUUUUUCUGGUUUUAAAAUAAUUUUUUUAGUAUUUUUAGAUUGCUUUUGAAAUAUUAACUUUCAGUCGGACUUUAAUUUCCAUUUAUCUAGUUAGUGAACCAUUUGAUUGACAAUCUCAUGCAUUUCCCACCUUGCCAAUCCUCAGGUAAACAGGAAACUUGACAACUUUUUGGUCGUGCGCAUCUUCAUUCCAAGCACGCUUGAAACUCUCAAUCAUAUCAUCCCUCAGUAGCUCCACACCCUUUUUCUUGGCCGUUUGAUACGCAGACCAUGACCUUAGGUACGUAAAAUACUCAUCUAAAUCCAUCAGUUUCUCUGCUACGAACUUGAAUGGUCCUGUAUGAUCAGCUCCUUCAACUGGCUCAAAGGGAAAAUCAAUGCUCAUAUACUGACAUUACUGAAGGCGUAUGGUGGUAGCUCACAUUGGGAAGUUUUGGUGCAAAUUCCAGUUGUUUUAGGCUUAUGUCUAUGAUGUCAAAAACAUAGUUUUGACACGACACGAAAAAUAUAAUACAAACUCAGAUCGUAAAAACGGAUCGUAAAAUUAUAAAUUCAUAAGGAAAUUUUUUUACAAUACUUGCAAUGAACAUUUUUUAAAUUCUUAUCAAUAUCUAUACCAUGUUGUCAUCCCAAUAAUUAUUUCUAAAUGCUAGGGGUGUUCAUGGUUCGGUUCGGUUUAGACUCAAAAAACCAAUCGAAUCGAAUUACAGUAUUUUUGUAUAAAAUUAACCGAACCGGUUCAAAUCGAACCGGUCCGGUUUGGUUAAAUCCGGUUUUUUAAGGAAAAAACCGAGAAAACUUAUCCCAUAGGUUUUUUUUUGUUUUUUUUUUUAAAUUGGUCCGGUUCGGUUAAAUUCAGUUUUUUAAGGAAAAAACCGGGAAAACUAACCCCAUGGGUUUUUUUUUUUGUUUUUUUUUUUUAAAAUUGACUUAGCCUUACAUUAAAUUAAGCUUUCAAUUUUAAAGCAAACUUUUAAAGCAAACUGAUGUUAAAAUUGUAAAUUUAAUAUGAAUAUAAAACCAAAACCACAACAUCUCCAUCCUCCACAUCAAUAUUGUCAAUGAGAUUGCCCCUGAAAGGCUGGUACUGCUACUGCUUUAUAUUCAUUCCCCUCUAUCACCACCUUCUUGUAAUUUAUGGCGUUCGCUUGCAAAGAAGCAAUCAUAACAAGACCUAAGCAAACUGAUGCAGCGACUCCUGAAGAGAAACACAGAGAAGACCAAAGGAGAGCACAUAGACGAAGAAGAAGAAUGCAGACAAAAAUUCAACUUUUCAGUUAUUUGGAAUACAUACUCAAAACUAACGCAUAAAACUUACAUCAAUCAACAAAACAAACUAGAAAAAACAGAUAAAAGUAAAAAUCAAACCCGAUCUAAUCAAUUGUCUCUCAAGAUCAAAGAAUCAUAACAAGAGCAAAGGAUGAGAGAGAGAAAAUAGAAACAAUAUUACCUGUCAACGAUACCUAGAGACUAAUUACUUUGAUCUAGCAAGGUUUGAUUUUCUAAAUUUCUAUAAGGACAUAAGAGAGAGAUCGGUCUGGUGGGAGCUGUGGGUUAUUUACUUAUUGAUCGGCUAGAGAAGAGACAGAUGCAGGGGGCAAGAGGCAAAGAGAAUGAAAAUUGAAGGGGAAAGGAAGAAGGCUGGUCUGGUGUGAGCGGCGACUUUAGAAGAAAAUUGUAAUGUCAUUUAGGUUUAGGUUUACUGUACUAUUUAUACUAGGUGGUUUACUCGUUUCUAACUUUAUUUUUAUAGGUGGCCGGUUCGGUUCACCGGUUUUGGUGGUAAAACCUAAACCGAACCGAAUCGAAAAGAUUUCUGAUUUUAGUAAUCGGUUUAAUCGGUUUUUCAUCUCGGUUCGGUUUUCUUGGUUAAUUUUCCAUCGGUUUUCUCGGUUUUUUUGGUUAUUCGGUUUUUUUGAACACCCCUACUAGAUGCCAUGUGUUCAAUAAUUCAAGAAUCAAUUUAAAUUAGCCUUAUAAUCAGUUCAAACAUGAUUAUUAGAACCAAAUUAUGAUCAAUACAAACACAACUUAGAUAUUUUAUAAACAUAUUUUAUUUUGAAAACAUCAUCAAUAAAUAGUCAAUAAAAUUAUGACUAUAUCAAAUUGCAUAUCAGCACUAUGUAAAUAUUAUUCCAUUUUAAUUUUUUUAAAAAAUAUUUUUAAAAUGUAAAAACAAACAGGGUUCAAAAAGACAUUAGGUGCUAUAGAUGUUGGUCUAGAAUUCAAUAUAUGUACAUGAGUUUAUAUGUGAGUUUCAAUCAUGGUUUGUUAAACUCGCAAGUUGACUUGUAAAAUCAUAUAAUUUUACGAGUUAAUACAUGCUUAAUGUGCAAAACGCUUUAAAAACUCGAAAUCGGGUGAAAUCGGAUGAAAUCACGAGUUUGAAACCGUUUUUACGAUUUUAACCAAAAAAAAAAAAAUCAUAUACUACAGUAUUCUUGAAAUUUCUUGUGUAUAUGUCAUCUCACCAUUUAUUUAAUGCUAACGUAACUUGUUUAGCAGUGUGGUUACGGUUGCUUUUCAAAUAAUUUAUCAUGCUAAAAUACAAGCUAAUAAUGUUUUUUUUUAUUUUUUAAAAAAUUAUUUUUGACAUUAACAUAUCAAAGUAAUUUAAAAACACUAAAAAUAUAUUAAUUUAAAGUUAAUAAAAAAAUAAAAAAAUAAAAAAUUUUAAUUUUUUUUAAAAAUACUUUUAAAAUACAAAAUUAAACAGAUUUAGGCCUUGUUUGUUUCCCGGAAAGUAGUUUCCGGGAAACCAUUUUCCAAACUUUCCUGUGUUUGUUUGUCAUUAGGAAAGCUGGUCAACGGAAAACAAUUUCCGGUCAGCAGAAAACACUUUCUAGUCAACGGAAAACAUUUUCCAGUCAAUUUUAGUCAAAAAAAAAAAAUUAACUUAGUUUUCAGGAAACUGUUUUCCUUUUCUGUGUUUGUGUUUCCGGAAAGUGGUUUCCGGGAAAGCACUUUCCAAACUUUCUUGUGUUUGUUUGUCAGUAGGAAAGUUGGUUAAUGGAAAACACUUUCCAGUAAAAGGGAAAUUUAGCUUGGUUUUCAGGAAAGUGUUUUCCUGAAAAAUUUGAGGGGAAAACACUUUCCGGAAGUUGUGAAAAAUUUAGAAAUGUUAUUAUUUGCUGAUUAUAUCAAAUUUAAUCCUCAAACUUUUGAUUGCUAUAUAUAUUUUGUUUUGUUUGUUUUGAAUAUUUAUUUUUCAAUUUCAUCUCUUAAAAUUUUAUUUUUAUAUUAACUUUGGUCCUUAUUUUUAUAAUUGCUAUUUGCUUUUUUCUUAUCAUUUUUUUAUUGAAAUUUUUUAUUUAUCAAAUUUGAUCCUCAUUCUUUUGAUUGUUACUUAUUUUAUUUGAAAUAAUUUAUGAAAUGUUGAUUAUUAUUAUUUUUAAUUUCUUCAUUUUUCAUUUUUUUUAAUUUUUUAGAUUUGAUCCCUAUUAUUUUGAUUAUUAUUUGUUUUAUUUGAGAUCAUUUAUGAAAUUAUAUUUUUUUUUUUUCAAUUUCAUUCUCAUUCAACUUUUUAAUUUGUAAGAUUUGUUCCUCAUUAUUUUAAUAAACUUGAGAAAAAUAAAAUAUUAAUAAGUUAUUUUCCAGCUCAUUUUCCAUGACAUAACCAAAAACUGGAAAGUGUUUUCCAGUUCAUUUUUCAUAACACUACCAAAUAUCGGAAAAUACUUUUCCGGAAUUCACUUUCCAGAAAUUCACUUUCCAAAAGGAAUUUACUUUUCUGCAAACAAACGGAGCCUUAUUAGCAAUCGUUCAGAUAAAACAUUGCUAGCCACACGAAGGAACUCCAAGCACAAACCACUAGAUGUAUGUUAGUGGUUAUAAUUGUUGAAGGAAAAGCGAGAAUCUUAUAGAGGGCCCAUUUUAAAAUUCACGUUUAGUUUUUGAAAUAAAAAUGAACACUUUAACAUGACAAUACCAAAAGCCAAGAGCCCACAACUGUGACACAGAUGCUUUUUUCAAUUCAGUGAUAAGUGGCCCAACUUUUUUAACUUUUAAAAAUUCAGUGAUAAGUGGCCCAGCUUUUUUAACUUUUAAAAAUUCAGUGAUAAGUGGCCCAACUUUAACUUUUAAAGUGCGUUGAACUGUAAUAAUAAUUAUAUUUAAAAAAUAUUUUUUAUUUUUAAAAUUCAAUAUUAAUAUAUUAAAAUAAUUUAAAAAUAUAUUUUUUUUUAAUUUAAGAUAAAAAAUCAAAUUAAAAAAAGAAGAUUGUAAGUUGUGUCUGUUCCUAUUAACAUGCUCGUAUAUCCCAGCUAGCUGAAAUUAAGAAACUUGGAUUGGUUAGAAUACUGGUCUUAUCAAGAAUUGCACUCAACACGGACGUCAGGUAGAGAAGAACUGGAUAAGAGACAGAGGAGGCAAGAGAACUCACCGAUCGAGCAGCCUGCCCACUUCCUGUGCCAACAUCCCAUACAAGGUCAUGAGCGGGACAUUUUUGAGGCAAGGAAUUGGAACAGUUCUUGAGGAUAACUUGGCCUUGUCUCUGCAUAUUGUUUUGCCUGAUUAACGAACAACUCCGCCAUUUCUUCCUCUUUGUGAGCUUGUUUUGCUAUUUAAAAAUGGAUGUGAUUGUCUUAUCUUGCUCCUCUACCACUUAUAUGCUUUCAUUUUUUUACAAUAUUUUCAUAUAUAUUUUUUUAAAUUCUUAUCCACAUCUAUAUCAUGUUAUCAUCUCACAUCAAGCUUAUUAUCAGAAGAAUUGUUUCUAGCUGCCAUAUGUUCAAUAAUUCAAGAAUCAAAAUUUAAAUCAGCCUUGUAAUCAAUUCAAAUAUGAUUAUUAGAACCAAAUUGUGAUCAAUACAAACACAACUUAUAUAUUUUAUAAACAUAUUUUAUUUUGAAAAUAUCAUCAAUAAAUAGUCAAUAAAAUUAUGGCUAUAUCAAAUUGCAUAUUAGCACACUGUAAAUAUUAUUUUAUUUUAAAUUUUUUCAAAAAUAUUUUUGAAAUAUAAAAACAAAAAGAAUUUAAAAAGAUAUUAGGUGCUAUAUAUGUUGGUCUAGAAUUCAAUAUAUGUAAGGGAGUUUAUAUGUGAGUUUCAAUCAAGGUCCUUAAACUCGAGAGUUGACUCGUAAAAUCAUACGAUUUUACGAGUCAAUACAUGCUUAACAUGCAAGAUGCUUUAAAAACUCGAAAAUAGAUAAAAUCGGAUGAAAUCGUGAGUUUGAAAUCAUUUUUACUAUUUUAACAAAAAAAAAAUCAUAUAAUGCAGUAUUCCUGAAAUUUCUUGUGUAUAUGUAACCGCCCUAUUUAUCCUUCCAAGCGACCGUUCAGGCAAAACAUUGUUGGCCACACGAAGUAACUCCAAGCAUAGACCACUGGAUCCAUGUCAGUGGUUAGUGUUGUAACCCAUUUUCGGGUCCCCACAAAAAUAAAUAAAAUAAAUAGCCAAAGGAAGUUAGAAAAAUAACAGCAGGCAGAAACGCUCAGAAAAUGGUCAGAAAAAUCGGUGAAGGAGGUUAAAAAUACAAAGAUGGAUUUUUGACAAUAUAUUCUUGAAUGAUAAGAGCCCUGGUGGAUAAGAAAAUUCGAUUUUUGAGGAGAAAAGUCCAAAUUUGGAGUUUUAUGGACUUAAUUGGAUUUUUAAUUGAAUUUAUAGAGGAUUUGAUUGCAAGAAAAAUUGAUUUUUAAGUCAAUUUGAGCUUUAAUUAGAAGAAAUUUAAGUUCUGGGGCCAAAAUAUAUUUUUUAGGAAUUUAUUAGGUCCAAUCAGGGGCUUAAUUGCAUAGAUAUUGAAGUUUAAUGGCCAAUUAGGAACUUAAUUGAGAAAAUCCGAAACCAGGGACCAAUUUGGAAAAGGGGCGUAAAUAGGGGUGCUGUAUUGGAUUGAUCCGGGGUCAAAUUGAAGAAAUUGAAAACUUGAGGAUUAAUUUGAAAAAUGGCGCAAUCAGGCGACACGUCGCCUGUUACUGUUCACUUUCUUCCUCGAAAAGCUACCCGAGUGGCUGCUUUCCAGGCGCGUUUUCCGGCUCGUAUGGCCUCCAAAUCCGACAAACCGUGCACCAACAUGUACACCUGAAACCGCUUUAUCCCGGGGAAGGGUCCGGUCGGGUCGAAAAAUUUAGAAACGGGUCCGUUUAUUGGCUCGAAGUGGCCACCUCGGGCAGUCUGCAGCCUUGGAUUGCCAAAUUCGGCAGUUCAAGGUACACACUUUGAACCAGUGGCUUGGAUUCCUCGGGUCUAAUCAAGGGUUGAAAAUUUUCCCCAACGUAGACAGUGUUGCCCUCUUGCAUCGCCUAUAAAUAGAAUCUCUAUUGAAGACCUGAAGGAGGAGAAAAAUAAAACACAAAGUCGGACGAAAACCAACCAUUACUGCCCAGUUUCCCUGCAACCAGCCUCUUUUUCUAUUUCCCUCUCCGCCGUUGGCCCUCAUCAACCACCACCAUCAUCACUCGUCUUCUCACCGUCAUACCCACCUCCAGCAGCCAUCAAAGCGUCACACACGGUGGUCUCACCAUCUCUCUCUCUCCUCUGUAAAUUUUUCUCCCCAGUCACCGAGGCUCCAGCAGCAGCAGCAGCAGCCGCAGCAACCACCACGACCAACAGCUUCUGCCUUUGCCAAAGACCGCCAGGACAACAACUCUCUCUUCAGCUGCUCCAACAGUUACAACCAUGAGCCUUCCUUCACCUCUGCAGUACCUGUUUCGUUGUUCUUCCAGCUAGGACCAGUGCACGCCGCCAGCCUCGCCGCCUUCAGCCACACCGGCCUCCAUCGCAGCACCACCAGCGACCGCCUCCUCCAUGCCAGGUAAAGUCUUCUCCCCCCCCUUGCACCUGUUCGUUGAAGGACCUUCCCUCCUGCAUGCAUAAUUGUGUUGCAUGCAGGAGAAGGGGAGGGGAAAUUAAUUCCCCUCCCGACCGUUAUUUAUGCUGGCCCAGUCAUGCAUACUGGGCCAGGUCUGGCCCAGUCAUAGAUGAAACCUUAAAUGGGCCAAUCUCGGCCCAAUCCCCUCCUGGGCUGAGAUCGGCCCAAUCCCAAUUCCUGUUGGGCUGUGUUUGGCCCAUUCAGUUGGGCCGGCCCAACCCACAUAAUAUAUAUUAUAUUAUAUUAAGUAUUGUAAUAUAUUAUAUUAUAUAUGUAUGUAUAUAUAUAUAUAUAUAUUCUUUAAAAAAUAUAUAUUCUGAAAAAUCUUUGAAAAAAUAUUGUUGAUUUGCUUGCAUUUUUGUCAAAAUGGCUUAAUAAUGGUUUGUAUUUCUAUAAUGUAGAGAUAUAAAUUCAAUAUUAAAAUACCCGGUUUUUGUCAAAACAUCAAAGAUUUUCAAAAUAAAAAAUGUUUUUACUUUCAAAAAAAUUCCAAAAGUCCUUAAAAAUAUUGUUGAUUUUUCCUGCAUAUUUUUAUUAGGGUGGAUUAAUAUUGGUCUGUAUUUUUAUACCGUAAGAAUACAAACCCAGUAUUAAAAUACCCGAUUUUCGUUAAAACAUAAUAAAAAAAUAUUUUUCCAAAAACUGUUUUUUUGUUUUAAAAUACGGCCUAGUCUCUCCAAUAUAUAUAUAUAAAUAUUAUAACAUCAUAUUUUUACACAACAAAGGAAAUUUUCAAAACAAUAUAUGUAUUAGCAUGCAUUUUGGCUUUAAUAACCAGUUUAUUCAAGCCAUGAAAACUAGGCCAAUAUUUCAAAAUACACACAUACACUUUCACUAUUUUUUGUUUCUUUUCUUUUCUUUUUCUUUUUUCUUUUCUUUUCUUUUACAUCCAUAUUUACAAAAUACAAAUAAAAAUUCAAAUUAAACAAAUAUUACAUCAAACAAUUAAAAAAAAAUACAAAAUAGUCCCUAAAAUUCAGGAGAAACAAUUCUGGGAAGCAUUCUGGCCUGCUGAAUGACACGACCAAAAGAUUGAUGUCUUCUCCCAAGUGCAGGAGUGUCGAAGUAAUAAAUAACCCGGCAAGACCGGGGUCGAACCACAGAGAGGUUAAUUGUAUAAAUUAUAAAUAACAAGAUAACAACAACAACAAUAACAAUAACAAUAACAAUAAUAAUAAUAAUAAUAAUAAUAAUAAUAAUAAUAGUAAUAAUAAUAUUAAUAGUAGUAGUAGUAGUAGUAGUAAUAAUAAUAAUAAUACUCAGUACGUGGCGUUGUUAUACCUGAGAAUGAUCUAAAAGAUCGGGUCACAGGUUUCCAGCCUAUAUACUGAUUUUAUGAUAAUAAUAGUAAUAGUAAUAAUAAUAAUAAUAACAAUAAUAAUAAUAAUAAUAAUAGUGUUAGUAAUAGUAAUAGUAAUAACAAUAAUAAUAAUAAAAAAGAAGAGGAGGAGGAAGAGACAACAAUAACAACAAUAAUAAUAAUAAUAAUAACAACAAUAAUAACAAUAACAACAAUAAUAAUAACAAUAAUAAGAAAAGCAGGAAGAAAUUAAUGAGAACUUUGAGAUGGAAGAUUAAUGUAAGGAUUAAACAAUAAUAAAGAUAAAUGUCAAGGUUAGAGGAUCCACCAAUGGUAUUUCAAACAAGUAUAGUAUAAACUCUUAUUACUUAAUUUGGAAACCACACACGAAGGAGGUUCUAGUCGGAUGAUUUGUCAUUAAUAGCUCAUUAUAAAUUAUUAACAUGAUCAUAUUAAUUAUCUUAUUUACAUAACACCAAACUUUUAAAUAUUGUCAGGAAUUCAUGAUGUUAACUGAUGUUAACAACAAAUCAAGUACCUUUCAUAGCCCCAGGUGUAGGUAAAACCAUAUGGUUGGGUUAUGAGAGUGCCAAGCAUUUGUUGUACCAAGUAUUAUACAACACAAAUUUAGAUUAACCAUUUAACAAGCAAGGUAUUAAGAAUUAGUAAGAUAAAAAGAUAAGACAUGUUAAUAUUAAACAUUAAGGUCCAUAUUGAGUUUACACCAUACUUGUUCUUACACCAUUAGUGUAACCUUUUCACAUUGACAUAAUAAACUUAGCUAAACAUAAUGAAGAAGAACAACAUAAAUAAAUAAAACAAGAACAUAAAUAAAAUACAAGUUAACUAAGGAAAGGAAAGGAAAUGAAAAGCAUAAACAAGAAAUUAAUGAAAGCAAAACUUAAGAAUUACAAAAAAUAUAAAGAGAGAAAUAAAGAGCAUGAACUUGAUAUGAACAACCAAGCCCCUAAAUACAUGGCAAAUUCCUCCUUUUAUAGGCCAAAAUUCGGAAUUAUUGAUUUGAUGACUAAUUGUUGAGUGGGUGGCCACCUUUUGACUUGGUAAAAAUCCUUAUCUUCUUGUCUUAAUAAAACAAAAAUUCUAGAAUCAGAACUGGGUCCAGAUGUCCAAAUAAAAGUUCUGAGAAAUUCUCUUAGCUUUUCAGCAAAAAAAAGAUGAGGUCAUUUGGACUUCUAGAACUCAAGAUAUGGGCUGAACACUGAAUAGUAUUUGGGCUGCAGGACAGAUUCGGACUUCUCCAUUGUUGCUAUAAUUUGGACUUGAAAACGGCCUUCUUAGAUCUUGAUGUCCAAAUGAAAGUUGUAGGCCUAUGUCUUAUCAAAUCUCUGUAAACAUUUCAGAUCAUUUGGAUAUCUAGAACUCGAGAUAUGGGCUGAACACUGAACAAUGUUGGGCUGCAGGACAGAUUCAGACUUCUCCUUUCUAGGCUUCACCCUUCUUUAUCUUCAAAAUUUCAGUAGUUGAAUUCAUCAAUCAAUCCUUAGAUUUAUGUGAUAGACCUGCAUUUAAGAUGAACAUUUACCAUAUAUUAGGGUAUUUUAUAGUAGUAGACUUGUUAUUAUAAAACAUGCUUUAGUUAAGGAGUUAUUGAUACUUUAAGUGCAAAAUGAUGAUAUAAACCCUUGAUAAACAUGGACUUUUAAGUACUAAUCACUGAACAGUAGCGGCGCGUCUCCCCACGCGCCGCCGCCACUAGCAGCGCGUGGGUUCACGCGCCCCCGCAGGGAAAGAACUGGGAUACAGCAGAUCACGACUGGCUUCUCCUUCGGUCUUCCUAGACCAUCUGUGACCUGUGAAACAAGAAGAAAAACGUACACAACAGUCGAUUUUAGAUUUUAGAUUUCUUGGUUUUUUUAGAUUUGAUUUUUGUUUCCUUCCUCUUCUCUGCUGUGGACGGGUCUGCUGCAGAGCAAACCCUUUACUUUGGUGGCCACAAUUUGCUAUACACGAAGGUUACUCCAUGGUUGCAGAUCCAGCGAUGAGAAGGAGUGACGGCCGAGAGGGGGGUGGCGUUGCUGCUGUCGUCCAUUCGGCGGCUUCGUUGUCGAUGGAGAUGAAGAGAUCGUGGGAGGAGAAGCAGGCAGCCGGUGAGAAGAGAGAGCAGAGGGGGACGGCGCUAGUCUCUGUCCGGCGUGAGGCUGAGCUCGGGCUGUUGAAGCUACGGUGGAGAGGGUAUCUUGGAGCUGCUCGUGGUCGAUUGCUCUGACCGCUGCUACUGGAGGCCGAACGAAAGGGGAGACUUGCGUUGUGUGGCUAGCGGCUGGUCUUUGAGAAGGAGAAAAAUGAGCAGCCAAGAGAGGGGCUAUGGGAGGCUGCGGUGGAGGGGACGAGAAGAUAGUAUGUGGGGAGGAAAAUUCCCAGCCGGGGGGAAGAAAGGCAGAGUCCGGCUGUUUCGGUAAAAAAAAUCAAUCUCCGGGGAAGGGGGCGGCUGUGUUUGGGAUGAGGGUGAUUCAACUGUCUUGGUGUUGGUGAGAGGGAGAGGUCUUGUCAGGAGGCCGCUGUCUUUGGCUCCGGGUGAAGGAGAAGAAAAAAAAAAAAAACAAACAAAGGGUAGGGGCUGCUGUGUUUUUUUUGGUAGAGUUAAGUUUAGGUUUAGGGUUUUUUUGUGGUUUCUUCCCCUUUACAAAAUUGCCCCCCCCCAUUGUGUGAGUUAAAGACCAGUAUGUAUAGGCAGAAUGUUGCUAGGUUUUUCAACUUGGUCCCUCAACUUUUUGUUUUUUUUUUGUAAAUUUUGAUUUUUCUUAUUAUUUUUUUGAAUUUUUUUGAAAAUGAGCAACAUCAACGUCGACUCAAUGAGGAAAAUCAAUGAUUUUAAAAAUGACGCGUGAAAAGUCGAACGCAUUUGAAAAUUUAAAUUCUUUUUUUUUAGACGACGCUGAAAAUGCUAAAAUGACGAGAAUAUAUUAAAAAAACAUAUUUUUUGGAUUUUCAUUGUUUUUUCUCUAUUUUUGGAUUUUUUGAAAAUAUAUCAAAAACAUGGGUCAAAAAAAGGGUAGCAACAGAUGUCCCCUCUUUACAAUGCUUACGAAGCAAAAAUCCUCAAUGUUUUGCAUAGUAAGCUUUGUAAAGAAAAACUUGUCUUUCUGUUUGCUCAAUAUCCACUUCAUCUAAAACCCUUACUCUGUUCUUUUUUUUUCUCUCUCUCUCUUUCUCUCUCUAUUUUUUUUUCAUUAUCCUAAGAUCCCAUCUAGCGACCUCCUUUAACCAAAACCAAAGAAUGUGUGUAACUCGGUCAACCUGAAAUCCCAUAUGGAGAUUCCCUUUAACCAAAGCUACAUGAGAUCCCAUCUGGCGACCUCAUUCAACUAGAACAAAAGAAUGUGUAAAAAGUGGUCUCAUUGUAAUGGGUGACCAACCCAGGUGGAAAAAAUGUGAAAAAAUGAUCUCAUUAUGAUGGGUGACCUACCCAGAAAAAAUGGUGGUCUCAUUGUAAUGGGUGACCUACCCAAGUGGAAAAGAGGAAGAGUGGUCUCAUUCUUAUGGGUGACCUAACCAGGGGGGAGAAUGGCCUCAUUAUUAUGGGUGACCUACCCAGGUAAAAAAAAGAUGGAGAAUGGUCUCAUUCUAAUGGGUGACCUACCCAGAAAAAAUGGUGGUCUCAUUGUGAUGGGUGACCUACCCAAGUGGAAAAGAGGAAGAGUGGUCUCAUUCUUAUGGGUGACCUACCCAGGGGGAAGAAUGGCCUCAUUAUUAUGGGUGACCUACCUAGGUAAAAAAAAGAUGGAGAAUGGUCUCAUUCUAAUGGGUGACCUAUCCAGAAAAAAUGGUGGUAUCAUUGUGAUGGGUGACCUACCCAGGGGAGGAAUGGCCUCAUUAUUAUAGGUGACCUACCCAGGUAAAAAAAAAAAUGGAGAAUGGUCUCAUUCUAAUGGGUGACCUACCCAGAAAAAAAAUGGUGGUCUCAUUGUGAUGGGUGACCUACCCAAGUGGAAAGGGGGAAGAGUGGUCUCAUUCUUAUGGGUGACCUACCUAAAAGGGAGGAAUGGCCUCAUUAUUAUGGGUGACCUACCCAGGUAAAAAAAAAUAUGGAGAAUGGUCUCAUUCUAAUGGGUGACCUACCCAGGAAAAAAAAUGGGGGUCUCAUUGUGAUGGGUGACCUAUCCAAGUGGAAAGGGGGAAAUAGUGGUCUCAUUGUAAUGGGUGACCUACCCAAGUAAAAAACAUGGAGAAUUGGUCGCGUUGUAAUGGGUGACCUACCUAGAAAAAUGUUGGCGAGGGCUCAAAGGCGCACUCGAAAUGAGGUAGGGUUAGAAAACGCACUACCCGAGAGGUGAAAGCUCAAAUGGCGCACUCGAAAUGAGGUAGGGUUAAAAAACGCACUACCCGAGAAGUGAGGGCUCAACGGCGCACUCGAAAUGAGGUAGGGUUAGAAAACGCACUACCCAAAAGAUGAUGAUGAAACAACGAUUUGACAAUGUUAAAAGCAAUGCAUUAUGAUCAAUAUGCAUGUAUACUUACCUGAGAAAAAUAGGUCCCCAUUUCUUCAUGGUGUUUUUCUUUUCUCAAAAGUUGGAGUGUUGGCAGUGAACUUCAAUGGCUUUUCGCUCUUGCUUACUCGAGUCAUCUCUUGUGAUUUUGACCUCUAGGAAAGACUUGAUAUCAUCAUACUUCUUUGUACUCCGCCUCUUUAUCUCAAGGGUUGCCAAUUUUGUUCGACAUUUUCUUAGAAUGGGAAUCAUGGAGCUAGCCCUAUCAUAUGUUUCUUUAUUGCCCCCUAGCUUGAUCAUGCCCCCAAGUGUUCAAUUCGGGUUUGGGGAUGAGGCUAUGUGAAGGAAGGUUUGACAAGGAGUUGUUUUUAUGCAAAAUUUUUGAAAUUCCAAAGUUAUUCUAGGCACAUAAAUUAUUUUGACAUCGAUUCAAAGCAAACUCAUUCUAAAAAAAAUUCAAGUGUUUCCUAUGGAGAGGUUUUCAGAAGUGAUGAAAACUUUUUCUUUUUUUUGUGAAAAAUAUAUGAAGUGACAUUUGGCUAGUCGAAAUGGUUCAAGAUUUAAUGAGAGUUUCAAAGAAUCGGUCUUGAAAGCAUUCAUUUUAUUUGCAUGAAUAAUGAUUUCGUUCACAUGAGAAAGCACUGCCUACCGAUCCAGAUUGCUUGCCUUUGAUCAGAAAGGGCUUGAUUAGGCAUGUAAUGUAGGCUUGGGCUACUGGUUAUGAAGAAAAAAUGAUAUUUGUAGGCUCAAAAGGUGUUUAAGGGAUUUGAAGACUAAGGAUCACUUGUGCUUAUUUCUUGACCUUUUGUCAUUUGACUGUCUUUCAAAAAUUGUCUAUCGUGCCCCCUUGUGUUGGGCUUGGGCUUGUUCUCUUUGCUUUUGUUUUCUUCAUAUGGUUUUGAGCAUCAUUUUUAUUUAUUUUAUUUAUUUAUUUUUUAUGCUCAAAACUCUUGAUCCUUUGGAUUUUUCUUUAUGCCCCCCUAGAUUUGUUCGGGCACCUUUGAUGAUUGAGAAUUUUCUUUUAUGCCCUCUAGUGUUGCUUGGGCACUUUUGAUCAUUAAGGUUUUCUUUAUGUCAUCGCACUUGCCCCCAGUGUGGGGUGUGAUCCUAGCCAAGGUUAUUUUUUAAGAAAAAUUUAUUAGGCUCAAAAGGGGACUACAAAUGAUAUAUUUAAGCCUUGUGAAAGGAUUAUCAAGGAUGACCUUUCUUCAUCUCAAAUGCAUGCAUUUAGGAUCGGUAAGUCUUGCUUUCAUGCGAGUAUGCAAAGUGAUUUCUCAUUAUUCAUUCAAAUAAAACUCAGCUUUUAGAGUCACUUCAUAGGUUUUUUUUUUUGUUUUUUAGGUUUUCUAGGUGUAUGGUUACCUUUCUAAGGAAACACUUGAAUUUCUAGAACUCGUUUGUUUUGGACAAACAUCAACAUGAUUUAUGUUUUUGUACUAAACUUUGAAUUCCCAAAAAUCCUUGUGAACAUGUGCGAUCAUGUACAAUUUUGGAAGGAAAGGGAAACACACCCAAAGAUUCUUUGUGAUGGUUUCAUGCUUAAAGGUUAUGCUCAAUAUGUUAUUUGCAUGAAACAACAACAAAAUUGAAGGUAUGUUAUAAACACAUGAUCUUAUUAACAAGAAAGGCUCAUUUGACAAGGAAAAUGUUGCGGAAUUUUGAGCCAAGUUACCAACAAAAACUGGAAUAGGUUGAAACAAAAAUCAAGAAAUUUUGCAGGCAUGAUCAAACUAAGGUUUUUUUUUUUUUGCAGAACAAGAAUAGGCUCCAUUAUGCACCGGUAGUGCAAUUCCCUUUGGUUAGCCUUCCCACCAAAGCUUUUGCGAAAAUACAUGAUUGCGCCGAGGCUCUUGACAAAUUUUGCCCCCAAUUUCUUCGGGCUGAGUCAUUGUUGGGUUUUGAACAAAGAUGAUAGGUCGGUUGGAAGGAACUUUCCUAGAGUUAUUUUUCAGUAUCUACUCGAGUAAGCUAGAAGCAAGUCACACAUGUCUUCAAAAAUUACGACGAGCAUACUCUUCAUCUUCCGAGUUUUUCUUCAUUCAAAGUCGGGUGUUGUAGACUCGUAGGGGACCUACUUUUCAUUCUGGUGCAUGCAUGACAAAUGUAUGAACAUGUAAUCUAUAUGAUGAACUCGCCCUUCGAGGGGUGACAAUAUGGUCGUAACUCUUGUAUGAUGGAGCAAGAAUCGUGAUUUUUGCCCAAACUCUACAAUGAAAAUUUUUGGAGUGACGGCCAAUGUGUCACCCACAAGUCUUGAGUUCAAGAUGCUUCAAGAAGGGUUUGCCCUAUGCAAAAAACGAUAGCACAUACAACUUAAGGAAGUUCUAUUUAUUAUGUGAACAUGAGUAAGUUUUCUAUCUGGUCUCAAAAGGGUCUCAUAUCUGCCCAGUGAUGUUCUUCGUAAAGACAGUAUGGGGGCGUUGCAAGGAAUGGUUAAAUCACGUAUACCCACCAUUACCAAGCAGGCACUCAGAUAUGAGUGGGUGUUUCACGCAUCUGAACCUUGACCAAUAGUCUUAGGGCAGAUCACUAGUUCCCCACCUAACCUAGAAGCUUGUGUGUGCUUUCAAAAAUAAAUACAGGUGAUGCAUGACACAAUUCUAUAAAAUGCAUGGAAAUAAAUAUUAACAAAAAAGAUAAGAAAAAAUGCAAAAAUUUAAACACAUCAAAUACACAAAGCUUAGUCCGAUAAUGUCAGAAACAGUACCUUCCCCAGUGGAGUCGCCAUUCUGUCGCACGUCAAAAAAUCCACGCGGCAUCGGCUGGCGAUUUUUAUCGUUGUUGUUGCGUUUUUCUUGAAUCGGUUUGGAGUCGCCACCUAGUAAUUAUUGAAGGCUACUAGGAAACCAGAUGUACUGGUCUUGUCAGAGACUCGCGGGUAAGGGACUGGUUGUGGUUAGGGAAGGUAUUAGCACCCCUAACGCACCCUACCUGAGGUAAGCUGCUUCGCGAAUUUGAUGUGUUAAAGAAGUUUUAAUAAUUGUCUUUUCAUCGGAAAUUAGAAAUAUCACUUACGUAUAAGUUAAUAAUUCUUAACCGUGAUCCAAUCAAAAUAUUAAAUUCUUCUUUAAUCUUUGCAAUUUUAUCAUAAAUAAGAAAAUAAAUAAAACAUUCAUAAAACAAAUACAAAAAAAAAAAACACACAUACACUUUCACUAUUUUUUGUUUCUUUUCUUUUCUUUUUCUUUUUUCUUUUCUUUUCUUUUACAUCCAUAUUUACAAAAUACAAAUAAAAAUUCAAAUUAAACAAAUAUUACAUCAAACAAUUAAAAAAAAAUACAAAAUAGUCCCUAAAAUUCAGGAGAAACAAUUCUGGGAAGCAUUCUGGGCCGCUGAACAGUAGAAAAACAAGAAGAAAAACGCAGAUCACGACUGGCUUCUCCUUCGGUCUUCCUAGACCAUCUGUGACCUGUGAAACAAGAAGAAAAACACACACAACAGUCGAUUUUAGAUUUUAGAUUUCUUUGUUUUUUUAGAUUUGAUUUUUGUUUCCUUCCUCUUCUCUAUCGUGGACGGGUCUGCUGCAGAGGAAACGCUUUACUUUGGUGGCCACAAUUUGCUGUACACGAAGGUUACUCCAUGGUUGCAGAUCCAGCGAUGAGAAGGAGGGACGCCCGAGAGGGGGGUGGCGCUGCUGCUGUCAUCCGUUCGGCGGCUUCGUUGUCGAUGGAGAUGAAGAGAUCGUGGGAGGAGAAGCAGGUGGCCGGCAAGAAGAGAGAGUAGAGGGGGACGGCGCUGGUCGCUGGUCUCUGUCCGGCGUGAGGCUGAGCUCGGGCUAUUGAAGCUACGGUGGAGAGGCUGUCUUGGAGCUGCUCGUGGUCGAUUGCUCUGACCGCUGCUACUGGAGGCCGAACGAAAGGGGAGACUUGCAUUGUGUGGCCGGCGGCUAGUCUUUGAGAAGGAGAAAAAUGAGCAGCCGAGAGAGGGGCUGUGGGAGGCUGCGGUGGAGGGGACGAGAAGAUAGUAUAUGGGGAGGAAAAUUCCCAGCCGGGGGGAAGAAAGGCAGAGUCCGGCUGUUUCGGUAAAAAAAAUCAAUCUCCGGGGAAGGGGGCGGCUGUGUUUGGGAUGAGGGUGAUUCAGCUGUCUUGGUGUUGGUGAGAGGGAGAGGUCUUGUCAGGAGGCCGCUGUCUUUGGCUCCGGGUGAAGGAGAAGAAAAAAAAAAAACAAAGGGUAGGGGCUGCUGUGUUUUUUUUUGGUAGAGUUAAGUUUAGGUUUAGGGUUUUUUUGUGGUUUCUUCCCCUUUACAAAAUUGCUCCCCCCCCCCAUUGUGAGUUAAAGACCAGUAUUUAUAGGCAGAAUGUUGCUAGGUUUUUCAACUUGGUCCCUCAACUUCUUUCUUUUUUUUGUAAAUUUUGAUUUUUCUUAUUAUAUUUUUGUAUUUUUUUGAAAACGAGCAAUAUCAACGUCGACUCAAUGAGGAAAAUCAAUGAUUUUAAAAAUGACGCGUGAAAAGUCGAACGCGUUUGAAAAUCUUUUGAAAAUUUAAAUUAUUUUUUUUUAGACGACGCUGAAAAUGCUAAAAUGACGAGAAUAUAUUAAAAAACAUAUUUUUUGGAUUUUCAUUGUUUUUUCUCUAUUUUUGGAUUUUUUGAAAAUAUAUUAAAAACAUGGGUCAAAAAAUGGGUAGCAACAAUCACCAGGACAUGUAUCCGAUUUUUCUGCAAGCACUAACAUUGUUCCAUCGUAACCUUGAAAGCUAAAAGCAAAAUUUAUAUAUUUUUUUAUAUUUUAAAAUUGUUUUGAUAUGCUGAUAAUAAAAAAUAAAAUUUAAAAAUUUUAAAAAUUAUUAUUUUAAUAUAUUUUAAACAAAAAUUAUUUUAAAAAACAACUACUACAAAAAAAUUAAACACUAUAAAAUACUAGAAUAAAACCAGAACACAUGAAUAACUGAAGCAUGAGUUUCUCAACCGUCAAAUACAUAUUUAUUAUAAUUAGAUAACAUGAAAAACUUAGCAAAUAUAUUUAAAUGAACAUGUCCAAGAUAAGAUGAAAAAGAGAUUUCGUACAUCAAAUAAUUUGUAUGAUAAAAACAAUUACAACUUUUGAUCCAAUAAUUAUCAAAAUUAAAGGGUGUGUUUUUUGACAUCAAAUUAAAGUGUUAGGGUGCAUUACAGGACUGUGAAUAAGCCAGAAAAAAAAUGUCAUUAUGUAUUGAUAACUAUGUAAAAAUACUGCAUAGAGCUUGCAAAAUUGAAACUUAACUUCUUCUAAUAUUAUCUCAUUUAUGAUGGCUGAUGAUUAUCAUUUGCUAAUGCACAAAUUAUAGAAUAAUAAUUAUUAAGAAAUCCCUAGUAAUUAAUUGUACACAGUUCAAAAUGAGAUAACCAUGUUAUUGCAACGAGGCCAUGUCAAUCCUUGGAAAUCAUAAAGAUUGGAUGGCUUAGGUAAAAUGUCAUUCACAAAAUUGAGUUCGUUCUUGGCUAAUAAAGCUAUUAUUAUCAUCCUUUUCCAUGAAUUAUAGUUUUCAUCAUUGAAAUGGUUUGAGCCGAUCAUGGUUCCAGGAUUGUCACCAUGAUACAAAAAGAAAGGAUUGGAAAAAUCCAUCUAUGAUGUAGGGUUGCUAUUGACAGCUAUUGUCAAGAAAAUAAAGAGAAAAAAAGAAUUGAUGAAGAUGCGGAAAUAAAACUUCAAAGAAAAUGCUCUGACAAUAUAAUGGAAAUAGAAAAUUAUAAACUGAAUGUUUUAUUUUCUUAAGUUAUAACUAUUGUCUAUUACAUUUGUUUAUAUAGACUAAUCUGAAAAAAUAAUAAGCAGGGGUUACUUUAACAGAAAUAACACGCUUCUAUAACAGCUUCAACUUUAACAAAUGUUUGAUGUACUGCUGGCUUUAUUGUGGACGUGAAGAAGAUUCAACUCAAUAAAUACAACGAAACGUGGGGAAAUCUGACCCUUUCCGUUGGUUGUCAUCAUGAGUGGUCUCUUCCGGGUCUGCAUUCAUUGUCUCUAUCUGGCACUUAUAAUGUUUAGAGGAAGCAGAACGGGCAUCAUUGUUAAUAGUACUGUCGGACAUUGCUGACAGUACUUUUCUACUCAUUAAUUAACGCACGUGAACAAUAGGAUACGAUUAUAUAAUAUUACAACAAAGACUCUAGAAAAGCUACAGCUUGAUAUUGAAGUAGCUGCAAUUUUGGAACAAGUAUUUUAGCUUUACUUGGAGAUCGAGCAAAUUUUUUCAUUCGUUUUCUUUUUGUGCUAAGUAAGCUUAGACAGAUUUUUCUUUAAUUUUAAAAAAGCCUGGAAAGAAAUUCCUUUGUCGAGAGACAAGGAUUGGAUUUAAAGAGACGUUCCGCCCUUUUCCUGUUCACAUCUCAAUACUUUCUUCAUUAACUUUUUUUUUUUUUUAAUUCGAGGAAACCUUACUUCUUAAUUUUUUUUUUUUAAUUCGAGGAAACCUUACUCCUUAAAAAACAUACUUUGUGGGUAUAAGUGAGCGAGUAAAACCCCGGUUGUUCUAGGCUCUUAUAAGAGAUGCACUUUCUGACUCGAACUCGAAACCUACUGUACAGAUUUCAAACCAUUUGUCAUCAUAUUAUGCCUCUUGAGGACCUUUCUUCAUUAACUUAUUUAUUUACUAUCAAUACAUAUAUUUUUUAGGAUGAUCACUUAAAAUUGAAGUAGCUUUUAGAUUAGAGAAAUUAUUUUAUGAACUUGGAAGUGGGCUUACUUUCUUCUCCAAAGCAUGGUCCUGUUUUUAACAAGUGAACAAAGUUAAAACUAUCAUAAUCAAUAUAAAGUUAGCAUUUUGGACGGACGUUAUAUUAUUAGUGCUUUCCUGCCAUGAUGGAAUUAUGGAUUCUAAGCCUAAGGAAAGUUUUGCAACUAUUUAAUUACGAAAGAGAAGAAAUUUAUCGAGCGUUUCUAUUAUUCAAUGAAGUAAUUGCAGCAUGUAGAAACUCGUAUAUGUUAUAUCCUCCAAGUUCUUGAAUCUUAAUUAAUCUGUCCUUCUACUGAAAUUUUAUUUUUUGGAUGAACUAAAAUUUGGUUUAGUUAAAUGACUUGCUUGGUCCCUCAAUUUUCUUUUUAUAGAAAAUCCAGGAAAGCCAAGAAUGAUUGGCAAAACAAGAUCUUUUCAUCCUAAUUUCAUGAAAUUCAUGUGUUGAAUAAACCAUCAAAGUAGUUCUCUUUGACGAAUCUUCUAUUAAAAUUUGAGUUUAUUUAUAAAUCAAAUAAAACAUUAUAAUAUUUUUUAAUUUAUAGCGCAACCCAUUCUCAAUUUAAUCUUUUUUCACUUGUCUAAGAAAGUAUUUGUUUAAUCCGUCUUCAAGAUAAAUCAAUAUAUUCUAUUUAAGAAUGUGAUUUUCAUUGAUUUUUAAAAUAUUUUUUAUUUAAAAAUAUUAAAAUAUUUUUUUUAUUUUAUAAAAAUAAUUUUUUAAUUUCAUCGCAUUAAAAUAAUCUAAAAUAUUAAAAAAAUUAUUAAUUUAAAAUAAUAAUAAAAAAACAGUUCUAAAUGCAUUGAAUAAUAAUUCUGGGCUUCUGGGCGAGUCGACUGCAUCAAGAAAUGUUAAAGGUAAUUCUUGUAGUUUUAGUGUUUGACAAAUGUCACAUCAACUUUUUUAUCUCAAUUCAAUUAGAUUUUAGUUUUGUUUCCUUUAAAUAAACAUAAUUAAUCUCAAUCUUUUUAUUUAUAUUUAUAGUAAUGAUUAAUCUGAAAUGACAUGUGGCCUGUAAAAAGUUGGGUUUAUGUUUUUGAAAUGACAUAUGGUCAGUAAUGAAUAAUCUGAAAUGACUUGUGGUCAGGAAAAAAUUUGAAAGGCAAUUUUUUUAAAAAAAAAACAUUAAAAAAAUUAAGGUGCAUCAUUGUUCACCAUUCAUGCUUGAGUAGAGAGACUAAUUUUCUUCUAAGAAAAAAAUAUAAAUAAGACUUCGAUUGUGUUAAUGAGUUAAACAGAGUAUUGUUAAAAGUAUACGUAGAGGGGAAAGACUUCAUCAGGAGUAUCUAAUGCUCCGAAUUCUAUUUCUUUGAAUUAAAAUGCGCUAAUUGGUUUAUCAUAUUAAAUUUUAUAUAAUUUUUAUUUUUAAAUUCAUAUUAUUUUUUAUUUUUAUAAAUCAUUUAAAUCAUAUGACCUUUAAUAUGAUUGACAAAUAUUAGGGCAUAUUGAAAAUGUUUUCAUCAUGACAUUUACGUUAAAUUUAUUUUCCAAUUUAUUUUUCUAUUUUUUUUUAAAUUAGUUACUUUCUUUAUUUGAAUUUAUCAAAGAGAAUAUUUUUCUAUAAAUAAAUUAUUUUUAUUUAAUAAUUUUUGAAUGUUGGAAGCAAGAUAAAAAAACAAUUACAUAAUAUUUAUGAUGGUAAUAAUAAUAAUAAUAGUUAGAAAAUAUAUAAUAUUUGUUGUUGUUGUUUGAGAAUUGUUAGAAAACUUUCCAACAAUUUGGUAAUCUUGGCAGCGCCCAAAAACUUGUAGCAUCACCACUACCGGCGUGUGGAAUCACACAUUAUCUCUAUUGGAAGAGCACAUGAUGAAUCUAAAACUCAUUUGUUUCUUUUUUGAUUUCUCACUGACAGUGCAGCAAACAAACACCUGUGGAGGAAGUUCUGCUCUGUUGAAGUUUCAGUCUUCUUUCGUUUUUCAUAUCAGCAUCCUAUGUUCCUGGACCGGAAUGGAGUUCACAAUAGAGAUGGCUGGAAAUAAAGUCAACGCACCAGGCACAUAAAGCUAGUAGCUAUUAGGUGCUCUUGGGACAUAUGAAGGCUUUCAACAACUAUCAGUACAGUUGAACAAGAAAAAAAAAAGUCGUCAUUAGUUGAUGACUGAAGGCAAUGCUGCUGUUCUUUACUGAAAAAGAGAGGUGCAACUUGUGUUCUCACCGAAGACUGUGCAAACAUUCCCUUUCUAUUUCUUAAAGCUCAACGCUUGCUCAAGCAAAUAUGCGUUUAGCCACUUCACCUUUGAUGAUCUCCACUUUCUUUUGAUAAUGAGCCUCGCUCUGACCCUUUUCUUUAUUAUCCGUAUUUUCCAGUCUAGUGUGGUAGACCUUGGAUGGGGGAACCUAUUUUUCAUCCACGUACAUGCAUGAUAAAUGUAUGACAUGUAAUCUAUAUGAUGAACUUGCCCUUCGAGGGGUGACAUAUGAUCAUAACUCUUGCAUGAUGAAACAAGAAUUUUUAUUCUUGCUCAAACUCUACAAUAGAAAUUUCUUGAGUGAUGACCAGUAUAUCCCCGUAAGUCCUGAAUUCAAGAUACUUCAAGAAGGGUUUGCUUAGAUGUAAAAGAAAUAUGUAUGGAGCAUACAUCCUAAAGACAUGUUCUAAUCUUUUUACAUGAGACAAAGGUUAGGUUUAUUACUUGGUAUCUAAAAAGGGUCUCUUGUUGUCUCAGUGAUUACCCUCGUUAAGGCAAUAUAGGGGCCCAGUAGGUAAUGGUCGGCACGUGUACCAAUAUUUACCAGUCUAAGCACUCAAUGAAGAGUUGGGGUUUACACAAACUUAAACCUUGACUCAAGUCAUAAGGCAAGCUGUUAGUCCCCCACCUAAUCUAAAGCUUGUGUGUGCUUUCAAAAAUUAAAACAUGUGAUGCAUGAGAAAUUUUAUACAAUGCAUGAAUAAAACAUAAAUAAAAUAAAACAAAGCACAAAAAAAAACUUGAACACAUCAAAACACAAAGCUUAGUCCGAUAAACUUGAAAACAAUACUUGUCCCUAGUAGAGUCGCCAUUCUGUCGCAUGUCACCCGCGCGACGAUUCUGGCGAUUUUACAUUCAUUUUGCUUGAUUUGGGAGUCGUCACCUAAUAUUUAAUGGAGGGUUACUAGGAAACCCAGAUAUAUUGGUCGUUGCUAGGGAUUCGAAGGUAAGGGACCGGUUAUGGCUAGGGAAGGUAUCAGCACCCCUAGCACACCCUACCUGAGGUAAGCUGCUUUGCGGUUUAAUGCGAUUUGAAAAUUUGAAAUAUUAAUCAAAUUCUUAAGGCUUUAAUAAAUCAAUUAUUAAAUCCCAUAAUAUAUAUAGAAACUUGUUCUUACAUAUUUAACGAAAAUACAACUUGAUUUUAUUUAUCCUUUGAGAUAUUUAACCAUAUUCAAAUUAAACCAUUAAUUUUUUUGUCUUUUUUAUUUUUAUAAUUUAAUAACAUAAAUAAAUAAAAAUACAAACACACACUUCCACGUCACGUUUUACUAUGUUUUUCUAUCACAAUUUUUUACAACAUAACAUAAACUAAAAACAUUUAACAACCAUUUAAAUACAUAUUCAAAUAUGUAAAAAUUACAAAAAGGUCCCUAAAAAGCCCAGGAACUGCAAAGGAGGCCCUCAGGAACUGUGGAAGCAGUGGGAGCAGUGGCGGCACGUUUUUCCCACACGCCACCGCCACUAGCGGCGCGUGGGUCCAUGCGCAGCCGUAAAAAGACUGGCAACAAAGGAUAUCUAGAACAGCUUCUUCCCCUCUUCACUUUCCUUGUUGGCGGUGACAACAACCAUUAUCUGCAAAAGAAGAAACACAACAAACAGUCGAUUUUAAUUUUCUUUUUCCCUUUUGGAUCUGUUCUUGGGUCUGUUUUUUAUCUGGUUUACUGCAGAUCAGUUUGUUUGUUCGUCAUCUUCUCCUCUGUUCCAUGUACUGGCGACAAGGAGGAGUGCUGGAGACCGGAGCAGCGGGUUGCGCCGCUGGGGGAGGAGCUGCUGCGGGAGGCCGAAGAUGGGAAGAUCUGUGGUGUGCAAAGGGGCAGUAUGGGCGGUGGUUUCAGUGGUGUCGGGGGAAGCUGGAAUGGGCCGACUGAUCUGACUCCGUGGGCGCCGCCGUGCUCGGGCUGCUACUGGAGGCUCCAAUUCGGUCUGGGUGAGCUGUAGCUUGGAGAGAGAGCGUGCUAAAAAUGGCAGAAGGAAAAAAAAAAAAGGCCGAUCAAGAGACUAGGGAUGGUCUCUGCUUUUUUCAGGUAAAGGGGUGGCCGGUCUCUAUUUUUGACAGAGAGGGAGUGAGCGGCUGGCUGCUCUAGUUUUCGGAGAAGAUGGAAAUGGGGGCUCUGGUUCUGUGAGCUGGAGGAUGGCAGAUCGGUGAGGAUGGAGAAGGCUCGUUUGGGUAGUCUGUGGGGAUGGUUUUGGGGGGGAAGGUCUGUCGGUUGAGGGAGAAGAAAAUGGGGGGUAAAGGGGGGGCUGCUUUUGUGCUGGGAGCAGGAAAAAUCAGGGGAACAGGGGGCGGCGGCUUCUUUUUUUGGUUUUUUUCCUAGAGGGUGGCGGUUGUAGAGUGGGUUUAGGUUUUUUAGGGUUUUCUUUCUUUUUCUCCCCCAUGUAAAAUUCCCCCUCCCCCUUUUUUUCUUUUCACUGUAGCUUAGUAUUUAUAGGAUGAGUUUUGCUAGGUUUUCAAACUAGUCCCUUAACUUUUCCUUUCCUUUUCUUUUUCUCUUUUUUUUUUUUUUAAAUUUUGAUUUUUCUUAUUUGUUUUUGUAUUUUUUAAAGCGAGCAAUAUCAAUGUCAACUCAACAAGAAAAAUCAGUGAUCAUAAAAUUUACACGUUAAAAAUUGAACGCGUUUCAAAUAUCUUUGAAAAUUUAAAUUCUUUUGAGAUUACUUUGAAAGUGCUAAAAACAAUGCAAAUAUAUCAAAAAUAUAUUUUUUUGGGUUUUUGUCGUUUUUUUGCUAUUUUUUAUUUUUUUUAUAAAUUUAUUAAAAAUAUAGAUAAAAAAUUACGUAACAAUAGCUUUAACAGAAAUAACACGCUUCUAUAACAGCUUUAACUUCAACAAAUGUUUUAUGUAUUGCUGGCUUUAUUGUGGACGUGAAGAAGAUUCAACUCAAUAAAUACUACGAAACGUUGGUGGAACCCUUGGGAAAUCUGACCAUUUUCGUUGGUUGUCAUUAUGAGUGGUCUCUUCCGCGUCUGCAUUCAUUAUCUCUAUCUGCCACUCAUAAUGUUUAGAGGAAGCAGAACGGGUAUCAUUGUUAACAGUACUGUCGGACAUUGCUGACAGUACUUUUCUACUCAUUAAUUAACGCACGUGAACAAUAGGAUACGAUAAUCAAUGGUCGUUUUGAAAGAUAAAUGCAUGUAUUGUCGACCUCUAACAUACAAAAACAUAAUUACAAAGCUGCCGUUGGUUUUGCCGUUGGCAAACGUCUCUCCUGUUCUCUGCCGACUUCCUCCUAUCAAUUCUAACUCGCAUGAAAAACUCACUUACAGUCAUUUGAAGAGUUUAAAGACUCAUUUCUUUUUGCCAUAUAAUAAGUUUCACGAAUAAGAAGAAAUUAUAUAUUAUUCUUUAAGUAAUUAUCAAUACUUUCUUCAUUAAAAAUGUUUUUUUUUUCACUUUCACUAUCUUCCUUGAAUGUAUCUUACUACUCAUGACAUAGGCAUUAAUAGUUACUUUCCAAAUUCUAUAAAAACAAUUUCACCAUUAAAGCCUACAUAGCAGUAUAGCAAAAAUAUAUAAAUAUAGCAGUAUAGCAAACGUAACCCACAUAUGGUGUUGGGAAAUAAUCAAGGCACCCAAUUAUAUCCAUAAAUAUUUUAAGAGCUUCAGCUGUGAUUUUAUAUUAAUUCUAACACACGUUUUUUAAUAAAAAAAAUUUAAACUUAAAAUUAACAUAUGAGAACCACCUUAUGCUAAUUUUCUUUAUUUACUUAUUUAUUUAGAAGAAUGGAGAUAAAAUAUAAACUAUUAUUAUAUCAUGUAAAAGAAUUAUUUUUAAUUCUAAAAUUUAAAUAAUUAAGUGAGGCUUCAAUAAUUACUUUAUAUAAAUUUUAUAUCAUGUUUGUCCCUUAAUAACUACAUUGGCUAUGUGCACUGUUGCUUUAGGUUCCGUUUAAGAACUUUUUAAACAAAAAUUUCGUUGGACCAUUUCUUAUUUCUUCCUUACUCAUUUUCUGUUAUGUAAAAAUAUAAACAAAAAUGCCAAUGCUUCGUUACUCAUUUGUUGUUACGGAAAAUUAAAAAAACAAAAAAAAAAUCAAUUCCAAGGGUGUGUUUGGAGUAUUAAAAUUGCAUGUACAUAUUAAAUAUUAAUAUAAAAUAAUUAAUUAAAGUUUAAUUAACAAUUUAAACUUGAAUUAAGAUGAUUUUUUAAUAUAAUAUAUAUUAAAUUUUUUAUAAUAAAGCGAAUGAGUAAUAGUUUAAAUUUAAUAAUUUAAAAUUUAAAAUUGAUAUAAUUUUUUAAUGUUUUGUACAUAAUAAUUGUCUUAUUUACUUAAUUAUUUUACUAAUGCUAUUUGCAUUGAAUAGGAAUCAAAGAAACUUGCUUGCAUUUUGUUUUUUUCACUGUUUUUAAACUCGGUUCGGUGGUUAACUCGACUCAAGGUCUGGGUCACAAGUUUUGAUCGGGUCACUAGGUUUUGACUGGGUCACCAGGUCAACCAAUUUUUUUAUAAAUCAAAACAACGUUGUUUUGGUUAAAAAAUAAAAAAAAUAAUCAAUAGGUUGCAACUAGGUUUUUGAUCGGGUCUUGUCAGGUCAAUCGAGUCGACUGGGUUUUUAACUACCCCUAUUUUUUUAUAAGCCGACCCGGUUCCAGCCCCAAGUCAGCCGAAUCCCAGGUCGACCUGCCGGGUCAAAUUUUAAAAAUAUGGUUUUUUUAUAUUUUUUUCAAUCAAGGCCCUUUUUUACUUUUCACCGAUAAAUUUUGAUUAAAAAAACACAAGAUUUAACUAAAUUCUGACCAAUAUUAUUUAGCACAAAAAUAAAAGAGCACGUCUAUAAUAACCUAAAAAAUAUAUAUAAAAGGAUAUACCAGGUAUGAUUAGACAUACAAACCAACAUCAGGUAUGUGUGGAGUUUAGGGCUGAAAUUCCAGCCAUUUAAGCUAAGCAUAAUAUUUGGCUGUGUUAUUAUUAUUAUUUUUUUUUGGAAAAACACCUUUUUUUAAACAUCGGUAUCUAUUGCACUGCAUUCUAAAUUCCACACUACCUAUGGUUGCUUCAUGAUCACCAGGACAUGUAUCCGAUUUUUCUCCAAGCACUAACAUUGUUCCAUCGUAACCUUGAAAGCUAAAAGACAAAUUUAUAUAUAUAUUUUUUAUGUUUUUAAAUUGUUUUAAUGUGUUAAUAAUAAAAAAUAAAAUUUAAAAAAUUAAAAAAUUAUAAUCUUAAUGCAUUUCAAGCAAAAAUUAUUUUAAAAAACAACUACUAUCAAAAAAUUAAACACUAUAAAAUGCUAGAAUGAAACCAGAACACAUGAAUAAUUGUAGCAUGAGUUUCUGAACUGUCAAAUACAUAUUUAUUAUAAUUAGAUAACAUGAAAAACUUAGCAAAUAUAUUUAUAUGAACAUGUCCAAGAUGAAAAAGAGAUUUCGUACGUCAAAUAAUUUGUAUGAUAAAAACAAUUACAACUUUUGAUCCAAUAAUUAUCAAAAUUAAAGGUUGUGUUUUUUGACAUCAAAUUAAAGUGUUAGGGUGCAUUACAGGAUUGUGAAUAAGCCAGAAAAAAAAAUGUCAUUAUAUAUUGAUAACUUUGUCAAAAUACUGCAUACAGUUAGCAAAAUUGAAACUUAACUUCUUCUAAUAUUAUCUCAUUUAUGAUGGCUGAUGAUUACCAUUUGCUAAUGCACAAAUUAUAGACUAAUAAUUAUUAAGAAAUCCCUAGUAAUUAAUUGCACGCCAGUUCAAAAUGAGAGAACCAUGUUAUUGCAACGAGAACAUGUCAAUCCUUAAGAAUCAUAAAAAUUAGAUGGCUUAGACAAAGUGCCACCGAUAAAAUUGAGUUUGUUCUUGGCUGAUAAAGCCAUUAUUAUUAAAAAAAAUUCAUGAAUUAUAAUUUUCACCAUUGAGAGAUUUUGAGACGAUCAUGGCUCCAGGAUUGUCACUAUGAUAGAAGAAAAAAGGAUUGGAAAAAUCCAUAUCUAAUGUAGGGUUGAUAUUGACAACCAUUGUCAAGAAAAUAAAGAGAAAGAAAGAAUUGAUGAAGAUAUGGAAAUAAAACUUCAAAAAAAAUGCUAUGAUAUCAUAAUGAAAAUAGAAAAUUAUAAACUGAAUGUUUUAUUUUUUUAAGUUAUAACUAUUGUCUAUUACAUUGUUUAUACUUUAUACAGACUAAUCUGAAAACAGAAUAAGCAACGGUUACUUUAACAGAAAUAACACGGUUCUAUAACAGCUUCAACUUUAACAAAUGUUUUAUGUACUGCUGGCUUUAUUAUGGACGUGAAGAAGAUUCAACUCAAUAAAUACUACGAAACGUUGGAAAAUCUGACUCUUUUCGUUGGUUGUCAUCAUGGGUGGUCUCUUCCGCGUCUGCAUUCAUUAUCUAUAUCUGCCACUCAUAAUGUUUAGAGGAAGCAGAAAGGGCAUCAUUGUUAACAGUGCUGUCGGACAUUGCUCACAGUACUUUUCAACUCAUUAAUUACUGCUGUCGAAAAACCCCGCGCGGCAUCGGCUGGCGAUUGUUCUUCGUUAUUAAUGCGUUUGCUUGAAUUUGUUCGUUCGUUGGAGUCGCCACCUAGUAAUUUAUUAAAGGCUACUAGGAAACCGGAUGUACUGGUCUGGUCAGAGACUCGCAGGUAAAGGACUGGUUGUGGUUAGGAAAGGUAUUAGCACCCCUAACGCACCCUACCUGAGGUAAGCUGCUUCGCGAAUUUGAUGUGUUAAAGAAGUUUUAAUAAUUAUCUUUUCAUCGGAAAUUAGAAAUAUCACUUACAUAUAAGUUAAUAAUUAUUAACCGUGAUCCAAUCAAAAUAUUAAAUUCUUCUUUAAUCUUUGCAAUUUAUCGUAAAUAAGAAAAUAAAUAAAACAUUCAUAAAACAAAUACAAAAAAACACAUACAUACACUUUCACUAUUUUUUGUUUCUUUUCUUUUCUUUUUCUUUUUCUUUUCUUUUCUUUUCUUUUACAUCCAUAUUUACAAAAUACAAAAAAAAAAAAAAAAAAAAACAAAUAAACAAACAUUACAUUAGAAUUACAAUAAUAGCCCCAAAACAAUCUGAAAUUACAAGGAAACCCUUCUGCAAGCCGAAACAGUGUGCAGGAACAGUGGAAGCGCAUCCUCCCACGCGCCACCGCCACUGGCAGCGCGUGGGUUCAUGCGCCGCUGCCGAUGAAGGCCAAAAACUAGUGGAUCAGGAACGCCUUCUUCUCCCCUUCCUUUUCCUGCCGGCGAUGAGGGUCACCGUCACUUGCAACAACAAGAAAAACGCACAAAAAACAGUCGAUUUUAGUUUUUUUCGUUAUAGAUCUGCUUCUCUUUCUGAUUGCAGGUCCGACCGUUGAUUCUCGGUCGGAGCUGAGGCCGCUUCUGUGGUUGCUGCUGGGCAGCUCUGGCGAUGGGUCUGUGGGCGAUGGCCGCCGAUCUGUGGACGACGGCUGACCGAGAGAACAAGGAGACAAGGGAAAGUGCUGGGGCAGGGGCUUUAGAUGUGGCUGACGGCUGUGGCUUGGAGGCGGUGUCGUCGUGUUUGGCGGUGAGAGGAGAAGCUGGUGCUGAGGAGAUCGGGUCUGUGGCCGGCUGUUGUGGUCCUCGCUGGGUUCUUCAGUUGUGGGGAGAUCAGUGGCGGUGCUGAGGAGAUCGGGUGCUGCUGUGGAAGGCUGGCCGGCGAGAGAGAGAAGAAGAAGAUGGUGAGCUGCGGGGACUGUUGGGGGUCGGCUGUGAGAAGGAAAAAAAAUCAAAUCGGGGGGAGGGGGUUGGUUCGCAAGGGAGCCGGAGAAGGAAGAGGAAACCGCCGUUGGAGGGGGGGCUGCUUGGCCGUUUUUUUUUAUUUUUAGGUAAGGGGGCGGCUAUGUAUGAGAGGGUUUAGGUUUAGGUUUUUUUUGUAUUUUUUUUCUGAUGUUGUCAAAACUACCCAUGUAUCAAAAUUGCCUUCCCUUGAAUGUGUUGAGGAAACCAAUAUUUAUAGGCAGAAAUAUUCCUAGGUUUUCAAAAUUGGUCCAUCAACAUCUUCUUUUUGUAAAUUUUGAUUUUUUCUUAUUUUUUUGUAUUGUUUUGAAAACGAGCAAUAUCAGCGUUGACUCGAUGAGAAAAAUCAAAGAUUUUAAAAAUGACGCGUGAAAAGUCGAACGCGUUCAAAAGUCUUUUAAAAAUUUAAAUUCUUUUUUAGACGACGUUGAAAAUGUUAAAAUGACGAGAAUAUAUUAAAAAACAUAUUUUUUAGAUUUUCUUUGUUUUUCUCUAUUUUUGGAUUUUUUAAAAAAUAUAUAAAAAAAUAUAGGUCAAAAAAUAAUAGCAACAAUUAGUUUUUGUCUUUUUGACAUAAAAAAGAGACUUUAACAUGACAAUAUCAAAAACCAAGAGCCCACAAUACUGACACUGAUGCUUUUUUCAAUUUAGUGAUAAGUGGCCCAACUUUAACUUUUAAAGUGCGUGGAAGUUUAAUAAUAAUUAUAUUUUAAAAUAAUUUUUAUUUUUAAAAUUCAAUAUUAAUAUAUUAAAAUAAUUUAAAAAUAUAUAUAUUUUUUACUUUAAGAUAAAAAAUCAAAUUUUGUGAGCUUGUUUUGCUAUUUAAAAAUGGAUGUGAUUGGCUUAUCUUGCUCCUCCAUUUACAUGGCUUUCAUAUUUCAAGAUAUUGUCACAAGGGCAACGAAAAACAUAUUGGCAGGCUGGAGGGAAUGAAUAACAGGGGAUGCAUUAUCUAUUUUUCAUGGGUAGCCAAUUUUGAUGUUUCGCUACCUGAGGAAACCACAUGUGCCACCAGAGCACAUGCAUUAAUUUUUGUACACACGAUCGCAUUGUCACAUAUUUAAUAAUUUUUUAUAAUACUAUUUAACUCUAUUUUAAUAUAUAAAUAUUAAUUUUUGUACAAAAAAAUAGUUUGACCCAUAGUUAUCAAAUCCAAUCCAGGGAUUGAUCCGACCAAGAAGUCGGGUCCCGGGUUUCAUGAGUAAACCUAGAAAAAUUUUAAAAAUAUAUUAAAAAUUUUAAUAUUUCAUAUAAAAAAAUUAAGAAACAAUUCAUGUGAAUAUAAACUAUACAUGUUAGUAAAUAAUAAAGUUUAAAAGAAUACUUCUAAAAGUUUUUUUAUCAUACAUUGAAAAUAUACUGUGUUAUCCUCUUAAGUUGAAGUAUUUAAACCAAAUUUUUUUUUUUAUCCCAUAUUAAAAAAGCAUAAUUUUUUUCUUCAGAAUAUAGAGUAUAUAUGCUAAAAGGUUUCAAAUCUUACAUUGAAAAAACAUAAUUUUUUUUAUUGUGAACAUAGAGUAUGUAUACAAAAGGGCUUCAAAUUCCACAUUGAAAAAAUUAUUUUUUUCUUGAGAACAUAUAAUAUAUAUACUAAAGGGUUUCAAAUCUCACAUUGAAAAAAUAACACAUUUUUCUAAUUUUUAUAUAGUGAACUUUAAAAAAUAUUAGUAACCAACUAAAAAAAUUUAAAAAAAGAGGGGUAUAAGAGAAAAACCAUAUUUGAAAAAAAAAAAAUCAGGUCUCGUCCAGGUUCGCCCGGGUCAUGGGUCGAUCACAGGGUCAACCCGCUGGGUCGGGCUGAAUUUAAUAACAAUGGUCUUAAUUGAUCCAAAUCAACAAAAAAUAGUUUUAUUUUAACAAAUUGAGCAUCAACCAAGUGCUUUGGAACUUUUGUUUGAUGUUGUGAGAUCCUUAUAUCCAAGAAAUAAAAAUAAAUCAUCAAGUGAAUUAAAAUAAAACAACAUGUAGAAAGAUCAAAUUAAAAAAAAAAACUUGAGUAAUAAAAAAAAUCAGCCUAAAUUUUUUUCUCGCCCAUGCAACCCAGUUUCUAAUAGGAGAAAAUUAAUGGGUUUAAUAGUUGUCAAAUCUUAAAAUUCAGUUUUCAAAGCUUUAAUUACUAUAAAUUAAUAAAAUUAAUUUUUUUUAUGUCAAACUAUGCAUCAACGAAGCAACUAAAUAUUUCUUUGACAACUCAACAUCUUCAUUAAUAGGAAGACAAAAAAAGCUGGCAAGCCCAAAUCUAUAUUAUUGCAAUGUUAAAUAUACUAAAUAAAAAAGAAAUUAGAAGAUGAAAAAGUUAAAAAAAAUAAAGAAAAAAGAUAUUAAAAAAUUAAAAUGUUAAAUAGUAAAUAAAUAAAUAAAUCAACCUGUAGUGAAUCAAAUAAUUAAUCACCCACGAAAUUAAUUAUUUGAUGGUUUAUAUAAUUAGGUGAUUUAUCUUAUCAAUCCGUAGUAUCUCAUGGCAGUCAAAAGAGAGCGAUGUGGUAUGUUUUGCUAUGAUGCAACAUUUUGGUAUAUGAUAGUGUGACAUUUUCUUUGUUGCUUUUCAAAUCAGACUUUGCAGAUUGUAUACAUAUUUCCCUUUCUUUUGUCAUUGUCCAUAAAAACUAAGUUGAUAAAUUCUAUGAUGACACAUGUCGUAUGUGAUUUUGAUGUUUUCUUUGUUGUUUUUCAAAUUAGUCUUUGCUGUUUUUAUCAAGGUUGUCAAUUCCAUUUCGUUUCGUUCAGAAUAGCUGAAACAUUCCAUAUCAAUUCAAAAGACGGAACAAAUUUCAUCUUAUUUUAAAUCUCGGUCUGUUCUGGAUUUUUCAGCUAAAUUCCGUCCGAAACAUUCCAGUUUUAUUCCACAUGUUCCGUUCCACUCUUGAAAAGCCAUUGAAUCAAAUUGAACCUUGUUCAAUUUCAUUAAUUAAACCACUCAAAUAUAAAAAGCUCUAUUUCAUUACUAUUUUCAAUAAUAAUGAUAUUAAUAAUAAUAUUGAAAAUUAUUAUUACUAUUUUCUUUAACAAUGAUAUUAAUUUUUUAAAAUUAGAUUUAUCACUAAUCUAUAUGAUUUAUAUUCAUGUUGUUUUUUUCAUGUUUAUACUUUGUAUGAAUUUGAGUAAAACACUGGAUACUUUAGAUUUCAUUAGCCUUGAUAACAUUGACCUAACUUUAUAUUUAAAAUAUUUUUGUUAAAACAUUUUACUUUCAUAAUUUUUUGAUAUUUUAUUUAAGUUGAAUUACUUUUAAGUUAAAGAUCUAUUUAAUCUUGACUAUUUAGAAAUAUUUUAAAUUUUGAAAUUAUAUUUGUUUGGCAUUGUGUUUGUAUUGCAUAAUUUAUAAUUAAUUUAUCUUGAAUUUGAAUUAUGUUUGUUGAAUAUAUAUAUAUAUAUAUAUAUAUAUAUAUAUAUAUAUAUAUAUAUAUGUGGAUGGAUGAUGAAUGUAAGUAUAGGAAUUGCUGAAUGCAAUAUAUAGAAACAACUAAGAAAUAAUCUUUUUAGAUACAAGAAGCAAAAGGUGCUGAUCUUGAAAGACAACGGAGGAGAAUAAGGAGCCACCUUGAAAGAAGAGGCCUUUUCUUGUACCAAAUCCGGUCAUUUGUAAGUUCAAAACUACUCUAGCACAGCUACUUAUUUGCAUAUUUAUGUGUUCUGUGGGUAUUUUGUUCUGAUAUUUGGUACUGUUUUUAAUGUUUUCUCUCCGCUACCAGUAUCUUUGAUCAAGCCCCCAACAACGGAUGAUAAUAGCUGGUGCUUAGUAGUCUGUGUCAACCAUGUCUGAAACACAUCUAAGUGAAAUAAGGGUUGAUCCAUUGAUCAACAAAGAGGAAGGGAUUCAUAACAACCAACCUCAAGAGCUGAAGAUGGAUGGAACAUUAGGAAAUUACCCACUGAAAAAGGAUGAGCGUUCUUCGUGGUUUAGUUCCAUAAUGAAAAGAGAGGACAAAGACACUAAGAACAACCAGCCACUUGGGCCAAAGAUUCCGAAAGUUGCAGACAAGCUUAGAGAAAAAAACGAGGAAUACUACAGUCCUUCGAUGGUCUCAAUUGGGCCUUACCACUCUCCGGCUCAUCAAAACAAUCUAAAGGUUUCGAUGGCUCGCCAAUUCAUCCUAGAUAGUGGAAAAAACAUAGAACUCGUCUACGGAGAAGUAGAAAAGGGUAUCCAAAACGCAAGAGAAUUUUACAACGAGAUCGACAUGAAAGGCUAUGAUGACGAGCAAUUCACCCGGAUGAUGUUUCUUGAUGGAUGCUUUAUUCUCCAAUUCAUCCAUUGUGUGACACAUAAUUAUGAAAAUUUAGAGAUGACUGAUCGACAAGUUGCUGGUGUGAAGCGGGAUUUGUUAUUACUGGAGAACCAGAUUCCUUUUCCAGUCCUGAAAUCACUGACGAGUCUGAGGUACGAAAAAGAUGGAAUGAAACAUGUGAAUGAUUUUCUUUUUUCCCAUAUUCUCAACCCGAAAGAUCAACCAUUGCGGACUCGAAAAUUACUUUGGUCUACCGUUAGUCUCCUGUUAUUGUUUCUUCCAAUUGCUCUUCCAUUUGUUUUAUCACGCUAUAAUCAUGAACCUGGUUUUCUUGAGCAUGGUGCCAAUAUUUGCCGUGAUGGAAUUAUGUGUCCUGAUACCAGCUUGGCUUUUGUGGUUGCUACUAAGAAAGAAGAGGCGAGCCUCAGGAUAUGAUUCGCAAUGGCAGCCUGAUGAAGAACCUGCCCAUCUUCUUCAACUUCUAUAUUUUCUUUUCAUAGGCAAGUCGUCUUCACGAAGAUGCUGCCAUUGCUUGUCUUAUUUGGCCACUUGUCUUAAGAAAUUCAUUCCUACAAAGUGCAAGCCAGUUGCUCGAGGAAGGUGUGGCCAUUACCUGUAUUAUUCUGCCAAGGAACUUAAGAAGGUGGGAAUCCAUUUCAUGUCUAGUCAGACUAGUGCUUUGACGGAUGUCAAGUUCAAGUCAUCAUCUCUCUAUGGAACAUUGAAGCUUCCUUCAAUUACCAUAGAUGAGUCAACACAUUCCAUGCUCUUCAACUUAGUGGCCUACGAAACAUCUGCUGCACUCAAUCCACUUUGGGUCACUUCUUACAUAUGUUUCAUGGAUUCGCUGAUUGACGAUGCUGAUGACGUGAAAGAGCUGCGAUCAAAGGGCAUAAUUAUUAAUUUCCAUGGACCUGACCAGCAGGUUGCGGAUCUCUUCAACCAGAUGGGCAGUUUUCUUGAACCUGAUACUAGAGUUUAUAAUGAUGUUAAAAGAGAGAUAAAUGAGCAGUGUGAGAGCAUCGUGAAGAAAUGGGUAGCUCAGUGGCAGCAAACUUAUUUUCAUAGUCCGUGGGCCUUCAUUGCAUUUGCCGCCGCCGCUGUUGGUUUGGCUCUUACCGCCACUCAGACGUACUAUGCAAUGCACCCACGCGACCCACCCAAGAAGAAUUAACUAUAUAUUGCAAGCGAUGAUGUAGAAACUAUAUGUAGUUCUUAUUCAACAGAAUGUGUGAUGUUUCAGGAAGGGAAUUAAAUUGUAAUAAAUUCUGUCAGGUUGUAAGACAUAAGAUGAUUUCAAUUAGGCUAAUGCUAUGAGAUCGAAGGGCAUUGUGUGCAAAUCAAUCUGUUCAGGGUCGCUUUUUACUUGUGUUUUCUUGAGUGUAAUUUUGAGUUAGGGGGCUUUGAAAUGAACUCUCAACACAAAUUUAGACUAAAUAAAACUUUAACAUACUACGCAAUUAUGGGAUAAAAAAAAAAGUACAGAAUUUUCAACAUGUAAAUUUCAAUACAAUGGACAAGAGAAAUUUAAUUUUGAAGCUUGAUUGUUUUUUUCUUUUAGAGUGAGCACAUGAUCAUUUAAGGUUCGUAUUUUAAAUGAAGUUUAAAGAACAUAAAUUAAAGAUAAAUAUAAGAAAUAAAAUUUUAGAUUAUAGUAAAAAAUUAAUAAAAAAGGAUCAAAAUUAACUUUUUAAAAAUAAAAUCUCUUAAUUUUCACGGUUCAAAAGGCAUGUUUAAAAAGAAAAGGCAUAUUUAUUGAAUUCUCUUCUUUAAGACGGUUUUUUAUGAUGCCAACCAAAACUUUUCUUUUCUCUCUCCCUUUUUCAAUGAUUUCCUCUGUGCCCUUUCAUUUUUUCAAGGUUUAAAUAUCAUAAAAAUAAAGUAGAAUGUCAUAACGUAAAAUUCUAGACCAAUAGGGAUCAAAUAAUGCAUAAAGUAAGACUUUAGUAACUAAGUUGAAGUUUUUCCUGCCUUUAAUAUAGAAAAUGUAAAAGACUUGUUUUUUUUUUGUGUUGAUUUUAGUUUUUUGUUUUUUUUUUAUCUCAACAACAUGAAAUUUAAUUUUAUAAUAAUGAUAUUUUAAGUUCAUUGGUUGAAAUGAGAAAACAAAUAUAACAUCGUUCUUUGAAUAGUGACAUCCAUAAUAGUUUAUGUCUUGUGUUAAAAACAAAUUAUUUUAGUAUAUACUGGAAUGGAUGUAAUGUAAUGGGGGUUCACAGCUGAUUUAUUGGUGAGGCAGCAACAAGUAAUUUUUUUUCUUCAUAUCCUAGCAAUUGGUUUUGCGUCAGUAAUCAAUACUAAUAGAGAAACAUUACACAUGCUAUUGCAUUAAAAAAUAUUGUGUUCAAUGUUAUAUGUUAACAGAUCAUGAUGGUGGUCUAAUUUUUGUCAUCAUGAACAACUUUCAAGCUCAAAGAUUUGGCCUUGUCUUGUUUCUCAAAAUGCUUUCAUUCAUCUUCUUUGUGUGAUAAUAUGCACCUCUGAACUUACAAUUUGUAUGAAUCUAGGAAAAGGUAAUUUCUAACUUGUUUUAUGAACAGUUGUGAGCUUGGGUGCAUCUGCGAUUGAAGAAGAUGGAGAGCUAAUAGCUAAAUUGUUUGAAUCAGUUGGAAAGAUAUGGAGAGCUAAUGAAAAAUGUGUUUGAUGCAAUUACUGGUCUAAGGUAUGAUGUUUCUGCAAAGGGGAAUAUUUAUACUGCCAGCUUCAUCUAUAUUUUGAGUAAGGCUUUUAAAUUUGCCAAGCUAAAUGCACUACCGUCGGUUGUUUUACACAUGCUUUUCUGCUUAAAUAAAUAGAGAUUGCAUAAUUGCAUUUUUCUAUAGCGUAAUUCUCUUUUUGUAUAAAUGAUCAGUGGAAAAAGGGCUUCCAUAUACCUAUAGAAACUUUGGCUGAUGGAGUGACAGCAGGUCUGCUGAGAGAACUUGCAGCGGGCCUUGCUUCUAAACUUGCAUGUCAUUUAUUUUCAAUGGUAAUGCUUGUUCUUGGUAUAACCCCCUUGAAUAGGAAAGAAAAGAAGGGGAAAAAAAUGAGAGAGCCUUUGAUGGUGUUUUAUAUCACUGCUGCAACUGUUCACCAGAUUAGCAUGCUUGCAUUUUUAAUGUUUCAAAGCUCUGCUUUUGACAAGGGAAUAUAUUGUACAUAUAUUCUUAGGUGUUGUUUGGUAGUGUGGUUGCGGGGGAGGUUCACUCGCAACCACACAUUUUAGUGUUUGGUAACCAAGCAAAAUUAAUUUUCCUUGGUAGGGUCCACAUUAUUUCUGCUGGCCAGCCGUAGGAAUUGAGAAGCAGCAUUUUGCUGCUUCUCGUGGGUACUAUAACAGUGGAGCCAUGCUCCACUGUCACCAUGUCUUUUUUUUUUUUUAAAUCAGUAUAAAAAGUUUAUUUAUUUAUUUAUUUUUAAAAAAUCAGUGAGCAAAGUUUAUUUUUUCCUCCAAAAAACCAGUGCCAUUAAUCGUAAAUAAUAUUUUUUUUUGUUUUUUUUUUUAAAUUAGUUUAAGAUGAAUUAAAUUUAUUCGUACUGUAAUCUUAAUUUUAUUUAUGAUAAUAUUUUACCUAAUUUUAUUGCACGCUCAAAAAAUCAUGAAAACUUUAGUUGUUGAAUAACUUUUGUACGUAAUGAAAUUGUAAUUUUUUUAAAAAAAAUUGUGUUUUACUCGAAAAAUUAGUAUUUAAUAUUAUAUAAUAACACUACAUAAAUUAGAAAGAUAUCGCAUGAUGACGUAGUAUUUAUGGAAUUUGAUCGCAAUUCCAAUAAUAAAUAUAUCACAAUCUUUAUUAUUUAAUAACACUACAUAAAUUUAAAAAAUCAGUUUUUGUUGUUGCGCGCUUAAGAAACCAUGAAAAAUAUAGUCCUUAUUUGAUAGAUUUCGUAUGUAAUGACAUUACAUAUAGUUUAAUGAAAUAAUAAAAAAUAUUUGAUAUUAAUAUUAUUUAUUUCAUGAUGUAAUAACAGUAGUUAAAUCUACAAUAUUUAAAUUAAAAAUCAUUAAUAUUAGUAUAUAUAUAUAUACUAAUUAUUUUAUAACCUCAAUUUGAAAAUCAUUUUUUUAACCAAACACAUUAAACUACUUUUUGUUCAACCUCAAUUUCAACCACAGUUUUAACCAAACACCUAUUUUUUCAAACCAACCUUUAGUCAUUCCUACUUUAUUUUAGAGUAUUUUGUAUGAUUUUUAGCAAGUUAUCUAGAGUUUUAGGUAUCUCUUAGAAUAAUUUACUUUUUGAUGAUUCAGUAUAUUUUUUAGAUAUUUAACUACUAAAGCAUGCUGAAUUUGAAAUGAUAUGAGGAAGCAGAUAAUGGGUUAAGCUUAGAGUUCAAACAUUGGUUAGUUUGUCAUAACAAAAGUUAUACAACUCCAUUUCAUGUGUUAUAUACCAUUCUGAAAAGCUAAGACAUAAGCUUACAAUUCUUAUGAAGAGAAAGAUCCCACUUUUUGUGUUUGAAAGCCCAAAUACCAAGUCAAAAUACAGAGUUUGAAUCAGACCAAAAAUCCCUAUGACCCAUGUCGUAACCUAAUUUUUGAACAAAUAAUAAAAAUUAAAUAUAAUUGACGAUGAGGUUAAUACAACACAAAAUGUGAAGUUUAGGGAUGUAAUUAUAAAAUUUGAGAGUUAAUUGAUCAAUUUUGAAAGAUUUAAAAGUUAAAGAUUUAAUUAAGGGCUAAAUUGAACAAUCUAGAAAUUAAGGACUGUUUUGUAAACAAUGUUAUAAUUUAGGGAUUUAAUUGAAAUUAAUCCAAAAGGGCAAAAUUAAAAGAAUUAAUUAAGGACCAAAUUGAACAAUCCAGGAAUUAAGGACUGCUUUGUAAACAUUGUUAUAAUUUAGGGAUUUAAUUGAAAUUAAUCCAAAAGGGCAAAAUUAAAAGAAAUUUUUAAUUGCUUAGAGGUCCAAUUGCCGAAUUUCCAAAGAAGCAGGGUCAAAAUGAAAAUGUGUCUUUCGGCCGAAAUGUCACCGUUGUGGGAACAGUCGUGUUCGUCUUCUCCAUCCCGAUUCAACAGGCUGAAAAUAUGCAACGGAGUCGAUCCAAUCAUGGACCACGUGUCUCCCAUGAUCUCGUCGGGGAAGAUAACAGUCCUGCAAAGGCAGGACUGGUUAGAGGCAAGCAGCUGGGUCUAUAAAAGGGGAAGAAAAACCCAGAACAAGGACGAAGAAAUCAACCCAAAAAUACAAAGUCAAGAACAAAAAAAAAAAGCAGAGAAAACAAAGCAUAAAUUCAAAUACAGAGAGAAAGAGAGAACAAGAGGGGCAACACAUAGUGACGAGAAUUAUCCUUGAAAUUGUCCUCGUACCUGCAAACAAAGAAAAAAACCGGAUUUAGUCAAAGAACACUCACAGCAAACCGGCAUCUUCUUUGUAGUUUUAAAAGCUACGGAGAAAUCAAGAAGGAAAGCACAGACAAGUGAUCACAGAAGGAAGACCAGGGGAAGCAGUAGGCGAGAAUCAUCAUCAGCUCUGCAAGCAUCCUCGGUCUCCAAAAGCAGGUAUGACUUCAUUCCCUUUGAAUCUUCAUUUCAAAAAGUAAUUGUCAGUGUUACAAGAACACUAUGUGAAGGUAAUUUAAUUACCUUCACCAGUGUUCGUGCACGCGUGAAAUUUUUUUUUGUGUGUGUAGAAAAAUAAAUAUUAAUUUAUUGUUGUUUUUAUUUUUUCGUUGACGCAAUAAAAAUACCAAUUCAAAUUUAUUUUAUUAUCUUUUAUUUAGUUAUAUAAAAUGUGCAUGCCAAAAAAUAAAUAACAUAAGAUAAAAUAAAAUAAAUUUAUUGGUUUAUUCACUGACGCCAGAGUCGGGAAUAAAAAUACUAAAGUAAAUUUAUUUUAUUUUAUUUUAUUUUGCUUUUAUUUAGCUACAUAAAAAUAAAAAUAAAAAUAAUGUGUAUGCGUAUGUUUAUUUACUGACGUCAGAGUCAAAAAUAAAAAAGAAAUAAUGAUUUAAAUUUAUUCAUUUUUGAUACCUACGUAAUAAUUACCAACGCUAGAGUUAGAAAUAUCCGUAGUUGAAUAUUUACUGAUGCCAAAGUCAGGAAUAUUGCGAGUAAACCAUCAGAGCAUAAACCAAUAAAAAUUUAGUAAUUUAAGACAAAACCAGCAAUGCAGUCUGUCUCCGGCAGAACGUUUAAGGGAUGAUAAUAUCUUUCCUUUUACGUAAUCAGUCAAGUACCAUAGAAUCUAUGUUGACUAGUUAGAGUUCAAAGUGACCAUAAUACUAGGUGACGACUCCUUAAACAAGACCUUUUUCCUAAAACAACAAGAUGCCAGAAAUCUAUUCUUUUUUCAUGAUCGAUUGAUUUUUUUAAUUGAUCGUUGCGAUGUCCAGGUGUGACAACCUAGAUACUGUCUCUGUUUUUGGCCCAUAUAUCGAGUUCCAGAUGUCUAAAAAUUACAAGACCAAUCUUGUUGGAAAGAAACCUUGAUUCUUUACAAUUGUUCUAGAAAUGAUAAAGAAGAAGAAGAAGAAGAAGGAGGCAAAUAAUACACAUGCAUUAUGCAAAUGCCACUUAAAAAUAAGAUAAGGAUGAACAUCUAGUUAUUUGUCUAGGAUUCGAGAAAGCAGUUAUUUAGAGUAAUUUAUAAGGUUGUGUUUGUUUUUGUGGUUUUAAAAUAAUUUUUUUAGUAUUUUUAGAUCGUUUUUGAAAUAUUAACUUUCAGUCUCACUUUAAUUUCCAUUUAUCUAGUUAGUGAACCAUUUGAUUUACAAUCUCAUGCAUUUCCCACCUUGCCAAUCCUCAGGUAAACAGGAAACUUGACAACUUUUUGGUUGUGCGCAUCUUCAUUCCAAGCACGCUUGAAACUCUCAGUCAUAUCAUCCCUCAGUAGCUCCACACCCUUUGUCUUGGCCGUUUGAUACGCAGACCAUGACCUUAGGUACGUAAAUACUCAUUCUAAAUCCAUCAGUUUCUCUGCUACAAACUUGAUUGGUCCUGUAUGAUCAGCUCCUUCAACUGGCUCAAAGGGAAAAUCAAUGCUCAUAUACUUGUCGUCGAUCAAUUUAAGCUGCGGUUCCCAGUAGGGAUGAGAAUCAAUGGAGUAAAAUGGAUUGAGGACAGAGUCUACAGAGUCAUUGACUUCAGGAACUGUGUAGCACCAAGCAGCGAUGACUCCAUCAGGUUUUUUGAGUAUCCAUUUUACUUGUUGGUAAAAUGCAUGGAGAUCAAACCAAUGCAUGGCUUGAGCAAUAGUCACUAGAUCAACACUAGAAUGCCAUUCUUUAUUCGAAGGAAAAGUAAAAAAAAUUCCAAUGCUAGCAGAUGGGAAUUGGGAAAGUGGAAGGAACUAAAACAAUGGCAUUCUUUUCUGAACACAUAUUUCAUGCUUGACUGUCAUUGUUUGUGUUUUUAAUUAUUCCAAAGUGGAUUCCUGCACUUAAAGCUUGAGUAUUAAAUUCAUCUCAUAGCAAAAUUUUCUGAAACGAAAGUCUAAAGCCUCUGUGGGAGAACUAAACCUCUUAGUGGGGUUCCAAAUCCAAGGCAUUUGGUCCCAUUCUUAGGCUUUUAAGUGAACAAAAAUGUCUCCGCCAUGUAUCGACACCCCUUCAUUUUCAGUUCUACAGUACACUUGCUAGUUGAUAGCACAACCAGGAUCACAGCAUGGCAGAUUCCAGCCCUCUGUUGCCUCCAUUCCUUCUGGCGGAGCCAGAAACUUCGGAUGUCGAUGAACCUCAGGCGUCUCUUGAUUCGGUUGUUGAAAGGGUAAUUGGAGAUUUUGGAUGGACCCAAUUAGAUCAAUCCACCAUUGUAUUGUUAUCAAGGUUCUUUGAUGCUCAGCAGACAUUCAUUAGUGUCUACGCAGACUCGGAACCAGCGUGGCACUGCAUCAACAAUGGCAUUUGCAACUCAAGUGCUGACAUAUGUGACCUUUCCAAGUCUUCAUGGGCCUGGAAUGGACACACUUACAAGACAAUCAUAUCGGAUUGGGAUCUUGAAUGUGCAAGCUCCUCCAUAAAAGGCCUGCCACCGUCGUCUUUCUUUCUCGGCUGCUUGCUUGGUGGUUGCGUUCUAGGCACACUCGCUGACACUUCUCUUGGCAGAAAGAACUGGCUAACACCUGUCUAACAAUGUCCAUAGCUUCUCUCAUGACCAUUUUCUCCACUAAUGUAUGGAUCUGUUCUGCCUUCAGAUUCUUAAGUGGAUUUGGCCGUGCAGCAAUUGGAGCAACUGCUCUUGUGUUAGCCACUGAAAAGGUAGGAAGCAAAUGGCGUAGCCAAAUGGGAACUAUUGCUGGAGUCUCCUUUGCAUUAGGGCUAUUAUCUUUGCCAGGUAUAGCGUAUAUUAACAGAAAUUCUUCAUGGAGAACUAUCUAUGUAUUUACAUCCAUCUUGUAUUGUGUACUAGUUCAUCUUUCAGUACUCGAAUCUCCCCGCUGGCUUUUCUUGCAAGGCCGCAAAGAAGCUGCUAUGGCAAUAUUGAAAAGACUUGGUCCAACAAGCCUGGACUUGUGCUUACCCUACAUUUCCCUCAAAAAGGAAGCACCAAAAACUAACCUCUACUCACCAAUCAAGAUUUUACUCGUGAGAAAAUGGGCUCUUCAAAGGUUGUUAAUUGUGAUGCUAACAGGUUUUGGCAUUGGAAUUGUGUAUUACAGCAUGCCUCUAGCAGUGGGAAACCUGGGCUUCAACAUCUACUUGAGUGUUGCAUUCAAUGGUUUAGCUGAAAUACCAUCAUACAUCAUCUUUUCCUUUAUCGUAAGCAAAUGGAGCAGAAAGGGAUCUCUUCUUGCAUUCACUACAUUAGGUGGCAUUUGCAGCAUAAUGUGCAUCAUGAACUGGAAGGAAGUGGUGCUAAUUGGACUGGAGCUCGUAUCAUACUUCAGUGCCUGUACAGCUUUUAUUAUGCUAAUGAUUUACACACUGGAGUUGUUUCCAACACGUGUGAGGAACGGAGGCUCGUCGAUGGUAAGGCAAGCACCUGUAUUUGGAGCUGUGUUUAGCCCAAUUCUAAUUUCUGCUGGGAGAAGUAACAAGGUCUUGUCAUACGGGGUGUUUGGCUUGGUGAUCUUGUGCUCUAGUGUGUUUGUUUUCUGUUUGCCAGAGACAAGAGGUGUGGCGCUUAGUGAUACCAUGGAUGAACAAGAAGAGAAAGAACAGCUUGCUAUGUAAUGGCGAUACAGAAAAUUUACAUGUCGUUCAUUUCUGCCACUUAACACUACUUUUCUAAAUUAAAAUAUUUCUUUGCCAGCUUUGAUUCGGUUGCAUUAUCUAACCUGAUAAAGGAUCUGAUCAUUGCAUUAUCUAGUUUAGAUAUUUUUUUUUUAAUAAAACUUUUGUAAAAGUUAUUUAUAUAUUGAGUUUAAUCAUAUUAAACUAUACUAUUAAUUCAUUGGUUAGAUUAAUCAACUCACAACUUGAUGUAUUAAGUUAUUUUUAAUAUUUAAAAUAAUAUUAUUUUAAUAAAAAUAACAAAAAAAAAAUAAAAAUUAAUGGGUUUGUAACUGGGUUUUGAUCGAAUCAACCCACUUGAUUAUACCAUAUUUUUUUUUUAUUAUUGUUUUUUUUAACCCGGUUAAGUUCUAUACCAGAUUAACAUAUUCUAAAUUGACUAGCUAGGCCGGUUUUCAAACUUAUAGAUAGAAUUGUCGAAGGAAAAGCAAGAACUUAUAGAGGGCCCAUUUUAACAUUAAAGAUUAGUUUUUCACAUAAAAAAAAAAAAGCUUUAACAUGACAAUACCAAAAGCCAAGAGCCCACAAUAGUGACAGAUACUUUUUUCAUUUUAGUGAUAAGUGGCCCAACUUUAACUUUUAAAUAGCGUGGAAGUGUAAUAGUAAUUAUAUUUUAAAAUAAUUUUUAUUUUUAAAAUUCAAUAUUAAUAAAUUAAAAUAAUUUAAAAAUAUUAUAUUUUUUUAAAUUUAAGAUAAAAAAAUCAAAUUUUGUGAGCUUGUUUUGCUAUUGAAAAAUGGAUGUGAUUGGCUUAUCUUGCUCCUCUACCAUUUACAUGGCUUUCAUAUUUCAAGAUAUUGUCACAAGGGCAACGAAAAACAUAUUGGCAGGCUGGAGGGGACGCAUUAUCUAUUUUUCAUGCGUAGCCAAUUUUGAUGUUUCGCUCCCUGAGGAAACCACAUGUGCCACCAGAGCGCUGUGACUUUCAUCACUUGGAGGCACAUGCAUUACACACACGAUCGCAUUGUCACAUAUUUAAUAAUUUUUUAUAAUACUGUUUAACUCUAUUUUAAUAUCUAAAUAUUAAUUUUUGUACAAAAAAAAUAGUUUCACCCAUAGUUAUCAAACCCGAUCCGAGAAUUGAUCGGGCCAAAAAGUCGGGUCCCGGGUUUCAUGAGUGAACCCAUAAAAAUUAAAAAAAUAUAUUAAAAGUUUUAAUAUUUCGUAUAAAAAAAUUAAGAAACAAUUCAUGUGAAUAUAAACUAUACAUGUUGUAAAUAAUGAAGUUUAAAAGAAUACUUCUAAAAGUUUUUUAUCCCAUAUUGAAAAAAUACUAUGUCAUCUUUUUAAGUUGAAGUAUUUAAACUAAAAUGUAUUUUAUCCAACAUUGAAAAAGCAUAAUUUUUUCCUUGUGAAUAUAAAGUAUAUAUAUGAAAGGGCUUCAAAUCUCACAUUGAAAAAAUAAUUUUUUUUUCUUGGAAACAUGAAGUUUAUAUACUAAAGGGUUUCAAAUCUUACAUUGAAAAAACGUAACUUUUUUUUUUUGUGAACAUAGAGUAUAUAUACGAAACGACUUCAAAUACCACAUUUAAAAAAUAAUUUUUUUUCUUGAAAACAUAGAAUAUAUAUAUUAAAGGGUUUUAAAUCUCACAUUGAACAAACAACAUAUUUUUCUAAUAUUUAUAUAGUAAACUUUAAAAAGUGUUAAUAACCAACUAAAAAAAAAUAUAAAAAAGGGAUAUAAGUGAAAAACUAUAUUUGAAAAAAAAAAUUAGGUGUCGUCCGGGUUUGCCCGGGUCAUAGGUCGACUCACCAGGCCAGACUGAGUUUAAUAACAAUGGUCUUAAUUGCUCCAAACCAACAAAAAUUAGUUUUAUUUUAACAAAUUGAGCAUCAAUCAAGUGCUUUGGAACUUUUCUUUAAUAUUGUGAGAUUCUUAUAUUUAAGCAACAAAAAUAAAUCAUUAGAUAAAUUAAAAAAAAGGAUCAAAUUAAAAAAAAAUUUAAGUAAUAAAAAAAAUCAGCCUAAAUUUUUUUCUGGCCCAUGCAACCCAGUUUCUAAUAGAGAAAAUUAAAGGGGUUUAAUAGUUGUCAAAUCUUAAAAUUUAUCAAUAAUUUUUUUUUUUAUGCCAAACUAUGCAUCAACUAAGCAAUUAAAUAUUUCUUUAACAACUCAACAUCUUCAUUAAUAGGAAGACGAAAAAAGCUGGCAAGCCCCGAUCUAUAUUAUUGCAAUGUCAAAUAUACUAAAUAAAAAAAAAUUAGAAGAUGAAAAAGUUAAAAAAAACUCAAGAAAAAAGAAAUUAAAAUAUUAAAAUAUUAAACGUUGUAUGUUUUGCUAUGAUGCAACAUUUUGGUGUAUGAUAGUGACAUUUUCUUUGAUGCGUUUCAAAUCAGUCUUUGCAGAUUGUAUACAUAUCUCCCUUUCUUUUGUCAUUGUCCAUAAAAAUUAAGUUGAUAAAUUCUAUGAUGACACAUGUCGUAUGUGAUUUUGAUGUUUUCUUUGUUGUUUUUCAAAUUAGUCUUUGCUAGCUCUCUUGCAUAUUUCCCUUUCUCUUUUGUUAUUGUCCACAAAAUCUAAGUUGAGAUUUUCUCCAUGAUUUCACAUGCUGGUAUAUGAUUUUUUGUUGUCAUGUUCUAGUAGAGUGUUGAUGCGUUGCUAUCCUAUAAUACUUUUUUCUUGUUGAUGAUUGUUAUAUUUUUUUCUUAUAUAUGUAUGUAUGGAUGUAUGUGCAUGUAUGUAAGAGUGGAUGAUGAAUGUAAGUAUAGGAAUUGCUGAAUGCAAUAUAUAGAAACAACUAAGAUACAAUCUUUUUAGAUACAAGAAGCAAAAGGUGCUGAUUUUGUAAGACAACGGAGGAGAAUAAGGAGCCACCUUGAAAGAAGAGUUCAAAACUACUCUAGCACAGCUACUUAAUUGCAUAUUUAUGUGUUUUGUGGAUAUUUCGUUCUGAUAUUUGGUACUGUUUUUAAUGUUUCCUCUCAGCUACCAGUAUCUUUGAUCACGCCCCCAACAACGGAUGAUCGUAGCUGGUGCUUAGUAGUCUGUGUCAACAAUGUCUGAAACACAUCUAAGUGAAAUAAGGGUUGAUCCGUUGAUCAACAAAGAGGAAGGGAUUCAUAACAACCAACCUCAAGAGCUGAAGAUGGAUGAAACACUAGGAACUUGCCCACUGAAAAAGGAUGAGCGUUCUUCGUGGUUUAGUUCCAUAAUGGAAAGAGAGGACAAAGACACUAAGAACAACCAGCCACUUGGGCCAAAGAUUCCGAAAGUUGCAGACAAUCUUAGAAAUGAAAACAAGGAAUGCUACAGUCCUUCGAUGGUCUCAAUUGGGCCUUACCACUCUCCGGGUCCUCAUAACAUCAGAGAAAGAGGAGAGUUCAGUCAUCAUAAUCUCAGAGAAGCGGAGAUUCCAAAGUUUCGAUGGCUCGCCAAUUCAUCCUAGAUAGUGGAAAAAAUAGAACUCGUCUACAGAGAAGUAGAAAAGGGUAUCCAAAACGCAAGAGAAUUUUACAACGAGAUCGACAUGAAAGGCUAUGAUGACGAGCAAUUCACCCGGAUGAUGUUUCUUGAUGGAUGCUUUAUUCUCCAAUUCAUCCAUUGUGUGACACAUAAUUAUGAAAAUUUAGAGAUGACUGAUCGGCAAGUUGCUGGUGUGAAGCGGGAUUUGUUAUUACUGGAGAACCAGAUCCUUUUCCAGUCCUGAAAUCACUGACGAGUCUGAGGUACGAAAAAGAUGGAACUAAUCAUGGAAUGAAACAUGUGAAUGAUUUUCUUUUUUUCCAUAUUCUCAACCCGAAAGAUCAACCAUUGCGGACUCGAAAAUUACUUUGGUCUACCGUUCGUCUCCUGUUAAUGUUUCUUCCAAUUGCUCUUCCAUUUGUUUUAUCACGCACUUCUAGCCACAAUCAAGGCCACCUCGGUCAUAAUCAUGGCCUGGUUUUCUUGAGCAUGAUGCCAACAUUUGCCGUGAUGGAAUUAUGUGUCCUGAUACCAGCUUUGUGGUUACUACUAAGAAAGAGGAGGCAAGCCUCAGGAUAUGAUUCGCAAUGGCAGCCUGAUGAAGAACCUGCCCAUCUUCUUCAACUUCUAUAUUUUCUUUUCAUAGGUUCUCACAACAUAAAAGGCAAGUCGUCUUCACGAAGAUGCGGCCAUUGCUUGUCUUAUUUGGCCACUUGUCUUAAGAAAUUCAUUCCGACAAAGUACAAGCCAGUUGUUGCUCGAGGAAGGCGUGGCCAUUACCUGUAUUAUUCUGCCAAGGAACUUAAGAAGGUGGGAAUCCAUUUCAUGUCUAGUCAGACUAGUGCUUUGACGGAUGUCAAGUUCAAGUCAUCAUCUCUCUAUGGAACAUUGAAGCUUCCUUCAAUUACCAUAGAUGAGUCAACAAGGUCCAUGCUCUUGAACUUAGUGGCCUACGAAACAUCUGCUGCACUCAAUCCACUUUGGGUCACUUCUUACAUAUGUUUCAUGGAUUCGCUGAUUGACGAUGCUGAUGACGUGAAAGAGCUGCGAUCAAAGGGCAUAAUUAUUAAUUUCCAUGGAGCUGACCAGCAGGUUGCGGAUCUCUUCAACCAGAUGGGCAGUUUUCUUGAACCUGAUACUAGUGUUUAUAAUGAUGUUAAAAGAGAGAUAAAUGAGCAGUGUGAGAGCAUCGUGAAGAAAUGGGUAGCUCAGUGGCAGCAAACUUAUUUUCAGUCCCUGGGCCUUCAUUGCAUUUGCUGCCGCCGCUGUUGGUUUGGCUCUCACCGCCACUCAGACGUACUAUACAAUGCACCCACCCAAGAAAAUUCAACACGCUAAUGCUGUUGCGAUGAUGUAGAAACUAUAUAUAGUUCUUAUUCAACAGAAUGUGUAAUGUUUCAGGAAGGGAAUUAAAUUGUAAUGAAUUCUGUCAGCUUGUAAGACAUAAGAUGAUUUCAUUUAGGCUAAUGCUAUGAGAGCAAAGGGCAUUGUGUGCUAAAUCAAUCUGUUCAGGGUCGCUUUUUACUGAUGUUUUCUUGAGUGUAAUUUUUAGUUAGGGGCUUUGAAAUGAACUUUCAACACAAAUUUAGACUAAAUAAAACUUUAACAUACUACGCAAAAAAAAGUAUAUAAUUUUCAACAUGUAAAUUUCAAUACAAUGGACAAGAGAAAUUUAAUCUUGAAGCUUGAUUGUUUUUUUUCUAGAGUGAGCACAUGAUCAUUUAAGGCUCAUAUUUCAAAUAACUUUAAAGAUCAUAUUAAAUAAUAUGAAAUAAAAAUUUAGAUUAUAAUAAAAAAUUAAUAAAAAAGGAUCAAAAUUAAUUUUUUAAAUAAAAUUUUAAUUUUCACGGUUCAAAAGACAUGUUUAAAAAGAAAAAUCACAUUUAUUGAAUUUUUUUUUAAACGAACCAAUUGAGAUCGAAUUUUUUUUAAUGAUGACAAUCAAAACUUUUUUUUCUCUCUCUCUUUUUCAAUGAUUUCCUCUGUGCCCUUUCAAUUUUUCAGGCUUAAAUAUUCUAAAAAUAAAGUAUAAUGUAUGUAAAAUUCUAGACAAUAGGGAAAAUUGCAAUAAACUAGUAACUAAGUUGAAGUUUUUCAUGCCUUCAAUAUCGAAAAUGGAAAAGACUUGCUUUUUUUGUGUUGAUUUUAGUCUCUCUCUCUUUCUUUUUUUAAUCUCAACAACAACAUGAAAUUUAAUUUUAUAAUAAUGAUCUUUUAAGUUCAAUGGUUGAAAUGAGAAAACAACUAUAACAUCGUUCUUUGAAUAGUGACAUCCAUGAUAGUUUAUGUCUUGUGUUACAGUGAUCAACAAUAUAACAACAUAUUAUUUUAGUAUAUAUAAAAUGGAUGUAAUGUGCGAGGCAGCAACAAGUAUUUUUUUUUUUAUAACUCGGGGUGUCCGGAUCAGCUUACACGCACCACGAUUAAUCCUCGGAUCCACUGAACAUCCUGCAAGCCUAUUAGGCAGGUAAGACAUCGCGGGGGUAAUAAGCAUACACGCUAAGGCUUGAACCCAGAAUGCAGAGACAAAAAAAUAUGGGGGUGACAAGCAUACACGUUAAGGCUUUAACCUGAUAUUAGUGUUUAUAAUGAUGUUAAAAGAGAGAUAAAUGAGCAGUGGGAGAGCAUCGUGAAGAAAUGGGUAGCUCAGUGGCAGCAAACUUAUUUUCAUAGUCCCUGGGCCUUCAUUGCAUUUGCUGCCGCCGCUGUUGGUUUGGCUCUUACCGCCACUCAGACUUACUAUACAAUGCACCCACCCAAGCAGAAUUAACUAUUGCAAGCGAUGAUGUAGAAACUAUAUAUAGUUCUUAUUCAACAGAAUGUGUAAUGUUUCGGGAAGGGAAUUAAAUUGUAAUGAAUUCUGUCAGCUUGUAAAGACAUAAGUAUUAGCAACUUACAAUCUCUUGUUAGCAAUAAUCGUGUUAGUCUAUCCCACAAAUCAUGGAAUGACAAGAAAGAAUUAUGGAGUAAUAAGAAUGAUUAUACUCAUAAACAUAUCAAAGAAAAUAUGAUUGGUGAUAAAGAAUUCCUAAGAAUUCCUAAGGGAAUUAAAUUGUAAUGAAUUCUGUCAGCUUGUAAGACAUAAGAUGAUUUCAUUUAGGCUAAUGCUAUGAGAGCAAAUUAAGGGCAUUGUGUGCUAAAUCAAUCCGUUCAGGGUCACUUUUUACUGAUGUUUUCUUGAGUGUAAUUUUUAGUCAAGGGGCUUUGAAAUGAACUUUCAACACAAAUUUAGACUAAAUAAAACUUUAACAUACUACGCAAAAAGUAUAUAAUUUUCAACAUGUAAAUUUCAAUACAAUGGCCAAGAGAAAUUUAAUCUUGAAGCUUGAUUGUUUUUUCUUCUAGAGUGAGCACAUGAUCAUUUAAGGCUCAUAUUUCAAAGAACUUAUAUUAAAGAUCAAUAUUAUAAUAUUAUGAAAUAAAAAUUCACAUCGUAAAAACAAAUCGUAAAAUUAUUAAUUCAUAAGGAAUUUUUUUUACAAUACUUGCAAUGAAUGUUUUUUAAAUUCUUAUCAAUAUCUAUACCAUGUUGUCAUCCCAGGAAUUAUUUCUAGAUGCUAGGGGUGUUCACGGUUCAGUUCAGUUUAGACUAAAAAAACCAAUCGAACCGAAUUACAGUAUUUUUGUUUAAAAUUAACCGAACCAGACCGGAAACCGGUUCAAAUCGAACCGGUCCAGUUCGGUUAAAUCCGGUUUUUUAAGGAAAAAACUGGGAAAACUAAUCCCAUGGGUUUUUGUUUAAAUUGGUCCGGUUCGGUUAAAUUCAGUUUUUUAAGGAAAAAACUGGGAAAACUAACCCUAUGGGUUUUUGUUUUUAAAAUUGGCUUAGCCUUACAUUAAAGUAACCUUUCAAUUUUAAAGCAAAGUGAUGUUAAAAUUGUAAAUUUAAUAUGAAUAUAAAACCAAAACCACAACAUCUCCAUCCUCCACAUCAAUAUUGUAUUGAUGUGUCAAUGAGAUUGCCCGUGGAAGGCUGGUACUGCUACUGCUUUAUAUUCAUUCCCCUCUAUCAUCACCUUCUUGUAAUUUAUGGCGUCUGCUUGCAAAGAAGCAAUCAUAACAAGACCUAAGCAAACUGAUGCAGCGACUCCUGAAGAGAAACACAGAGAAGACCAAAGGAGAGCACAGAAACGAAGAAGAAGAGUGCAGACAAAAAUUCAACUUUUCAGUUAUUUGGAAUACAUACUCAAAACCAACGUAUAAAACUUACAUCAAUCAACAAAAUAAACUAGAAAAAACAGAUAAAAGUAAAAAUCAAACCCGAUCUAAUCAUUGAGGAACAUCUUAACUUUCAGUCGACUUUAUUUUCCAUUUAUCUAGUUAGUGAACCCUUUGAUUUACAAUCUCAUGCAUUUCCCACCUUGCUAAUCCUCAGGUAGACAGGAAACUUGACAACUUUUUGGUCGUGCCCAUCUUCAUUCCAAGCACGCUUGAAACUCUCAAUCAUAUCAUCCCUCAGUAGCUCCACACCCUUUGUCUUGGCCGUUUGAUACGCAGACCAUGACCUUAGGUACGUAAAAUACUCAUCUAAAUCCAUCAGUUUCUCUGCUACAAACUUGAAUGGUCCUGUAUGAUCAGCUCCUUCAACUGGCUCAAAGGGAAAAUCAAUGCUCAUAUACUUGUCGUCGAUCAAUUUACGCUGCGGUUAAUUCCCAGUAGGGAUCAGAAUCAAUGGAGUAAAAUGGAUUGAGGACAGAGUCUACAGAGUCAUUGACUUCAAGAACUGUGUAGCACCAAGCAGCGAUGACUCCAUCAGGUUUUUUGAGUAUUCAAAUAUAUAUUUUUAAUGAAUUUAUUAUCAUUUUUUUAAAAUAAAAAAUAUUAUUUUAAUAUAUUCUAGAGUAAAAAAUAUUUUUUUUAAAAUCGCUCCCAUACUUUUUUUUUUCUUUAAAUUGUUAUAAAGAAAAAAAAAAUACAGGGUAUCAUAAAUUUACCGAGAAAAAACUUUACAUGGAGAAUGAAAAAUGAUUCGAAAAUACACUGAAUGCUAAGAAACUAAUGUGGCUGACAUGUAUAUUUUGAUAGAAGAGCUUGGUCCAAUUUCGCUGGUGUGGUCGAUAAUUGGAUGAUAGGGUAAACGUCAUGGAUGAUGAGCAAUUUCUUGGAAGAAGUGACUCUUACCUGUUACAAUAUGGUCUAGUCUUUUGCCUCUGCCUACUCGGGCAAUUUCUUGGAAGAAGCCGCAGCAGCAGUAUGGUUCCAAACAAAAGUCUACAAAUGAGCUCCAUAAUUAGAACCAGUAUAGAAUCUAACCUGAUCAAGGAUCUGGAUCAUUGCAUUGACUUGACGGAGUCUCAUUCGGGUUUAAAACUUUAAUCAUAUUAGAAUUUGUUUAUUUCUUGAAAAAUAAUUUUUUAAACUUUUCUGUGUUUGUUUGUUAUUGGAAAAGUUGGUCAACAAAAAAUAUUUUUCAGUCAAUGAAAAAUACUUUCUAGUCAAAUAAAAAUUUGAUUUGGUUUCCAGAAAAGUGUUUUCUUUUUAUUUUGGGCAGAAAACAUUUUACGGAAGUUGUGAAAAAAUUAAAAAUGUCAUAUUAUUUGCUGAUUAUAUCAAUUUUGAUCCUCAAACUUUUGAUUGCUAUAUAUAUAUAUAUAUUUUUUGAAUAUUUGUUUUUCAAUUUCAUCCCUUAGAAUUUAAUUUUUAUAUUAACUUUGGUCCUUAUUUUUAUAAUUGCUAUUUGAUUUUCUCUUAUCAUUUUUUAAUUAAAGUUUUUUAUCUAUCAAAUUUGGUCCUCAUUCUUUUGAUUGUUACUUAUUUUAUUUGAGAUAAUUUAUGAAAUUAUAUUUUUUUCAAUUUUAUUCUCAUUCAACUUUUUAAUUUAUAAGAUUUGUUUCUUAUUAUUUUAAUAAAUUUAAAAAUAAAAUAUUAAUAAGUUAUUUUCAGUUCAUUUUCCAUGACAUAACCAAACACUAGUAAGUAUUUUCCAACUUAUUUUUCAUUACACUAUCAAAUAUUGAAAAAUACUUUCUCGGAAUUUAUUUUUCCUUAAAUUCCCUUUUCAAAACAAAACAAAAAAUACUUUUCAGUAAAUAAACGGGGUCUUAAUCAAAUUACUUGUUGAUUUGUUAGAACAAUCAACUCAUUACUUGAUCUACCAAGUCAUCCUUGAUGUCCAAAAGUACGUCUCCAUCUUUCUCCACAUGAAAGGAUAUUUGUGGACAAAAAUACACCAAGUCUUCUUGCUAAUAAAAAUAAUAUCCUAUCUAUAUAUACACGUAUUUAUCUCUUAACCCUAACUUUUCAUUCUCUUAUCCAUUGUUGCUGCUGCUGCUUCUGCCGGUCACAAGAGAGAUCUUCAAGGUAUGUCAAAUUCCUUUCUUUACUCUCUCUCCACUUCCCAGUCUUCCUCUCCAUUCCGCAUGCAUGGAUGGGCUUCAAUCAGGUGUGUUUUAGGAAAAAAAAUAAAAUAUAAUAUGGGGUUGACAAAAAUAGAAAGUUAUAAAUAUCUUAGGAGCUUAGAAUAAUAUUAUUUUAAUUAUUAAUAUUUGUUAUAGAAUAAUAUAAAUUAUAUUUUGGGAUCUCACCUAAUAGUUUAAGCUUUUAUAUUGAAUUAAUUAUUUAACAUGAUAUCAAAACUUUAAUAACCAUGUUAGCAUCCUUGUUAAUUAUCUGGAACACAACAAGUAGGUAUCAACAUCAUUACGUAAUUACUUGAUUCAUUAUAUCUUAAACUCAAUAUGUAGUGAAUCAAACAAUCACCUACGUAAUUAAUUAUCUAAUGGUUUAUAUAAUCAGUUGAUUUAUCUUAUUAAUCCGUCUCUCAUGGCAAUCGAAGAGAGUAAUGUAUUUUUUCUAUGAUGCCACAUGUUAGUAUAUGAUAUUCUCUGUGAUGACACAUGUUCCUAUGUGAUUUUGAUAUUUUUCUUUGUUGUUCUUCAAAUUAGUCUUUGCAGUCUCCAUGCAUAUUUUCCACAAAAUCUAAGUUGAUAUUUUCUAUGAUUUCACAUGCUGGUAUAUGAUUUUAUGUUGUAAUGUUCUAGUUGUGUGUUGAUGCGUUAGUAUCCUAUAUAUAUACUUAUUUAUAUGAUAUACAUGUAUGUAUGUAUGUAUGUAUGUAUGUAUGUAUGAGUGGAUGAUAAAUGUAAGUACAGGAAUUGCUGAAUGCAAUAUAUAGAAACAACUGAGAUAUUUUUUUUUUGAAGAUACAAGAAGUAAAAGGUGCUGAUUUUGCAAGACAACGGAGGAGAAUAACUCCGCCUUGAAAGAAGAGGCCUUUUCUUGUACCAAAUCCUGUCAUUUGUAAGUUCAAAACCACUCUAGCACAGCUACUUAUUUGCAUAUUUAUGUGUUCUGUGGAUAUUUUGCUCUGAUAUUUGGUAAUGUUUUUAAUGUUGUCUCUCAGAUAUUAGUAUCUUUGAUCAAGCCUCCAACAGCGGAUGAUCAUAGCUAGUGCUUAGUAGUCUGUGUCAACAAUGUCUGAAACACAUCUAAGUGAAAUAAGGGUUGAUCCAUUGAUCAACAAAGCGGAAGGGAUUCAUAACAACCAACCUCAAGAGCUGAAGAUGGAUGAAACACUAGGAAAUUACUCAAUGAAAAAGAAUGAGCGUUCUUCGUGGUUUAGUUUCAUAAUGAGAGAGGUCGAAGACACUAAAAUCCCUCAGACUCGUCAGGGAUCAGAAUCAAUGGAGUAAAAUGGAUUGAGGACAGAGUCUACAGAGUCACUGACUUCAGGAACUGUGUAGCACCAAGCAGCGAUGACUCCAUCAGGUUUUUUGAGUAUCCAUUUUACUUGUUGGUAAAAUGCAUGGAGAUCAAACCAAUGCAUGGCUUGAGCAAUAGUCACUAGAUCAACACUAGAUUGUGUUGACACAGUCUGUUCAAGUCCACCCAUUGACAUUACUGAAGGCGUAUGGUGGUAGCUCACAUUGGGAAGUUUUGGUGCAAAUUCCAGUUGUUUCAGGCUUGUGUCUGUUCCUGUUCCUGUUACAUGCUUGUAUAUCCUGUUACGGGAGUUUUUGAGGCAAUGAAUUGGAACAGUUCUUGAGGAUAACUUGGCCUUGUCUCUGCAUAUUGUUUUGCCUGAUUAACGAACAACUCCGCCAUUUCUUCCUCUUUGUGAGCUUGUUUUGCUAUUUAAAAAUGGAUGUGAUUGUCUUAUCUUCCUCCUCUACCAUUUAUAUGGCUUUCAUAUUUCAAGAUAUUGUCACAUGGGCAACGAAAAACAUAUUGGCAGGCUGGAGGGGAUGAAUAACAGGGGAUGCGUUAUCUAUUUUUCAUGGGUAGCCAAUUUUGAUGCUUCCAUUUGGUUUGACUAAUUAUUCUUUCUUAAUAAUUAUGAAAGACUUUUGACUUAAUUCAAAGUAUCUCAUGUGAUUUCUUCUUCUUGUAAUGGUCCCUCUUGUUAUUGGAUUUGAUAUUGGGUUUGAUUUAUCUGCGCAAUGCUAAAUGGGUAUCUUUUUAGAUCAUAGGAAAAGGUUGAGAGAAGAUAAUGCAUUAGAUUCUAUUGUUUUUUAUAUUUUAAAAUUGCUUUUAAAACAAUAAAUUUAUGUUUAUUUUUCUGUUGUUUUGAAUAAUUUUUUUAUUGGUGUUUUGAAAUUAUUUUAAUGUAGUAAUAUUAAAAAUAAUUUUUUAAAAAUAAAAAAUAAUUAUUUUAAUAUAUUUAUAAAUAAAAACAUUUUAAAAAAUAACUAUAAAAAUUCUUUUAUUUCCUUUAAAUUGUUAUAAAGAAAACAAAUAUAGGGUAUCAGAAAUUUACUGAGAAGAAACUUUACAUGGAAGAAUGAAAAAUGAUUCGAAAAUACACUGAAUUGUAAGACACUAAUGUGGCUGGCAUGCAUAUUUUGAGAGAAGAGGUUGGUCCCACUUUGCUGGUGUGGUCGAUAAUUGAGGUAGGACUAAGAUUUAACGUCAUGGAUGAUGAGGGCAAUAGAUCUUCAAUUUACAGUGCGUAGGCGCCAAGUUUGGAAUGGGAGUGAUGGCCAAGUUUUGAAUGAUUAUUUGUAAGUAUAUUUGUAGUUGUUUUUUAAAAUAUUUUUUUAUGUUGAAAUAUAUUAAUAAUGUGAGAGAAGAUAAUGCAUUAGAGUUUAUUUGUUUUUAUGAUUUAAAAAUAUUUUUUAAAAAAUAAAUUUUUAUUUACGUUUUUGUUUGUUUUAAAUUAUUUUUAUUGGUGCUUUUAGAUUGUUUUAAUACACUGAUGUUAAAAAUAACUUUUAAAAAAUUGAGGCAGGUAAGAUGAUAGGGUUAACGUCAUGGAUGAUGAGGGCAAUAGAUCUUCAAUGUUCAGUGUGUAGGCGCCAAGUUUUGUUCGAGAAGUGACUCUUGCCUGUUACAGCAUGGUCUGGUCUUUUGCCUCUGCCUGCUCGGGCAAUUUCUUGGAAGAAACCAUAAGAGCGGCAUGGUUCCAAAAAAAUUCUACAAAUGAGCUACAUUGGAAGACCCAGUAUAGAAUCUAACCCGAUCAAGGAUCUGGAUCAUUGCAUUGUCGAGGUUUUUUUUUUUUUUUUUUUUUUUAGAAAUUGCAUUGUAUAGUUAACCUGUCACUGGAUGAAGCCGGAUUAAUUAGAAAAUAAUAUUGUUAUGAAUAUGAUUUGUUUUAAAAAAUUCUUUAUAAUUAACCUAAUUAAGUUUCAUUUGAGUUUGAUUACUAAAUUAACUACUUCACCAGUUAAAUUACUAGAUCAAUUAACUUAAGACUUGAUUUAUCGAGUCAUCUUGAUAUUCAAAAUAAUGUUUUUUUAAAAAACUUAACUUUGAUGAAACUCUAAAUUGACAGUUUAUUAGAUUGAUUUAUUGGAUAAGAUGGAAUUUAAUAACUAUAAUUAGCUAUAUUAAUUUAAUAAGCUAAUGUUUUUGAAUGCAAAAUUGAUGCCCUUCAUAAUUUUUUUAUUCUUUUUAUCUAUAUUUUUCUUUUAGCAUAGCAAGGGUUGAAUCGUUUUGUAUUCAUGGUUUUGAACUUCACAACAAAUUUCUUCAAACAUAAAAUAAAUAAUUAGUGGAACAAAUCAAUUUCCUAUCUAAUCCAGUUAUUGGUUUAGUAACUUUCCCAAUCCCAAGAUAAAUAGAGAACUUGAAAACCUUUUAGGACGUUUUCAGAGUUUUACUCCAUCUUUUCAAGAAAAAUGAAAAAAGAAACAUGUAAAAAGAAAUUUAUGUUCAAAUGAUAUAUUUUUAUAAAUUUUAAAAAACCAUUUUGAUUUUUCCACAGUAAUUCCUAACUUAAAUAACAUCAAAAAUACAUAUUCCAACAAAUCAAAACAAAAGUAAAAAAAAAAAAAAAAAAAGUACGUCUCAUCUUUUUCCACAUGAAAGGAUUUGUUUGGACAAAACUACACUAAGACUUCUUGCUAAUACCAGUUAUAUAUAUAUACCAGUCUAUAUAUAUAUAAACACAUAUUCAUCUGAACCCUAGCUUUUCAUUCUCUCAUCCGUUCUUCUUCUUGUUCUUAUUGUUGCUUCUGCUGUUCACAAGAGAGAUCUUCAAGGUAUGUCAAACACUAUCAGAAAAUUAAUAAAUAUAAACAUAAAUAAUAAGAGAAUUACAAUAGAAAAAAAUUUAAACAAAGCAAAAAAAACCCGAUGAAGUGUUAUUUUUUACCAAUGGAAUUAUCGAUGACAUUUAUUUCAUCGGUAAAAUGUUAACACUUUUCAUCAUGUUAAUUACAGACGGAAUCACCAAUAGAAAAUUCUAUCAGUAUUUUUCAGAGAGCUCUAGAAUUGUUCAUUCCUUAAUUGCAUUGUUAAUUAUUGUUUAUUAAAGGCAAAAGCACCAACGGAUUAAAAAGUUGUCAGUGAUAUUUAGUGGUUUCUAAAAUUUUUUGAUUAAAUUAAAAAUUUAAAUUAAAUAUUACCGACAGAAUAUUUAAAAAUAUUAAUAUUUAAUUAUCAGUUGGUAAAACCGUCGAUUAAACACCCCAAUAAAAAGUUUGAAAUCCCCAAUUUCACAACAAAUAAGGCUCAUUUCUUCUUCUUCUUCUUCUUCUUCUUCUUCCUCAUAUAUAAAAAACAUCAAUAUCCAUUUUUUCCUUUUUGUGAGCUUGUUUGCUAUUGAAAAUUGGAUGUAAUUGGCUUAUCUUGCUCCUUUACGAUUUAUAUGGCUUUCAUUGUUUACAAUACUUGCAUAUGUUUUUUGAAUUCUUAUUAAUAUAUGUACCAUGUUGUCAUCCCACAUUAAGUCUAUUACCAGAGAAAUUGUUUCUAGAUGUCAUGUGUUUAAUAAUUCAAGAAUCAAUUUAAAUCAGUCUUGUAAUCAAUUCAAACAUGAUUAUUAAAACCAAAUUGUGAUCAAGACAAACACAACUUAGAUAUUCUAUAAACAUAUUUUAUUUUGGAAACAUCAUCAAUAAAUAGUCAAUAAAUCAAAUUACAUAUCAGCACACUAUAAAUAUUAUACCGUUUUAUUUUUUUAAAAUAUUUUUGAAACGAAAAAACAAACAGGGUUUAAAAAGACAUAGGUGCUAUAGAUGUUGGUCUAGAAUUCAAUAUAUGUACGGGAAUUUAUAUAUGAGUUUUAAUCAAGGUUGUUAAACUCGUGAGUUGACUCGUAAAAUCAUACAAUUUUACGAGUCAAUACAUACUUAACAUGCAAAAUGCUUUAAAAACUCGAAAAUGGAUAAAAUCGAAUAAAAUUGCGGGUUUGAAACCUGUUUUUACUAUUUUAACCAAAAAAAUAUCAUAUAAUGCAAUAUUCUUGAAUUUUAUUGUGUAUAUGCAACCGCCCUAUUUAUCCUUCCAAGCGACCAUUCAGGCAAAACAUUGUUGGCCACACGAAGCAACUCCAAGCAUAGACCACUAGAUCUAUGUUAGUGGUUAGAAUCAUAGUUUUAAGACCCGGUUUGGUGGCCGACCUGAGUUUUGACCAAGUCACCGGGUCAGUUUUUUUUUUAAUCAAAACGACUUUAUUUUAGUAAAAAAAAACAAAAAUCAACGGGUAUGUAACCGGAUCUUGAUUGAGUUAACCCGCUGGAUCAUAUCGGGUUUUUUCUUUCUCUAUUUUUUUAACUCAGCUAAAUUUUAGCUCUGAAUCCGUUGGAUUUUGGAUCGACCUGCUAGGCCGGAUUUCAAACUUAUAGUUAGAAUUGUCAAAGGAAAAGCAAGAAUCUUAUAGAGGGCCCAUUUUAACAUUCAAGAUUAGUUUUUGACAUGAAAAAGAGACUUUAACGUAACAAUACCAAAAGCCAAGAGCCCAUAAUAGUGACACAGAUGCUUUUUUCAAUUUAGUGAUAAGUGGCCCAACUUUAACUUUUAAAGUGCGUGGAAGUGCAAUAGUAGUUAUAUUUUAAAAUAAUUUUUAUUUUUAAAAUUUAAUAUUAAUAUAUUAAAAUAAUUUAAUUUUUUUUUUUUAAUUUAAGAUAAAAAAAAUCAAAUUUUGUGAGCUUGUUUUGCUAUUUAAAAAUGGAUGUGAUUGGCUUAUCUUGCUCCUCUACCAUUUACAUGGCUUUCAUAUUUCAAGAUAUUGCCACAAGGGCAACGAAAAACAUAUUGGCAGGCUGGAGGGGAUGAAUAACAGGGGAUGCAUUAUCUAUUUUUCAUGGGUAGCCAAUUUUGAUGUUUCGCUACCUGAGGAAACCACAUGUGCCACCAGAGCGCUGUGACUUUCAUCACUUGUAGGCACAUGCAUUACACACACGAUCGCAUUGUCACAUAUUUAAUAUUUUUUAUAAUACUGUUUAACUCUAUUUUAAUAUCUAAAUAUUAAUUUUUGUACAAAAAAUAGUUUGACCCACAGUUAUCAAACCUUAUCCGGGAGUUGAUUCAACCAAAGAGUCGGGUCCCGGGUUUUAUAAGUGAACUCAUAAGAAUUAAAAAAAUAUAUUAAAAGUUUUAAUAUUUUACAUAAAAAAAUUAAAAAACAAUUCAUGUAAAUAUAAACUAUACAUGUUGUAAAUAAUAAAGUUUAAAAGAAUACUUUUAAAUUUUUUUUAUCCCAUGUUAAAAAGAUACUAUGUUAUCCUCUUAAAUUGAAGUAUUUAAACCAAAAAGUUUUUUAUUCCAUAUUGAAAAAACAUAAUUUUUUUCUUGUGAACAUAGAGUAUAUAUAUAAAAAGGCUUAAAAUCCCACAUUGAAAAAAUAAUUUUUUUUCUUGGGAAUAUAGAAUUUAUAUAUUAAAGUGUUUCAAAUUUUACAUUGAAAAAACGUAGCUUUUUUCUUGUGAAUAUAGAGUAUGUAUACGAAACGACUUCAAAUUUCACAUUGAAAAAAUAAUUUUUUUCUUGGGAACAUAGAAUAUAUAUACUAAAGGGUUUCAAAUCUCACAUUGAAAAAACAACAUAUUUUUCUAAUAUUUAUAUACUGAACUUUAAAAAGUGUUAAUAAUCAACUAAAAAAAUAUGUAAAAAAAAGGGGUAUAAGAGAAAAACCAUAUUUGAAAAAAAAAAAAAACCAGGUCUAGUCCGGGUUCGUCUGGGUCAUGGGUCGACCCGUCGGGUUGUUGCACUAGCCGGUCUUUUAACAAACUCGGACCAGUCCAACCACAAGGUUGAUCUGCCGGGCUGAGUUUAAUAAAAAUGGUCUUAAUUGUUCCAAAUCAACAAAAUUUAGUUUUAUUUUAACAAAUUGAACAUCAACUAAGCAAUUAAAUAUUUCUUUAACAUCUCAACAUCUUCAACAUCUUCAUUAAUACGAAGACAAAAAAAGCUGAGCAAGCCCAAAUCUAUAUUACUGUAAUAUCAAAUAUACUAAAUAAAAAAGAAAUUAGAAGAUUAAGAAGUUAAAAAAAACUAAAGAAAAAAAAUUAAAAAAUUAAAAAAUUAAAUAGUAAAUAAAUAAAUCAACAUGUAGUGAAUCAAAUAAUUAAUCACCCACGUAAUUAGUUAUCUGAUGGUUUAUAUAAUUAGGUGAUUUAUCUUAUCAAUCCGUAGUAUCUCAUGGCAGUCGAAAGAGAGCGAUGUGGUAUGUUUUGCGAUGAUGCAACAUUUUGGUAUAUGAUAGUGACAUUUUGUUUGAUGCUUUUCAAAUCACUCUUUGCAGAUUAUAUACAUAAUUACAUAUUUCCCUUUCUUUUGUCAUUGUUCAUAAAAACUAAGUUGAUAAAUUCUAUGAUGACACAUGUCGUAUGUGAUUUUGAUGUUUUCUUUGUUGUUUUUCAAAUUAGUCUUUGCUAGCUGUCUCUAUGCAUAUUUCCCUUUCUCUUUUGAGAUUUUUCUCGAUGAUUUCACAUGCUGGUAUAUGAUUUUUUGUUGUCAUGUUCUAGUAGAGUGUUGAUGUGUUGCUAUCCUAUAAUACUUUUUCUCUUGUUGAUGAUUAUUAUAUUUUUUUAUUAUAUAUGUAUGGAUGGAUGUGCAUGUAUGUAUGAGUGUACGAUGAAUGCAAGUAUAGGAAUUGCUGAAUGCAAUAUAUAGAAACAACUAAGAUAUAAUCUUUUUAGAUACAAGAAGCAAAAGGUGCUGAUUUUGCAAGACAACGGAGGAGAAUAAGGAGCCACCUUGAAAGAAGAGGCCUUUUCUUGUACCAAAUCCGGUCAUUUCUAAGUUCAAAACAACUCUAGCACAGCUACUUAAUUGCAUAUUUAUGUGUUUUGUGGAUAUUUUGUUAUGAUAUUUGGUACCGUUUUUAAUGUUGUCUCUCAGCUACCAGUAUCUUUGAUCAAGCCCCCAACAACAGAUGAUCAUAGCUGGUGCUUAGUAGUCUGUGUCAACAAUGCCUGAAACAGAUCUAAGUGAAAUAAGGGUUGAUCCAUUGAUCAACAAAGAGGAAGGGAUUCAUAACAACCAACCUCAAGAGCUGAAGAUGGAUGAAACACUAGGAAAUUACCCACGGAAAAAGGAUGAGCGUUCUUCGUGGUUUAGUUCCAUAAUGGAAAGAGAGGACAAAGACACUAAGAACAACCAGACACUUGGGCCAAAGAUUCCGAAAGUUGCAGACAAGCUUAGAAAUGAAAACAAGGAAUGCUACAGUCCUUCGAUGGUCUCAAUUGGGCCUUACCACUCUCCGGGUCCUCAUGACGAUGACAGAGAAAAGGAGGUUCUAGAGUUUUCGAGUCAUCAUAAAAAUCUCAGAGAAGCGGAGAUUCUAAAGUUUUCGAUGGCUCGCCAAUUCAUCCGAGAUAGUGGAAAAGGAAUAGAACUCAUGUUCAGUGAAGUAGAAAAGGGUAUCCAAAACGCAAGAGAAUUUUACAACGAGAUCGACUUGGAAGGCUAUGAUGACGAGCAAUUCACCCGGAUGAUGUUUCUUGAUGGAUGCUUUAUUCUCCAAUUCAUCCAUUGUGUGACACAUAAAUAUGAAAAUUUAGAGAUGACUGAUCGGCAAGUUGCUGGUGUGAAGCGGGAUUUGUUAUUACUGGAGAACCAGAUUCCUUUUACAGUCUUGAAAUCACUGACGAGUCUGAGGUACGAAAAAGAUGGAACUAAUCAUGGAAUGAAACAUGUGAAUGAUUUUCUUUUUUUCCAUAUUCUCAACCCGAAAGAUCAACCAUUGCGGAGUCGAAAAUUACUUUGGUCUACCGUUAGUCUCCUGUUAUUGUUUCUUCCAAUUGCUCUUCCAUUUGUUUUACCACGCCGUUCUACCCGUUAUUCUCCUGACCCGGGUUUCUUGCGCACGGUGCCAGCGUUUGCCGUGAUGGAAUUAUGUGUCCUGAUUCCAGCUUGGCUUUUGUGGUUACUACUAAGAAAGGGGAGGCGAGCCUCAGGAUAUGAUUCGCAAUGGGAGCCUGAUAAAGACCCUGCCCAUCUUCUUCAACUUCUAUAUUUUCUUUUCGUAGGUUCUCACUACAUAAAAGGGAAGUAGUCUUCACGAAGAUGCUGCCAUUGCUUGUCUUAUUUGGCCACAUGUCUUAAGAAAUUCAUUCCUACAAAGUGCAAGCCAGUUGCUCGAGGAAGGUGUGGGCAAAUAAUCUGGUUGGAGUUGCUAGAUAGUGCGCAGUUUUGCUAUAAUCUCCAAAAAUCCUCGGCAACGGAAGCAAGUCUGUUUGAGCUAGUGUUGGGAGCUCAACCCCAAACUCCUGCGGAGAUUGCAGUGCAGAUAACGGGUGGGAAGAGUCCAGCAGCAUACAGGUUUGCAAUGGAGCGGCAGGAGCUAUUUGAGCAAGCACAAGAUAGCUUGCGUAAGGCAAGGAAAGGAAUGCUCAAAUACGCCAACCAAAAGCGGAGAUUGCUGGAAUUUAGUGUGGGUGACAAGGUGUUACUCAAGCUAACUCCGCAGAUUUGGAAGAAAAUCGUGGGAACAACAAAGCACCGAGGGUUGGUGCCAAGGUACGAUGGACCCUUCGAAGUCAUCGAAAAGGUAGGCGCCGUUGCCUAUAGGCUGAAGCUGCCCGAACGGCUGAAACUUCAUCCUACGUUUCACGUAAGCUACUUACGGCCUUUUCAUGAGGACACCGAAGAUCCAAAGAGAAGCAAGUCACACCAAGCUCCUCCUACCAUUCACAAGCAAUUUGAUGAUGGGAUCGUCAAGAUCAUGGAUCAUCGACGGCUUGGCCAACACAGAAAGAAUCGGCGGACAGAAUUCUUAGUAAAAUGGAGGAAAAAUGAGGAGGUUUCAUGGGAGAAAGAUACUGACUUGUGGCAAUUUGAAGAUCAAAUACAAGACUACCUCACAGCUAUUCCGACGAGGGCGUCAGACUCUUCUAGUGGGGGUGGUUUGUUAGAGGUCUAGGCGCGGGGCGCGCCAACGAAAGCACAUUGCCUAGGAUUCGGCAGCGAUGGACUGCGGCAGAAACGAAUUCGGCAGGCAGCGUGCAAGGGUCUGUGCAAGUCUUUGAGCUGGCGACUUGGCAUGGACGUGGGGCUUAGAUGAUGGACUUUCUAAGUCAGCAGCUGACAUAGCAAGGCAGACAAAUGGGACUGCCAUGAGGGCAAGCAGAACAUGGGUGGAGGGGCCGAAAGUUAGGUGAAGAAAGUGCUUCACCAACCCACUAAAGAUAAUGGUGGGGAUGAUACUCCAUUAGGCCAUGUGAAUGGGAAUAAUGGGGGAAGGUAGUGCUCCACUAGGCCAUGUAAGUGGGAAUGUUAGGUGAGAAUGGAAGCUAACAUUUGGCUAUAAAUAGGCUGCCAAGCCUCUGCUGUGUAGCAUGCGAAUUUGUGCAUAGCACACACCAAUUUUGUGUAUUUCCUUUGUUGACGAGAUAAAUAAAGGUUGAGAGGGAUUCUUGUAAAAGUCCGGUGUGUUUGCUUAUACUUGCUUGUGUUUGUUGAUUGUCUACGACGAGGCGAUUGUGAGAACCUCCUUGAGUGUGCGAAACACAUAGUCGUAGGAAAACACGAGUGAAAGGGUGAGGCAAGGCUGAGUCUAGCGGGACUAGGCUGCCGCACGGGUUAAUUUGCGAGGCGAAAAAUUAUCCCCGUGACAAUUGGUAUCAGAGCACGGUUGAGUUAACAACGUGCAACCCGAAUCCAUGGAAGCCAUUCGGGAACGGUUGACGCGUCUGGAGACAAUGAUAGGGCCAGACGACGAAGAGGAAGAACGCACUGUCAUGGAUCGCUUGAGGGAAGCUCUGGAGAGCGCUGAAAGGGCUGAGAGCCUAUACAUCUCGCUUGCGGCAGAUUCAAAUGAACGAUUGGCUGCUGCCGAAGAGAUGAUUGCUGUUCUGAAGAGGGCAGUCACGAACACGCCUAUUGGGGUAAGUUCAUCUAAACCCAAGUUGCCCGAACCGAAGUGCUUUGGUGGGGCAAGAAGUUCCAAAGAGCUGGAAAACUUCUUAUGGGACAUGGAGCAGUACUUCAGCGUUGCGAGGAUUGGCGCAACGGAACAAGUUGAUCUAACCGUGAUGUAUCUCACGGGUGACGCGAAGCUUUGGUGGAGGACGAGAACCAAAGACGAUCUAAGUGCGGGACGUCCAAAGAUUGAGACAUGGGAGCGUCUCAAGAAGGAGCUAAAGGAGCAGUUCCUACCGAACAAUACAUCGUGGAUUGCACGAGAUGAAUUGAAAAGACUAAAACAAGACAGGUCAGUCCGUGAAUAUGUAAAGUCUUUUAGUUCGUUAAUUCUCGACAUAGAGAAUAUGUCCGAGGAGGACAGGUUGUUCAAUUUUAUGUCCGGAUUGCAACCUUGGGCGCAAGCGGAGCUGCGACGACAGAAUGUGAAGGAUCUGCUUCGGCUAUUGCUGCUGCGGACAAUUUGGGACUAUAAAGCUCCUGCGAGAGAGAGCUACAAAACAGCCUCCUUCAAGUCAAAGGGGAAGAGCAAGGAGGAAAGGCCAAAGAAGAAGUUCGGUGGAUUUGGUGGGGGUGCUGGAAAGGCUACUGCCGCGGAGAAGGGCAAGGCCAAAUAUACGCACACACCAGGUAAUGGUACUAAACCGAACAUUACAUGCUUCAUUUGCGAGGGUCCUCACUUUGCGAGGGAAUGCCCAAAGAGGGAGAAGCUGAAUGCUAUUCGGGCUGGGAAUAGCGAUGAUGAAGAAGGCAUGAUUACGCGCGUCAAUCCCAUGCGUGUGUUAAAUUGCUUGGUAGCGGAAUCAGAGGAUGCGGCUGCCGAAAACUGCCAUGGUGAGACAGACUUGGCAAGGAUUGAAACCUUACGAAAAGGGAAGCCUGGGGCAACGGACAGCCUCAUGUAUGUGAAGAUUGAGAUAAACGGCAAGGGCGUAAUAGCUAUGCUGGAUUCAGGCGCAACCCACACGUUUGUGGCAGAUCGGAUGGCGAAGGAACUUGGCUUGCGGCUGAGUGACAGCCAGACAUCCAUGAAGGCAGUAAACUCGAAGGCGUAGAAGAUUGCUGGGAUGUCUUAUGAUGUGCCGAUAGUGCUGGAUCAGUGGAGAGGUAAGCAUGAUUUGCUUGUCAUAACUCUUGACGAUUAUGAUCUUAUUCUUGGCCUAGAUUUCUUACGAAAAGCCAAGAUUGCUUUAAUGCCGUAUCUCAAUGGGAUAAUGAUUGCGAGUGAGGGAUGCCCAUGUUUUGUUCCCUGCUGCAACGUCGCAGUUGCGAAUGUUGCGAAAGGAAAGAAGAGCUUAAUAUCGGCCAUCGCAAUCGAGAAAGCAUUGCGGAAAGGAGGGGAAGUAUUUCUAGCAACAAUAGCAGAGGAGAAAGCUGACUAUUGUGAGGAGGUACCGAACGAGAUUGCUAGCGUGCUGCAGCAAUUCGAGGAUGUUAUGCCGCCUCAGCUACCAAUGAAACUUCCGCCUAAGAGGGCUGUCGAUCACCGAAUUGAGCUGGUGCCGGGGACAAAGCCACCAUCUCAAGCCCCUUACCGAAUGUCGCCAAGAGAAUUGGCAGAAUUGCGGAAGCAGUUGGAAGAGUUGAUUGAGUCGGGAUUUGUUCGACCUUCCAAGGCUCCAUACGGUGCUCCGGUUUUGUUCCAAAAGAAGACGGAUGGGAGCCUUCGCAUGUGUGUGGACUACCGAGCGCUAAAUAAGGUAACCAUCAAACACAAAUAUCCUGUUCCUUUGAUUCAGGAUUUGAUGGACAGAUUGUGUGGCGCUUCGAUCUUUACGAAGUUAGACUUGCGAUCGAGGUAUUGGCAAGUGAGAGUUGCUGACGGAGAUGAGCAUAAGACUACUUGCGUGACGAGGUAUGGCUCGUACGAAUUUCUAGUUAUGCCAUUCGGCUUAACAAAUGCUCCAGCAACAUUCUGUAAUUUGAUGAAUGAUGUGUUAUAUGAUUUCCUAGAUAAUUUUAUUGUAGUCUACUUAGAUGACAUUGUAAUCUAUAGUAGAGGAAUCGAAGAACAUGUAAUGCAUCUUUCUAAAGUUCUAGCUAGAUUGAGAGAACAUGAACUGUAUGUAAAGAGGGAAAAAUGUGAGUUUGCAAAGGCUGAAAUUAUGUUCCUAGGCCAUUUAAUUGGAGAAGGACAGGUGAAGAUGGAUCCACGGAAGAUCCAAGCCAUCGUUGAAUGGACAACACCAAAAUCAGUCCCGGAAUUGAGAUCAUUCUUGGGGCUUGCAAACUACUAUCGACGGUUCAUUGAGGGAUAUAGCAAGAAGACAACUCCUCUCUCAGAUCUGCUCAAGAAGACCCGGAGUUGGGAAUGGACAGUUGACUGCCAACAAGCUUUCGAGAAGCUGAAGACAGCGGUAGCGUCAGCUCCAGUCUUGGGGCUGCCUGAUUUUGAGAAGCCGUUCGAAGUGCAUACUGAUGCUUCGGACAGGGCUAUUGGUGGAGUGCUCGUACAAGAGGGGCAUCCGAUUGCUUUCGAGAGUAGGAAGCUAAGCGAUGCGGAGCGGAAUUACUCGACGCAUGAGAAGGAGAUGACGGCAGUGGUGCACUGCCUUGGCAUAUGGAGAGUAUAUCUGCUGGGGCCGAAAUUUGUUGUCAAGACCGACAAUGUUGCUAAUACAUUCUUCAAGACGCAAAAGAAAUUGUCGCAACGACAAGCUCGGUGGCAGGAAUUCUUGGCCGAAUAUGACUUUGUAUGGGAGCACAAACCAGGGAGCCACAAUCAGGUUGCGGAUGCACUCAGCAGACGCGAGGUAAUGGCUACUAUCCUUGCUAUUGUUCAGGUGGAGUCGGACAUGCUGGAUCGACUUCGCAAGGCUGCUACGGAGGAUGCAGCGUACAAGAAAAUGGUUGAUCUUGUACGAGAAGGAACAAUACGGAGGUAUUGGUUAGAGCAGGACCUACUCUAUGCGAAGGGGGGUCGAAUCUUCAUGCCAAAGGGCGAGCUGCGAAAGUACUUGAUGACGGAAACUCAUGACCCGCAGUGGGUUGGACAUCCAGGACGGGAAAGGAUGGUUGCUCUCCUGUCGCAGACUUAUUACUGGCCGAAGAUGGAAGAUGAUGUGGAACUCUACGUAAGGACUUGUCUAGUGUGUCAACAAGACAAGACUUUGCGGCAGCGAGAGGCAGGGUUGUUACAGCCGCUGCCGAUUCCAGAGAAGCCUUGGGUGUCAGUUUCAAUGGACUUUAUUGUUGGUUUUCCAAAGGUGGAUGGCAUGAACACGAUCAUGGUCAUUGUGGACAGAUUCACGAAGUAUGCGAUGUUUGUCGCUGCCCCGACGGUGUGUACAGCCGAAGUGGCCGCUGAACUAUUCUACCGCAACGUGGUGAAAUACUUUGGAGUACCUUCAGAUAUUGUGAGCGAUCGCGAUGUGCGAUUCACUGGCCGAUUCUGGACAACAUUGUUCAACAUGAUGGGAACAAGGCUGAAGUUUUCAACUGCCAACCAUCCGCAAACUGAUGGGCAGACGGAAAGGAUAAAUGCUUUGCUUGAGGAGUAUUUGAGACACUACGUGACGGCGAUGCAACGAAACUGGUUGGAGUUGCUAGAUAGUGCGCAGUUUUGCUAUAAUCUCCAAAAAUCCUCGGCAACGGAAGCAAGUCCGUUUGAGCUAGUGUUGGGAGCUCAACCCCAAACUCCUGCGGAGAUUGCAGUGCAGAUAACGGGUGGGAAGAGUCCAGCAGCAUACAGGUUUGCGAUGGAGCGGCAGGAGCUAUUUGAGCAAGCACAAGAUAGCAAGGAAGGCGAAUGCUCAAAUAUGCCAACCAAAAGCGGAGAUUGCUGGAAUUCAGUGUGGGUGACAAGGUGUUACUCAAGCUAACUCCGCAGAUUUGGAAGAAAAUCGUGGGAACAACGAAGCACCGAGGGUUGGUGCCAAGAUACGAUGGACCUUUCGAAGUCAUCGAAAAGGUAGGCGCUGUUGCCUAUAGGCUGAAGCUGCCCGAACGGCUGAAACUUCAUCCUACGUUUCACGUAAGCUACUUACGGCCUUUUCAUGAGGACACCGAAGAUCCAAAGAGAAGCAAGUCACACCGAGCUCCUCCUACCAUUCACAAGCAAUUUGAUGAUGGGAUCGUCAAGAUCAUGGAUCAUCGUCGACUUGGCCAACAUAGAAAGAAUCGGCGGACAGAAUUCUUAGUAAAAUGGAGGAAAAAUGAGGAGGUUUCAUGGGAGAAAGAUACUGACUUGUGGCAAUUUGAAGAUCAAAUACAAGACUACCUCACAGCUAUUCCGACGAGGGCGUCGGACUCUUCUAGUGGGGGUGGUUUGUUAGAGGUCUAGGCGCGGGGCGCGCCAACGAAAGCACAUUGCCUAGAAUUCGGCAGCGAUGGAUGCGGCAGAAACGAAUUCGGCAGGCAGCGUGCAAGGGUCUGUGCAAGUCUUUGAGCUGGCGACUUGGCAUGGACGUGGGGCUUAGAUGAUGGACUUUCUAAGUCAGCAGCUGACAUAGCAAGGCAGACAAAUGGGACUGCCAUGAGGGCAAGCAGAACAUGGGUGGAGGGGCCGAAAGUUAGGUGAAGAAAGUGCUUCACCAACCCACUAAGAUAAUGGUGGGGAUGAUACUCCAUUAGGCCAUGUGAAUGGGAAUAAUGGGGGAAGGUAGUGCUCCACUAGGCCAUGUAAGUGGGAAUGUUAGGUGAGAAUGGAAGCUAACAUUUGGCUAUAAAUAGACUGCCAAGCCUCUGCUGUGUAGCAUGCGAAUUUGUGCAUAGCACACACCAAUUUUGUGUAUUUCCUUUGUUGACGAGAUAAAUAAAGGUUGAGAGGGAUUCUUGUAAAAGUCCGGUGUGUUUGCUUAUACUUGCUUGUGUUUGCUUAUUGUCUACGACGAGGUGAUUGGGAGAACCUCCUUGAGUGUGCGAAACACAUAGUCGUAGGAAAACACGAGUGAAAGGGUGAGGCAAGGUUGAGUCUAGCGGGACUAGGCUGCCGCACGGGUUAAUUUGCGAGGCGAAAAAUUAUCCCCGUGACAGUUCCAAACAAAAGUCUACAAAUGAGCUCCAUAAUUAGACCCAGCAUAGAAUCUAACCUGAUCAAGGAUCUGGAUCCUCGCAUUGACUUGACGGAGUCUCAUUCGGGUUUAAUCGUAUUAAUCAGAUUACUUGUUAAUUCUCACCUCAUGACUUGACCUGUUAGGAUACUUACAUACAAAUUUGACAACAUAAAAAAAAAAGAAUAAAAUAAAAAAAUUAGACACAAUCAUUUACAUAAUUUAUUUAAUUUACCAAUAAAUAUAAAAGAAUUUUAUUAAGUAAUGUAAAAAUUAUAAUAUCUUUUUACUAAUAAAAAAAUAACUAGAAUUUUUUUAUUAUUAAAAAAACAUUUGACUUACUUUUCUCAUAACUAUUUCAUAAUUUUAUAGGGUUACUUUUUCUUUUUACUUUUUUUUUCUUCUUUCUUGUUUUUUUUUAUAUUAUACAUAAAACAAAAAUACACUAUCUAUUUAUAAAUAAACUUCUUUGUCUUUAUCUUGAAAAAAACAAGAGUUGGUGUUGGAAGUGGCACCGAAGUGCUCACUUUGUUGACUUAGACAGCUACAAUUGGUUGUAGUGGGUAGAUUGAUGAUGGUGCCGGCUACUUCACAUGGUCCACCAAGUCAUCCUUGACGUCCAAAAAGUACUUCUCCAUCUUUUUCCACGUGGAAGGAUAUUUUUGGACAAAAAUACACCAAGUCUUCUUGCCAAUACAAAUAAUAUCCUAUCUAUAUAUACACGUAUUUAUCUCUUAACCCUAACUUUUCAUUCUCUUAUCCAUUGUUGCUGCUGCUGCUGCUUCUGUCGUUCACAAGAGAGAUCUUCAAGGUAUGUCAAAUUCCUUUCUUUACUCUCUCUCCACUUCCCAGUUUUUCUCUCCAUUCCGCAUGCAUGGAUGGGCUUCAAUCAGGUGUGUUUUAGGGAAAAAAAAUAUAAUAUGGGAUUGACAAAAAUAGAAAGUUAUAAAUCUCUUAGGAGCUUAGAAUAAUAUUUAUUUUAAUUAUUAAUGUUUAAGUUAGUUGUUUGGAAUGUUUUUAUCAAGUUGUGUUGGGAAUAUUUUAGUUUUAUGUUUAAUUAUGUGUUUGGUAAAUAAAUUUGGAUCUUAACUUAUCAUGCGUUUAAUUUACUUGUUAACAAUGUUUAUAUUAAGUUUGUAUUUGAAAUAUUUUACUUAUAUUUAAUUAUGUGCUUGUUAUAUAAGCUUGAUUUUUUUUUUUACUUGAGGUUAAUUUAUAUGUGGUGGCAUUUUUUAAGUCCCACGAGAUUUAUUGAUGGAAGAUUGAAGUAAAAUUGCUGGAAGAUUGGGUCUGCAGAGUAGUUAAUUUUAGGUUCUGAGUAGGUUGAGGCUGCAAUUGAUUCCUUGGGGUUAUUUUGAGUAGCCAAUCGAUCACUUCUUGGUAAAAUGUGGCAAAUGGAUUAAGAGUUAAUUGAUUUAUACAGAAAUCAAUGUCAAAAUAUUUAAUUUUAUAAAAUAUAAAAUUAAAUUGUUAGGUGCAACAUUAAAAUAUAAUUUAUAUUUUCAAUUAAAUAUUUUUUCAAAUAAAAACCUUUUAAAUUUGAAACUUAUAGUUAUUUUGUGUUAUAAAUUAAUUUUAAUUAAAAAAAGAAUUGCGUGAACAUUUGAUUAAUAAGUUUUAAUAUAUAAUUUAUUCUUUAACAAUAACUAAAUAUAUCAUCUUAUCUUAAGAAAUUAAAAAUAUUCAAUACUAUUUAUUUAUUGUUAUAUGACAAUACAAAGUACAUGCAUGUAGAUAGCAGAUAUUAUACAAGUUUAAAUUAAUCUAUCUCUAACUUAAAAAUAGAAUAAAAAAUUAAUAUAAUUCCAAAAAAAUAAAUUAAUCCUGUUUUUUCAACAUGUGACUAUUUAUACAUCACACAAACCCAUAAUAAUAUAAAAUAAUAUUCUUAAAUCAACUUUAACUAUACAGUAUUUCAUUAAAACUUUAUUUUGACUAUUAAAACUCUAAAAAUAAGUUAAUAAAAGCCAAAAAUUAAAAGUUAAAAGAUAAUAAAAUCAUAUUAAAUUGGGUCCUUGAUUAUUAUCUCAUAUUAUUUAAUAAUAUUAAAUUGUAUCAUACCAUACUGAUAAUUAUUUAAAUAGCUUAAAACAUAUCAUUGAUCUAUAUUUGUAGUGUAAAUCGUAUGUUCUUAUAUAUAAAAUUGCGGUCUAAAGCAAUGGUUUGGGCAUGACAUGCUAAAUAUGUUCUUGAUUCUAAGAUUUUUAUAUAUAGAAUUAAUAAAAAAUUAAAUAAGUAAAUAAUAUAUUUCUCAUUUUUUUAGUUCAUUAGAGGCUUUUGAGUCCUGGGAUAAGCUUUUCAUACUAUAUAUUAAUCAAUAUGGUGUGUAGUGAUUGAGACCAAAAUUUAAUUAUUUUAUUAAAAUAAACCAUCGAAUACACAAUCACUUAAUAGUAUAUUUAUCUUUAAAUAUGCAAAAUCUGUCUUAAUAAAUCUCAUGUUAUGCCGAGAAUGAGCCUGCACGGGCCCAAUUCACAUGCUAGCCCAAGUGACGCGCUGCCAAAACCCAUAAUGGGCCGAAUGGUGCAAACCGGCCCAACAUAUGACUAACUAUCCAUUAACUUUCAUGCAAAAGACAACUGGGGAUCUUUUGACCUUGUUAAAUUGUAAAAUCUUCGGAAAUCUUGUUUUUCAUUAGAAAACAUUUUUAAUCUUUAAUUUCUUAAUUAAUAUUUGAAUUUAGCAAUCACCAAACAUCAUGUUAUCAUGCGAGGGGCUCAGAUUUUGGUGCCCAAAUCCACGAAAGAGUGUUUUUAAGCAAUGAAUUAAAACAUAUCAUAAAAUAAUAUAAAAACAAUCAUGGAAUCUUAUUUAUCAAAUUGAGCCUUUUGAUUUAAAUAGUCUUGAUAUGGUAUUAAAAUUUUAAUAAUCAAAUAAGUAAGGGUAGAACUAUGCAAGUUUUACAUAGAGAGAGUUUUGAUUUUUAAAAAAUGUUUUGAAAAAUAAAAUAAAUUAUUAAUGAAAUCUAAUACAAGAGUUUAAUUUUUUUUUAAUUGAAAUAAUUCUUUAAUAAAACAGUUUUACAAGUAACCUAACCCUAGCCUUCUAAUAUUGCCUUUAUUCCUUGAUCAACUCUGCCAUUUAAUCCGAAAACACUAUCUAGUUCACUUUUUCCAAUAGUAUGCACUAUAUGCUGCGGGUUAGAACAAAUUUUUUCCUUAGUGUAAAAAAAUGCUUAAAUCAUGUAAAUGUGUUUUCAAGAAGUUUGAAUAAUUCGUUAUUCGGGUGUGAUUCGGGUCUAUUAGAUCAAAUAAGUUGGUAUUAUUUAAUUAGAUGAAAAAAAGCAACAAUAAUAAAUCUAUCAAAUUAAAUAAAAAAUGUGAAUGCUUGUCAAAAGAAAAAAAAUAAUAAAGUUCAAUUCAUAACCAGCACAAUGCAAAAAUAAAGAAAAUGAAAAAAAGAUCAAAAGAAACCAACUCACAUAGCCCAAUUUCUAACAAAUUCAAUUUAAAAUGGUGAAAUUAAAAAAAAAUCAAUUAACAAAAUAAAAAAAAAAACCUUGCAAACUCGAGUAAACUUACCAAACCCCGUCACCUAGAUUAUGCGAAUGAAAAAGCCAAAAAGAAGGUAAAAUGAGAAAAAAAAAUAUGAAACUCAAUUAUAAAACAAACCCAAUGUUGAUGGUCAAAACAAAAUAAAAUAAAUUAAAAUUGAAUGUCAAAUGAUAAAUUUGAAAAAGAAAAUCAGUGAAAAAAAUCAAACCUAAAAAAAAAUCAAUGUCAGCCUAGAUAAACCUUUUAAACCCAUGACCUAGAUCUUAAGAUUUAGAAUACCAUAUCGGGAAAAAAGAAGAAGCUCAAUUCUUAACCAACUCUAUAUUAAAGAAUGAAAUUGAAAAAUAAUCAAUUUUACAAAAGACCAAAAACAAAAUAUAGAAACUAAAACAAUGAGGAUAUGAUUUGGAAAAAAAAAGAGAGAACAACUUAAAAUUUUAGAUUAAAGGUUGAAAUUAAAAGAAACAAAUUAUAGAAAAAAAAAAAUAACAAUUAAAAGAACGAGGAUCAACUCUAAAUUAUAGAUAGAUCAUUAUGAGUUUUGAGGAGAAGAGAGAGAAUAAAAAAAAAAAAAAAAGUAUUGUUGGCGAUAAACUAUUGAUCUUCAUGUCACACACUCCGCCCAAGACAUAGAAGAUAUCAUUGUGAAUUUUCCCACGCAGCUGUAGAAGGUGAUGUUUCAUCACUAGAAAAGCUGCAUGUGUCGCUAGAGUGCUAUGACUUUCAUCAUAAAUCAUGUGCUAGCCAAUCUUCAACUACACGUUAACUUUAGUCCCCUGUAUUUGUUUUAGAGUAAAAUUUGGUCCCUCAAGUCUUAAUUGCUCUAAAUCAAAAGAACUCAGUUUUAUUUUGACGAACCAAGCAUCAAGCAAGUGUCAAAAUUUUAUUCGACAUUGCCAGAUCCUAAUAUCUAGGAAACUAAAAUAAAUUAUUAAGGUAAUUUUAAAAAAUAUAUAUCUCAAAGAAUCAAAUUAAAAAGAGAGUUAAGGAAUAAAAAAAAAACCAACGUAAUUUUUUUUCAAUCCCUAACAAGAGAAAAUUAAAGGGGCUUAAUAUUUACUAAAUCUUAAAAUUUAAUAUUUAAUUAUUUUAAAUCAAUAAAAUAAAAUUUUAUUUUACUAAAUCUUUACUCGUCAACAUCCUCAUUAGCAGACAUUGAGGCUGUUGUUAAUAUAAUAUUUGUUGUAAAGUUCGUAUGAAUACAAAUUAGUUUCCUGUUUUGACACAUGUUAGUAUACUUGUCAGUUAUUUGGAACACAAGAAGUAGGUAUCAACAUCAUUACGUAAUUACUUGAUUAAUUAUAUCUUAAACUCAAUAUGUAGUGAAUCAAUUCAUCCAUUGUGUGACACAUAAUUAUGAAAAUUUAGAGAUGACUGAUCGACAAGUUGCUGGUGUGAAGCGAGAUUUGUUAUUACUGGAGAACCAGAUUCCUUUUACAGUCCUGAAAUCACUGACGAGUCUGAGGUACGAAAAAGAUGGAACUAAUCAUGGAAUGAAACAUGUGAAUGAUUUUCUUUUUUUCCACAUUCUCAACCCGAAAGAUCAACCAUUGCGGACUCGAAAAUUACUUUGGUCUAUCGUUAGUCUCCUGUUAUUGUUUCUUCCAAUUGCUCUUCCAUUUGUUUUAUCAUACUUUAAUCAUGGCCUGGUUUACUUGAGCAUGGUGCCAGCGUUUGCCGUGCUGGAAUUAUGUGUCCUGAUACCAGCUCGGCUUUUGUGGUUACUACUAAGAAAGGGGAGGCGAGCCUCAGGAUAUGAUUCGCAAUGGCAGCCUGAUGAAGAACCUGCCCAUCUUCUUCAACUUCUAUAUUCUCUUUUCAUAGGUUCUCACUACAUAAAAGGCAAGUCGUCUUAUUUGGCCACAUGUCUUAAGAAAUUCAUUCCGACAAAGUCCAAGCCAGUUGAUGCUCGAGGAAGGCGUGGCCAUUACCUGUAUUAUUCUGCCAAGGAACUUAAGAAGGUGGGAAUCCAUUUCAUGUCUAGUCAGACUAGUGCUUUGACGGAUGUCAAGUUCAAGUCAUCAUCUCUCUAUGGAACAUUGAAGCUUCCUUCAAUUACCAUAGAUGAGUCGACAGAGUCCAUGCUCUUGAACUUAGUGGUCACUUUAACUAUGUUUCAUGGAUUCGCUGAUUGACGAUGCUGAUGACGUGAAAGAGCUGCGAUCAAAGGGCAUAAUUAUUAAUUUCCAUGGAGCUGACCAGCAGGUUGCGGAUCUCUUCAACCAUAUGGGCCGUUUUCUUGAACCUGAUAUUAGUGUGUAUAAUGAUGUUAAAAGAGAGAUAAAUGAGCAGUGUGAGAGCAUCGUGAAGAAAUGGGUAGCUCAGUGGCAGCAAACUUAUUUUCAGAGUCCUUGGGCCUUCAUUGCAUUUGCUGCCGCCGCUGUUGGUUUGGCUCUCACCGCCACUCAGACGUACUAUACAAUGCACCCACCCAAGAAUAAUUCAACACGCUAAUGCUGUUGCGAUGAUGUAGAAACUAUAUAUAGUUCUUAUUCAACAGAAUGUGUAAUGUUUCAGGAAGGGAAUUAAAUUGUAAGACAUAAGAUGAUUUCAUUUAGGCUAAUGCUAUGAGAGCAAAUUAAGGGCAUUGUGUGCUAAAUCAAUUUGUUCAGGGUCGCUUUUUACUGAUGUUUUCAUCUUGAGUGUAAUUUUUAGUUAAG